UCUUCCGAUCCUUUUGUUGCAUACUUAUAUAUUGCUUAUGUAUUGUCUAUGAAUUGCUACUAACGUUUUGUUCGUCUAGUGCAUAGAGAUGUUGUCGUAUGUCGUGUACAAGGGUAAGGUUCCCGGAGUCUACGACGAUUGGGAGGAGUGUCGGAGACAAGUUCACCGUUUUAGCGGUAACAGUUACAAAGGGUACACCACUAGGAAGGAGGCGGAAGCUAGAUACGCGCGCUAUCUAGCGGGAGAGAGGAGGGAGCGGAGGAGGAACCGGAUGAAGACCAAUUUCAUCACAAUGAUGCUCAUCGUGAUGACCGCAGCUCUCUUCUAUGUGAUGGUAGUUUAGAUGAUCGAUAUCGACUUGUAAUGUGAAGACAAACUCGCUACUCGCGGUCUCAAGACUUGUAGUGUUCUAACUUUGUUCGGUCUUUUGAAUUCAGAGACUAAUAUGAUAUUGUAUUCGGAGACUAAUCUUCUAUUUGUAUUCGAUAAAUCUGUUGUUUAUAUGUUGUGCUGUCUAUAUUCUAUGCAGUAAUAUAUUUUGUAACCUGUGCAAAUAUCAGAAAAGAAAAAAAUUCCUAAUAUUCAUACUAGUGGCGCACCAUACUGCACUUUAGUGGCGAACUGCAAUAAACAUACUAGUGGCGCAUUACCAAGAAGUGCGCCAUUAGUAACCCAGAGCACAAGGUAAAUAUGGCCCCCUGGGAGGCAUAGUAAUGGCGCACCAGGGGACAUAUUAAUGGCACACUGCCAGGUACGCCAUUACUAUUUGUGAUACUAAUGGCGCACCAGGGGUGCGCCAUUAGUAUUUGUUACUAGUGGCGUGAUAAUAGUGGCGCACCUGUAGUGCGCCAUUAAUGUCCAAAACAGGUGCGCCACUAAUUAGCCUUUUCCUAGUAGUGUAUGGUGAUAUUAGAGUCAUGCUAGUUGAUUAGUUGUGAAUUUGAAAAAUUCUUGUGUUAAAGUUUGUGAUUCCCGUAGCAUGCACGUAUGGUGAACCGUUAUGUGAUGAAGUCGGAGCAUGAUUUAUUUAUCUUUUGUCUUCCUUAUGAUUGGCGGUCCGGGACGAGCCAUGGUCUUUUCCUACCAAUCUAUCCCCCUAGGAGCAUGCGCAUAAUACUUUGCUUUGAUAACUUGUAGAUUUUUGCAAUAAGUAUGUGAGUUCUUUAUGACUAAUGUUGAGUCCAUGGAUUAUACGCACUCUCACCCUUCCACCAUUGCUAGCCUCGCUAGUAUCGCGCAACUUUCGCUGGUACCAUAAACCCACCAUAUACCUUCCUCAAAACAGCCACCAUAAUACCUAUUAUGGCAUUUCCAUAGCCAUUCCGAGAUAUAUUGCCAUGCAACUUUCCAUCGUUCUAUUAUUAUGACACGCUUCAUCAUUGUCAUAUUGCUUGCAUGAUCAUGUAGUUGACAUCGUAUUUGUGGCAAAGCCACCGUUCAUAAUUUUCAUACAUGUCACUCAUGCAUCAUUGCACAUCCCGGUACACCGCCGGAGGCAUUCACAUAGAGUCAUAUUUUGUUCUAAGUAUCGAGUUAUAAUUUUUGAGUUGUAAGUAAAUAAAGUGUGAUGAUCAUCAUUAUUAGAGCAUUGCCCCAGUGAGGAAAGGAUGAUGGAGACUAUGAUUCCCCCACAAGUUGGGAUGAGACUCCGGACGAAAAAUAAAAAAAUAAAAAAAGAGAAAAGCGGCAAAAAAGGGCCCAAAGAAAAAAAAAUGAGAGAAAAAGAGAGAAGGGACAAUGUUACUAUCCUUUUUCCACACUUGUGCUUCAAACUAGCACCAUGAUCUUCAUGAUAGAGAGUCUCCUAUGAUAUCACUUUCAUAUACUAGUGGGAAUUUUUCAUUAUAGAACUUGGCUUGUAUAUUCCAAUGAUGGGCUUCCUCAAAUUGCCCUAGGUCUUCAUGAGAAAGCAAGUUGGAUGCACACCCACUUAGUUUCUUUUGUUGAGCUUUCAUAUACUUAUAGCUCUAGUGCAUCCGUUGCAUGGCAAUCCCUACUCACUCACAUUGAUAUCUAUUAAUGGGCAUCUCCAUAGCUCGUUGAUACGCCUAGUUGAUGUGAGACUAUCUUCUCCUUUUAAAAGAGUAUCGGACCAAAGCAUUAACACAUAGUGAAUACAUGAACUCCUCAAACUACGAUCAUCACCGGUAAGUAUCCCGAUUAUUGUCACUUGGGUGUUAACGGAUCAUAACACACAAUAGGUGACUGUAGACUUGCAAGAUAGGAUCAGGAACUCACAUAUAUUCAUGAAAACAUAAUAGGUUCAGAUCUGAAAUCAUGGCACUCGGGCCCUAGUGACAAGCAUUAAGCAUAGCAAAGUCAUAGCAACAUCAAUCUCAGAACAUAGUGGAUACUAGGGAUCAUCAAUUACAUGAUAAAUCUCAUCCAACCCAUCACCGUCCAGCAAGCCUAUGAUGGAAUUACUCACACACGACGGUGAGCAUCAUGAAAUUGGUGAUGGAUGAAGGUUGAUGAUGACGAUGGCGACGGAUUCCCCUCUCUGGAGCCCCGAACGGACUCCAGAUCAGCCCUCCCGGGAGAGUUUAGGGCUUGGCAGUGGCUCCGUAUCGUAAAACGCGAUGAAUCCUUCUCUCUGAUUUUUUCUCCCCAAAAGUGAAUAUAUGGAGUCAAGGUGGACGUCGGUGGAGCAUCAGGGGGCCCACGAGGCAGGGGGCGCGCCCAGGGGGUAGGGCACGCCCCUACCCUCGUGGACAUGGUGUGGGCCCCUGACAUGGAUCUUUCUUCUAGUAUUUUUAUAUAUUCCAAAAAUAAUCUCCGUUGAUUUUCAGGUCAUUCUGAGAACUUUUAUUUCUGCACAAAAAUAACACCAUGGCAAUCCUGCUGAAAACAACGUCAGUCCGGGUUAGUUCCAUUCAAAUCAUGCAAGUUAGAGUCCAAAAAAGGGCAAAAGUGUUUGGAAAAGUAGAUACGACGGAGACCUAUCAACUCCCCAAGCUUAAACCUUUGCUUGUCCUCAAGCAAUUCAGUUGAUAAACUGAAAGUGAUAAAAAAACUUUUACAAACUCUGUUUGCUCUUUUUGUUGUAAAUAUGUAGAGCGAGCAUUCAAGUUUUCAACAAAGAUUAUGAACUAACCAUAUUCACAAUAACAUUUAGGUCUCAUGUUUACUCAUAUCAAUGGCAUAAUCAACUAGCGAGCAAUAAUAAUAAAUCUCGGAUGACAACACUUCCUCAAAAUAAUCAUGAUAUGAUAUGACAAGAUGGUAUCUCGCUAGCCCUUUCUAAGACCGCAAACCAUAAAUGCAGAGCACCUUUAAAGACCAAGUACUGACUAGACAUUGUAAUUCAUGGUAAAAGAGAUCCAGUCAAGUCAUACUCAAUGUAAACUAACAGUAAUGGAUGCAAAUGACAUAGGUGCUCUCCAACUAGUGCUUUUUAAUAAGAGGAUGGUGACUCAACAUAAAAGUAAAUAGAUAGGCCCUUCACAGAGGGAAGCAGGGAUUUGUAGAGGUGCCAGAGCUCGGUCUUGAAAUAGAUAUGAAUAAUAUUUUUAGCGGUAUACUUUCAUUGUCAACAUAACAACCGAGAUAUCUCGAUAUCUUCCAUGCUACACACAUUACAGGCGGUUCCCAAACAGAAUGGUAAAGUUUAUACUCCCCCUCCACCAACAAGCAUCAAUCCAUGGCUUGCUCGAAACAACGAGUGCCUCCAACUAAGAAGAGUUCCGAGAGUUUUGUUUGCAGUUGAAAGAACAUGUGGUGCCCCCAUGUUUGGUUUUGGUAAUUGAUGACGAUCUCUAUGUACUAAUGGUUGCCUUGAGUUAUAUUUGAAGGUUUUGUCCAGAGGCUUUUCUUAGAGUACAUGUGUUGGUUUCAAGGAGAGUUUGUGUCGACCAAGGUGCUAUUCAAGGAAUUACCUAAAGAUUGGUCUUGUGAGAGGUUGAUCAAGACUAAGUCAAAGAGUGAAUCAAGUUGAUCAACCCACAAAGCGUAGAAGAUGUACCGAGAGGGAUCAAGUGAUCCCAUGGUAUGGUAAGCAUUGUUAAUUACGCUUUGUGUACUAACCCAUGGUCUUCGUGAGAGUUCUUUGUGGGCUUAGGUUGCGGUGUGCAAGUUCAAGUGGAGCAUCAUGAAGAGAUCAAAUGCUUGAAGCUUGCCGUCCAUUGUGGUAACAAUGGAUUCAUGAAGAUGUGUGGAAGAGUGGCUCACCCAUAAUGGAGUAUGGGGAGCAAUCAACUAGUCUUCAUCGAGCCAACGCAAUCAAGAAAGGUGGUCCAACUUGAGGGAGUCAAGAUCGUCAUCAUCUAGCUCAAGUGGACCAUGUGCAAGCCAAAGGUUUGCCCUUGAUAGGUUUGUGUCGAGAGCCCCCCUUGAUAGGUUUUCUAUUUUUCGGUCUCAUGGUGGUAGUUGGGAGAUCGGUUUAUAGGAUCGAUUGUCGUACUAUCUAGGGGGGCUCUCGAUGAGUAGCUUGAUCGUAUCGUUCAUAGAGAGAUUAAACCAUUGCAUCCUUGCAUCAUCUUUUUUGGUUCUUUUUUGGUUCUUCUCCUUGUGAGAUUUGGAGCUUAAGGUCAUUUUAAUGACAAGCUCGUUUUCAUCACAAACGGAGUUCACGUGCAUCUUCUAUGAUGUUUUCGAUGUUGGAGGUUAUGUCGGUUCUUCCUUUUUGGAGGUUUCACUCCUCUAUUUGUUAGGCAUACCUCCCCUCCCUCUUCUUACUAUAACCAGUUGCUGUUUUGAUGCUACUCGUCGUCUGAUACGUCUCCAACAUAUCUAUAAUUUUUGAUUGCUCCAUGCUAUUAUAUUAUCUAUUUUGGAUGUUAAUGGGCAUUAUUUUACACUUUUAUAUCAUUUUUGGGACUAACCUACUAACCGGAGGCCCAUCCCAAAUUGUUGUUUUUUGCCUAUUUUAGAGUUUCGCCGAAAAGGAAUAUCAAAUGGAGUCCAAACGGAAUGAAACCUUUGGGAACAUGAUUUUCUCAACAAACGUGGUCCAGGAGACUUGGAGUGUGGGUCACGAAACAACCGAGGAGGGCACAAGGCAUGGGGCGCGCCUACCCCCCUGGGCGUGCCCUCCACCCUCGUGGGCCCCUGUUGCUCCACCUACGUACUUCUUCCUCCUAUAUAUAUCCACGUACCCCCCCAAACAUCCAGGAGCACCACGAAAACCUAAUUCCACUACCGCAACCUUCUGUACCUGAGAGAUCCCAUCUUGGGGCCUUUUCCGGAGCACCGCCGGAGGGGGCAUUGAUCACGGAGGGCCUCUACAUCAACUCCAUGGCCUCUCCGGUGAUGUGUGAGUAGUUUACUUCAGACCUACGGGUCCAUAGUUAUUAGCUAGAUGGAUUCUUCUCUCUCUUUGGAUCUCAAUACAAAUUUCUCCUCGAUCUUCUUGGAGAUCUAUUCGAUGUAAUCUUCUUUUGCGGUGUGUUUGUCGAGAUCUGAUGAAUUGUGGGUUUAUCAUCCAGAUUAUCUAUGAACAAUAUUUGAUUCUCCUCUGAAUUCUUUUAUGUAUGAUUGGUUUAUCUUUGCAAGUCUCUUCGAAUUAUCAGUUUGGUUUGGCCUACUAGAUUGAUCUUUCUUGCAAUCGGAGAAGUGCUUACCUUUGGGUUCAAUCUUGCGGUGCUCGAUCCCAGUGACAGAAAGGGAACCGACACGUAUUAUAUUGUUGCCAUCGAGGAUAAAAAGAUGGGGUUUAUAUCAUAUUGCAUGAGUUUAUCCCUCUACAUCAUGUCAUCUUACUUAAAGCAUUACUCUGUUCUUAUGAACUUAAUACUCUAGAUGCAUGCUGGAUAGCGGUCGAUGUGUGGAGUAAUAGUAGUAGAUGCAGAAUCGUUUCGGUCUACUUGUCACAGAUGUGAUGCCUAUAUACAUGAUCAUACCUAGAUAUUCUCAUAACUAUGCUCAAUUCUAUCAAUUGCUCGACAGUAAUUCGUUUACCCACCGUAAUACUUAUGCUCUUGAGAGAAGCCACUAGUGAAACCUAUGGGCCCCGGGUCUAUCUUGUUGGAAAUAUGCCCUAGAGGCAAUAAUAAAAGCAUUAUUAUUAUAUUUCCUUGUUCAUGAUAAUUGUCUUUAUUCAUGCUAUAAUUGUGUUAUCCAGAAAUCGUAAUACAUGUGUGAAUAAUAGACACCAACAUGUCCCUAGUAAGCCUCUAGUUGACUAGCUCGUUGAUCAACAGAUAGUCAUGGUUUCCUGACUAUGGACAUUGGAUGUCAUUGAUAACGAGAUCACAUCAUUAGGAGAAUGAUGUGAUGGACAAGACCCAAUCCUAAACAUAGCACAAGAUCGUAUAGUUCGUUUGCUAGACUUUUCCAAUGUCAAGUAUCUUUUCCUUAGACCAUGAGAUCGUGUAACUCCCGGAUACCGUAGGAGUGCUUUGGGUGUACCAAACGUCACAACGUAACUGGGUGACUAUAAAGGUAUACUACGGGUAUCUCCAAAAGUGUCUGUUGGGUUGACACGGAUCAAGACUGGGAUUUGUCACUCCGUAUGAUGGAGAGGUAUCACUGGGCCCACUCGGUAAUGCAUCAUCAUUAUGAGCUCAAAGUGACCAAGUGUCUGGUCACGGGAUCAUGCAUUACGGUACGAGUAAAGUGACUUGCCGGUAACGAGAUUGAACAAGGUAUUGGGAUACCGACGAUCAAAUCUCGGGCAAGUAACAUACCGAUUGACAAAGGGAAUUGUAUACGGGGUUGCUUGAAUCCUCGACAUCGUGGUUCAUACGAUGAGAUCAUCGAGGAGCAUGUGGGAGCCAACAUGGGUAUUCAGAUCUCGCUGCUGGUUAUUGACCGGAGAGCGAUCUCGGUCAUGUCUACAUGUCUCUCGAACCCGUAGGGUCUACACACUUAAGGUUCGGUGACGCUAGGGUUGUAGGGAUAUGUAUAUGCAGUAACCCGAAUGUUGUUCGGAGUCCCGGAUGAGAUGUCAGACGUCACGAGUAGUUCCGGAAUGGUCCGGAGGUAAAGAAUUAUAUAUAGGAAGUGCUAUUUCGGCCGUCGGGACAAGUUUCGGGGUCACCGGUAUUGUACCGGGACCACCGGAAGGGUCCCGGGGGUCCACCGGGUGGGGCCACCUACCCCGGAGGGCCCCAUGGGCUGAAGUGGGAAGGGAUCCAGCCCAAAGUGGGCUGGGGCGCCACUUCCCCUAGGGCCCAUGUGCCUAGGGUGGGGGAAACCCUAAAGGGGGCGCCCCUUGCUUGGGGGGCAAACCCCCCACCCCUUGGCGGCCGCCCCCCUAGGAGAUUGCAUCUCCUAGGGCCGGCGCCCCCCCCUAGGCCCCCCUAUAUAUAGUGGGGGGAUGGAGGACUUCUUACCUUUGCCUUUGUUGCCUCCCUCUCCCUCUCCAACACAUCCUCCUCCUCCAUAGAGCUUGGCGAAGCCCUGCCGGAGUACUGCAGCUCCACCACCACCACGCCGUCGUGCUGCUGCUGGAGCCAUCUUCCUCAACCUCUCCUUCCCCUUGCUGAAUCAAGAAGGAGGAGAUGUUACGCUGACCGUAGGUGUGUUGAACGCGGAGGUGCCGUCCGUUCGGCGCUAGGAUCUCCGGUGAUUCGGAUCACGUCGAGUACGACUUCCUCAUCCCCGUUCUUUGAACGCUUCCGCACGUGAUCUACAAAGGUAUGUAGAUGCGAUCCAAUCACUCGUUGCUAGAUGAACUCCUAGAUGGAUCUUGGUGAAACCGUAGAUUUUUUUGUUUUCUGCAACGUUCCCCAACAGUGGCAUCAUGAGCUAGGUCUAUGCGUAGUUCCUUUUGCACGAGUAGAACACAAUUUGUUGUGGGCGUAGAUGUUGUCAACUUUCUUGCCGCUACUAGUCUUAUCUUGCUUCAGCGGUAUUGUGGGAUGAAGCGGCCCGGACCAACCUUACACGUACGCUUACGUGAGACCAGUUCCACCGACUAACAUGCACAAGUUGCAUAAGGUGCCUGGCGGGUGUCUGUCUCUCCCACUUUAGUUGGAGCGGAUUCGAUGAAAAGGGUCCUUAUGAAGGGUAAAUAGAAGUUGACAAAUCACGUUGUGGAUUUCAUGUAGGUAAGAAAACGUUCUUGCUAGAACCCUAUUGCAGCCACGUAAAACUUGCAACAACAAUUAGAGGACGUCUAACUUGUUUUUGCAGCAAGUGUUCUGUGAUGUGAUAUGGCCCAAGUUGUGAUGAAUGAUGAAUGAUAUAUAUGUGAUGUAUGAGAUGUUCAUGCUAUUGUAAUAAGAAUCACGACUUGCAUGUCGAUGAGUAUGACAACCGGUAGGAGCCAUAGGAGUUGUCUUUAUUUUUUGUAUGACCUGCGUGUCAUUGAGAAACGCCAUGUAAAUUACUUUACUUUAUUGCUAAACGCGUUAGCCGUAGUAGUAGAAGUAAUAGUUGGCGAGCAACUUCAUGGAGACACGAUGAUGGAGAUCAUGAUGAUGGAGAUCAUGGUGUCAUGCCGGUGAAAAGAUGAUCAUGGAGCCCCAAGAUCGAGAUCAAAGGAGCUAUGUGAUAUUGGCCAUAUCAUGUCACUAUUAUUAUUUGAUUGCAUGUGAUGUUUAUCAUGUUUCUGCAUCUUGUUUACUUAGAACGACAGUAGUAAAUAAGAUGAUCCCUCAUAAUAAUUUCAAGAAAGUGUUCCCCCUAACUGUGCACCGUUGCGACAGUUCGUUGUUUCGAAGCACCACGUGAUGAUCGGGUGUUAGAUUCCAACGUUCACAUACAACGGGUGUAAGACAGAUUUACACAUGCAAACACUUAGGUUGACUUGACGAGCCUAGCAUGUACAGACAUGGCCUCGGAACACAGAAGACCGAAAGGUCGAGCAUGAGUCGUAUAGAAGAUACGAUCAACAUGAAGAUGUUCACCGAUGUUGACUAGUCCGUCUCACGUGAUGAUCGGACACGGCCUAGUUAACUCGGAUCAUGUUAUACUUACAUUACUGAAGGGAUGUCUAUCUAAGUGGGAGUUCAUUGAAUAAUUUGAUUAGAUGAACUUAAUUGUCCUGAACUUAGUCUAAAUUUUUUACAAUAUGUCUUGUAGAUCAAAUGGCCAACGUAGUCCUCAACUUCAACGCGUUCCUAGAGAAAACCAAGCUGAAAGACGAUGGCAGCAACUACACGGACUGGGUCCGGAACCUAAGGAUCAUCCUCAUAGCUGCCAAGAAAGAUUAUGUCCUACAAGCACCGCUAGGUGACGCACUUGUUCUCCCUGCAGAACAAGACGUUAUGAACGCUUGGCAGGCACGUACCGAUGACUACUCCCUCAUUCAGUGCGGCAUGCUUUACAGCUUAGAGCCGGGGCUCCAAAAGCGUUUUGAGAGACACGGAGCAUAUGAGAUGUUCGAAGAGCUGAAAAUGGUUUUCCAAGCUCAUGCCCGGGUCGAGAGAUAUCAAGUCUCCGACAAGUUCUUCAGCUGUAAGAUGGAGGAAAACAGUUCUGUCAGUGAGCACAUACUCACUAUGUCUGGGUUGCAUAACCGCUUGACUCAGCUAGGAGUUAAUCUCCCGAAUGACGCGGUCAUUGAUAGAAUCCUUCAGUCGCUUCCACCGAGCUACAAGAGCUUUGUGAUGAACUUCAAUAUGCAGGGGAUGGAAAAGACCAUUCCUGAAGUAUUUGCAAUGCUGAAAUCAGCAGAGGUAGAAGUCAAAAAGGAACAUCAAGUGUUGAUGGUGAAUAAAACCACUAAGUUCAAGAAGGGCAAGGGAAAGAAAGCUUUCAAGAAGGACGGCAAGGGAGUUGCCACGCCCGGCAAGCAAGCUGCUGGGAAGAAGCCAAAGAAUGGACCCAAGCCCGAGACUGAGUGCUUUUAUUGCAAGGAAAGUGGUCACUGGAAGCGGAACUGCCCCAAAUACUUAGCGGACAAGAAGGUCGGCAAAACGAAAGGUAUAUGUGAUAUACAUGUAAUUGAUGUGUACCUUACCAGUACUCGUAGUAGCUCCUAGGUAUUUGAUACCGGUGUGGUUGCUCACAUUUGUAACUCAAAACAGGAGUUGCGGAAUAAGCGGAGACUGGCGAAGGACGAGGUGACGAUGCGCGUCGGGAAUGGUUCCAAGGUCAAUGUGAUCGCCGUCGGCACGCUACCUCUACAUUUACCUUCGGGAUUAGUUUUAAACCUUAAUUGUUAUUUAGUGCCAGCUUUGAGCAUGAACAUUGUAUCAGGAUCUCGUUUAAUUCGAGAUGGCUACUCAUUUAAAUCCGAGAAUAAUGGUUGUUCUAUUUAUAUGAGAGAUAUGUUUUAUGGUCAUGCUCCGAUGGUGAAUGGUUUAUUCUUAAUGAAUAUCGAGUGUAAUGCUACACAUGUUCAUAGUGUGAGUACCAAAAGAUGUAAGAUUGAUAAUGAUAGUCCCACAUACUUGUGGCACUGCCGCCUUGGUCACAUAGGUGUCAAACGCAUGAAGAAGCUCCAUGCUGAUGGACUUUUAGAGUCUCUUGAUUAUGAAUCAUUUGACACGUGCGAACCAUGCCUCAUGGGUAAAAUGACCAAGACUCCGUUCUCAGGAACAAUGGAGCGAGCAACCAACUUAUUGGAAAUCAUACAUACUGAUGUGUGCGGUCCAAUGAGUGUUGAGGCUCGCGGUGGCUAUCGUUAUGUUCUCACCCUCACUGAUGACUUGAGUAGAUAUGGGUAUGUCUACUUAAUGAAACACAAGUCUGAGACCUUUGAAAAGUUCAAGGAAUUUCAGAGUGAGGUUGAGAAUCAACGUGACAGGAAAAUCAAGUUCCUGCGAUCAGAUCGUGGAGGAGAAUACUUGAGUCACGAGUUUGGCACACACUUAAGAGAAUGUGGAAUAGUUUCACAACUCACGCCGCCUGGAACACCUCAGCGUAAUGGUGUGUCCGAAUGUCGUGAUCGCACUCUAUUAGAUAUGGGGCGAUCUAUGAUGUCUCUUACCGAUUUACCGCUAUCUUUUUGGGGCUAUGCUUUAGAGACUGCCGCAUUCACUUUAAAUAGGGCUCCGUCGAAAUCCGUUGAGACGACACCGUAUGAAUUAUGGUUUGGGAAGAAACCUAAGCUUUCGUUUCUAAAAGUUUGGGGAUGCGAUGCUUAUGUCAAGAAACUUCAACCUGAAAAGCUCGAACCCAAGUCGGAAAAAUGCGUCUUCAUAGGAUACCCUAAAGAAACUAUUGGGUAUACCUUCUACCUCAGAUCCGAAGGCAAGAUCUUUGUUGCCAAGAAUGGAUCCUUUCUAGAGAAAGAGUUUCUCUCGAAAGAAGUAAGUGGGAGGAAAGUAGAACUUGAUGAAGUAUUACCUCUUGAACCAGAAAAUGGCGCAACUCAAGAAAAUGUUCCUAAGGUGCCUGCACCGACUAGAGAGGAAGUUAAUGAUGAUGAUCAUGAAACUUCAGAUCAAGUUGCUACUGAACUUCAUAGGUCCACAAGGACACGUUCCGCACCAGAGUCGUACGGCAAUCCUGUCUUGGAAAUCAUGUUGUUAGACAACGGUGAACCUUCGAACUAUGAAGAAGCGAUGGUGGGCCCGGAUUCUGACAAAUGGCUGGAAGCCAUGAAAUCCGAGAUAGGAUCCAUGUAUGAAAACGAAGUAUGGACUUUGACUGACUUGCCCGUUGAGCGGCGAGCCAUAGAAAAUAAAUGGAUCUUUAAGAAGAAGACAGACGCGGAUGGUAAUGUGACCAUCUAUAAAGCUCGGCUUGUCGCUAAGGGUUAUCGACAAGUUCAAGGGGUUGACUACGAUGAGACUUUCUCACCGGUAGCGAAGCUAAAGUCCGUCCGAAUCAUGUUAGCAAUUGCCGCAUUCUACGAUUAUGAGAUAUGGCAAAUGGACAUCAAAACGGCAUUCCUUAAUGGUUUCCUUAAGGAAGAAUUGUAUAUGAUGCAGCCGGAAGGUUUUGUCGAUCCUAAGAAUGCUAACAAGGUGUGCAAGCUCCAACGCUCGAUUUUUGGGCUGGUGCAAGCAUCUCGGAGUUGGAACAUUCGCUUUGAUGAGAUGAUCAAAGCAUUUGGGUUUACACAGACUUAUGGAGAAGCCUGCGUUUACAAGAAAGUGAGUGGGAGCUCUGUAGCAUUUCUCAUAUUAUAUGUAGAUGACAUACUUUUGAUGGGAAAUGAUAUAGAACUCUUGGACAGCAUUAAGGCCUACUUGAAUAAGAGUUUUUCAAUGAAGGACCUUGGAGAAGCUGCUUAUAUAUUAGGCAUCAAGAUCUAUAGAGAUAGAUCGAGAUGCCUCAUAGGUCUUUCACAAAGCACAUACCUUGAUAAGAUAUUGAAGAAGUUCAAUAUGGAUCAGUCUAAGAAGGGGUUCUUACCUGUGUUACAAGGUGUGAAAUUGAGCUCAGCUCAAUGUCCGACCACGGUAGAAUAUAUAGAAGAGAUGAGUGUCAUCCCCUAUGCCUCAGCCAUAGGUUCUAUUAUGUAUGCCAUGCUGUGUACCAGACCUGAUGUAAACCUUGCCGUAAGUUUGGUAGGAAGGUACCAAAGUAAUCCCGGCAAGGAACACCGGACAGCGGUCAAGAAUAUCCUGAAGUACCUGAAAAGGACUAAGGAAAUGUUUCUCGUUUAUGGAGGUGACGAAGAGCUCGUCGUAAAGGGUUACGUCGAUGCUAGCUUCGACACAGAUCUGGAUGACUCUAAGUCACAAACCGGAUACGUGUUUAUUUUGAAUGGUGGGGCAGUAAGCUGGUGCAGUUGCAAGCAGAGCGUCGUGGCAGGAUCUACAUGUGAAGCGGAGUACAUGGCAGCCUCGGAGGCAGCGCAUGAAGCAAUUUGGGUGAAGGAGUUCAUCACCGACCUAGGAGUCAUACCCAAUGCGUCGGGGCCAAUCAAACUCUUCUGUGACAACACUGGAGCUAUUGCACUUGCCAAGGAGCCCAGGUUUCACAAGAAGACAAGGCACAUCAAGCGUCGCUUCAACUCCAUUCGUGCAAAUGUUCAAGAUGGAGACAUAGAUAUUUGUAAAGUACAUACGGACCUGAAUGUGGCAGAUCCGUUGACUAAACCUCAACCUAGAGCAAAACAUGAUCAACACCAGAAUUCCAUGGGUGUUCGAUUCAUCACAAUGUAACUAGAUUAUUGACUCUAGUGCAAGUGGGAGACUGUUGGAAAUAUGCCCUAGAGGCAAUAAUAAAAGCAUUAUUAUUAUAUUUCCUUGUUCAUGAUAAUUGUCUUUAUUCAUGCUAUAAUUGUGUUAUCCGGAAAUCAUAAUACAUGUGUGAAUAAUAGACACCAACAUGUCCCUAGUAAGCCUCUAGUUGACUAUCUCGUUGAUCAACAGAUAGUCAUGGUUUCCUGACUAUGGACAUUGGAUGUCAUUGAUAACGAGAUCACAUCAUUAGGAGAAUGAUGUGAUGGACAAGACCCAAUCCUAAACAUAGCACAAGAUCGUAUAGUUCGUUUGCUAGAGUUUUCCAAUGUCAAGUAUCUUUUCCUUAGACCAUGAGAUCCUGUAACUCCCGGAUACCGUAGGAGUGCUUUGGGUGUACCAAACGUCACAACGUAACUUGGUGACUAUAAAGGUAUACUACGGGUAUCUCCGAAAGUGUCUGUUGGGUUGACACGGAUCAAGACUGGGAUUUGUCACUCCGUAUGAUGGAGAGGUAUCACUGGGCCCACUCGGUAAUGCAUCAUCAUUAUGAGCUCAAAGUGACCAAGUGUCUGGUCACGGGAUCAUGCAUUACGGUACGAGUAAAGUGACUUGCCGGUAACGAGAUUGAACAAGGUAUUGGGAUACCGACGAUCAAAUCUCGGGCAAGUAACAUACCGAUUGACAAAGGGAAUUGUAUACGGGGUUGCUUGAAUCCUCGACAUCAUGGUUCAUACGAUGAGAUCAUCGAGGAGCAUGUGGGAGCCAACAUGGGUAUUCAGAUCUCGCUGUUGGUUAUUGACCGGAGAGCGAUCUCGGUCAUGUCUACAUGUCUCUCGAACCCGUAGGGUCUACACACUUAAGGUUCGGUGACGCUAGGGUUGUAGGGAUAUGUAUAUGCAGUAACCCGAAUGUUGUUCGGAGUCCCGGAUGAGAUCCCGGACGUCAUGAGGAGUUCCGAAAUGGUCCGGAGGUAAAGAAUUAUAUAUAGGAAGUGCUAUUUCGGCCGUCGGGACAAGUUUCGGGGUCACCGGUAUUGUACCGGGACCACCGGAAGGGUCCCGGGGGUCCACCAGGUGGGGCCACCUAUCCCGGAGGGCCCCAUGGGCUGAAGUGGGAAGGGAUCCAGCCCAAAGUGGGCUGGGGCGCCACUUCCCCUAGGGCCCAUGCGCCUAGGGUGGGGGAAACCCUAAAGGGGGCGCCCCCUUGCUUGUGGGGCAAGCCCCCCACCUCUUGGCCGCCGCCCUCCUAGGAGAUUGCAUCUCCUAGGGACGCCGCCCCCCCUAGGACCCCCUAUAUAUAGUGGGGGGAUGGAGGACUUCUUACCUUUGCCUUUGGUGCCUCCCUCUCCCUCUCCAACACAUCCUCCUCCUCCAUAGAGCUUGGCGAAGCCCUGCCGGAGUACUGCAGCUCCACCACCACCACGCCGUCGUGCUGCUGCUGGAGCCAUCUUCCUCAACCUCUCCUUCCCCCUUGCUGGAUCAAGAAGGAGGAGACGUUACGCUGGCCGUACGUGUAUUGAACGCGGAGGUGCCGUCCGUUCGGCGCUAGGAUCUCCGGUGAUUUGGAUCACGUCGAGUACGACUUCCUCAUCCCCGUUCUUUGAACGCUUCCGCGCGUGAUCUACAAAGGUAUGUAGAUGCAAUCCAAUCACUCGUUGCUAGAUGAACUCCUAGAUGGAUCUUGGUGAAACCGUAGAAAAAAAUUUUGUUUCCUGCAACGUUCCCCAACAUAUCUUCCAUCAUAUUAAUCUUCCAAUACUUAGUUAUUUCUAUUGCCGUUUAUUUUACUUUGCAUCUUUAUUUCUCUUUAUCAUAAAAAUACCAAAAAUAUUAUCUUAUCAUAUCUAUCACAUCUCACUCUCGUAAGUGAUCGUGAAGGGAUUGACAACCCCUUUAUCGCGUUGGUUGCAAGGUUCUUAUUUGUUUGUGUAGGUGCAUGGGACUUGAGCGUGAUCUCCUACUGGAUUGAUACCUUGGUUCUCAAAAACUGAGGGAAAUACUUACACUACUUUGCUGCAUCACCCUUUCCUCUUCAAGGGAAAACCAAUGCAGUGCUCAAGUGGUAGCAAGAAGGAUUUCUGGAGUCGUUGCCGGGGAGAUUCACACCAAGUCAAGUCAAGAUUUGACUCCCGACAGCGAUCCAUUACUGGCACCAUUGCCGGAGUCUACGCACAAGUCAAGACAUUCUUAGUACCCAUCACAAACUCUUAUCCCUCGCAUUACAUUAUUUGCCAUUUGCCUCUCGUUUUCCUCUCCCCCACUUCACCCUUGCAAUUUAUCCACCCUCUCUUUUUCCAUUCGCCUCUUUUCCCCUUGCUUUGUUGUUAUGGCUAGUCCUUUAUCUACUCCUUUGUCUCUCGAGAAUGAUGUUCUUAAUUUUAAACAAAGGGAGGGAGAAAAUCUAAGAUGCUUGGUACAUAAUUUGCAAUGCGCAAAAUAGAUCUACUAGGAAGCAAUCUACUUUCGUUCUUCUUCGCAAUUUUCAUGUAGGCAUCACUCCUUGGAAUAGAUAUAUUCUUGAUACCAUUACCGGAGCGAAUUUCUUGGGUAGCCAUAAUUUUGAUUCUUAUAAUGCUAUGAUAGAUCUGUUUGGCCCACCACCUCUUUUGGUUAAUGGAACUAUUUUAACUUUGGAACAUGUGAUGCAACGGCUUGAAAUUAUUGAAAAUAAAGUUGCCACCGUAGAGUUAAUUGAAAAUUUGGAUAGAAAGAUCCAUAACGAAAUUACCCAAUACGGAUCUACGGUAGGAGUUGCUCUUAAAAGUUUUAAAGAAAAGGGACCUAUGGUUAAUGAAAAGAUAGAUCAAGAUUCCACUAGAGUUGAUAAAAGUGAGGAUAUUAUUACCAACCUUGGGUCUGCCUUUUCUUCCGUGAAAAACACUCCUCCUAAUGCUAAGAUUUCCAAAUUGAUGUAUGUUCCUAAAAAUAAGGGUGAAACUCCUAGUAAGGAAAAUGCGGACCUCAAAUCCAUAAGUGUUCACCCCAACUUUCUCACUAUCCUUAAGGAACCUUUUGCUACAAAUGAUUUUCUUGAUUUCAUACCUAGGGGUUUGAAAAUUAAUAAAAAGAAAGAAACUCCUAUGGGUUAUAGGUGUGUUAUUGAAGAAUUACCUACCAAAGAUGGCAAUACCUAGAUCUAUCCUUGCUUUUAUGCCUAGCUAGGGGCGUUAAACGAUAGCGCUUGUCGGGAGGCAAUCCAAUUUUAUUUUUAUUCCUUGCUUUUUGCUCCUGUUUAGUAAUAAAUAAUUUAUCUAGCCUCUGUUUUGGUUGUGUUUUUUGUGUUUAAUUAGUGUUUGUGCGAAGUAGAACCGUUGGGAAGACUUGGGGAAAGUCUUUGAGAUCUUGCUGUAAAAAACAGAAACUUUAGCACUCACGAGAAUUGCUGUCAUUUUUAUUUGGAAAGUGCUAUUUAGUUAAUUAUUUUUGCAAAUGAUGAAUAGAUAAAUUAAACACGUUCAGCAAUUUAUUUUAAAUUUUUUGGGGUUCCAGAAGUUUGCGUUAGCUAUAGAUUACUACAGACUGUUCUGUUUUUGGCAGAUUCUGUUUUUCGUGUGUUGUUUGAUUAUUUUGAUGAAUCUAUGGCUAGUAAAAGAGUUUAUAAACCAUAGAGAAGUUGGAAUACAGUAGGUUUAACACCAAUAUAAAUCAAGAAUCAGUUCAUUGCAGUACCUUGAAGUGGUGUUUUCUUUUCUUUCGCUAACGGAGCUCACGAGAUUUUCUAUUUAAGUUUUGUGUUGUGAAGUUUUCAAGUUUUGGGUAGAGAUUUGAUGGAUUUUAUAGAAAUAAUUGUUCUCUCGUGCUUCACUUAUAUUAUUUUGAGAGUCCUUUAGAACAACAUGGCAAUAAUAAAAACUUUCAUACAAGUGCAUUGAAUACUAUGAGAAGUUUGAUACUUGAUAAUUGUUUUGAGAUAUGGAGAUGGUGAUAUUAGAGUCAUGCUAGUUGAGUAGUUGUGGAUUUGAGAAAUACUUGUGUUAAAGUUUGCGAUUCCCGUACCAUGCACGUAUGGUGAACCGUUAUGUGAUGAAGUCGGAGCAUGAUUUAUUUAUUGAUUGUCUUCCUUAUGAGUGGCGGUCGGGGACGAGCGAUGGUCUUUUCCUACCAAUCUAUCCCCCUAGGAGCAUGCGCGUAAUAUUUGCUUUGAUAACUUGUAGAUUUUUGCAAUAAGUAUGUGAGUUCUUUAUGACUAAUGUUGAGUCCAUGGAUUAUACGCACCCUCACCUUUCCACCAUUGCUAGCCUCUCUAGUAUCGCGCAACUUUCGCCGGUACCAUAAACCCACCAUAUACCUUCCUCAAAACAGCCACCAUACGUACCUAUUAUGGCAUUUCCAUAGUCAUUCCGAGAUAUAUUGCCAUGCAACUUUCCAUUGUUCCAUUAUUAUGACACACUUCAUCAUGGUCGUAUUGCUUGCAUGAUCAUGUAGUUGACAUCGUAUUUGUGGCAAAGCCACCGUUCAUAAUUUUCAUACAUGUCACUCAUGCAUCAUUGCACAUCCCGGUACACCGCCGGAGGCAUUCACAUAGUCAUAUUUUGUUCUAAGUAUCGUGUUGUAAUUUUUGAGUUGUAAGUAAAUAAAGUGUGAUGAUCAUCAUUAUUAGAGCAUUGUCCCAGUGAGGAAAGGAUGAUGGAGACUAUGAUUCCCCCACAAGUCGGGAUGAGACUCCGGACGAAAAAAAAUAAAAAAAAGAGGCCAAAAAGAAAAAGAAAGAAAGAAGGCACAAAAAAGAGGAAAAAAUGAGAGAAAAAGAAAGAAGGGACAAUGCUACUAUCCUUUUUGCACACUUGUGCUUCAAAGUAGCACCAUGAUCUUCAUGAUAGAGAGUCUCAUAUGAUAUCACUUUCAUAUACUAGUGGGAAUUUUUCAUUAUAGAACUUGGCUUGUAUAUUCCAAUGAUGGGCUUCCUCAAAUUGCCCUAGGUCUUCAUGAGCAAGCAAGUUGGAUGCACACCCACUUAGUUUCUUUUGUUGAGCUUUCAUACACUUAUAGCUCUAGUGCAUCAGUUGCAUGGGAAUCCCUACUCACUCACAUUGAUAUCUAUUAAUGGACAUCUCCAUAGCCCAUUGAUACGCCUAGUUGAUGUGAGACUAUCUUCUCCUUUUUGUCUUCUCCACAACCACCAUUCUAUUCCACAUAUAGUGCUAUAUCCAUGGCUCAGCUCAUAUAUUGCAUGAAGAUUGAAAAAGUCUGAGAACAUCAAAAGUAUGAAACAAUUGCUUGGCUUGUCAUCGGGGUUGUGCAUGAUUUAAAUAUUUUGCGUGGUGAAGAUAGAGCAUAGCCAGACUAUUUGAUUUUGUAGGGAUAACUUUCUUUGGCCACUAGUAUUUUGAGAAGACAUGAUUGCUUAGUUAGUAUGCUUGAAGUAUUAUUAUUUUUAUGUCAAUAUUAAACUUUUAUCUUGAAUCUUAUGGAUCUGAACAUUCAUGCCACAAUAAAGAAAAAUUACAUUGAGAAAUAUGUUAGGAAGCAUUCCACAUCAAAAAUUCUUCUUUUUUAUCAUUUACCAACUCGAGGACGAGCAGGAAUUAUGCUUGGGGAUGCUUGAUACGUCUCCAACGUAUCUAUAAUAUUUUAUUGCUCCAUGCUAUUAUAUUAUCUAUUUUGGAUGUUAAUGGGCUUUGUUUUACGCUUUUAUAUCAUUUUUGGGACUAACCUGCUAACCGGAGGCCCAACCCAAAUUGCUGUUUUUUGCCUGUUUUAGAGUUUCACCGAAAAGGAAUAUCAAACGGAGUCCAAACGGAAUGAAACCUUUGGGAACGUGAUUUUCUCAACAAACAUGAUCCAGGAGACUUGGAGUGUGCGUCAAGAAACAACCAGGAGGGCACGAGGCAGGGGGGCACGCCUACCCCCCUAGGCGCGCCCUCCACCCUCGUGGGCCCCCCGUUGCUCUACCGACGUACUUCUUCCUCCUAUAUAUAUCCACGUACCCCCCAAACAUCCAGGAGCACCACAAAAACCUAAUUCCACCGCCUCAACCUUCUAUACCCGAGAGAUCCCAUCUUGGGGCCAUUUCCGGAGCUCCGCCGGAGGGGCAUUGAUCAUGGAGGGCCUCUACAUCAACUCCAUGGCCUCUCCGGUGAUGUGUGAGUAGUUUACUUCAGACCUACGGGUUCAUAGUUAUUAGCUAGAUGGCUUCUUCUCUCUCUUUGGAUCUCAACACAAAGUUCUCCUCAAUCUUCUUGGAGAUCUAUUCGAUGUAAUCUUCUUUUGCGGUGUGUUUGUCGAGAUUCGAUGAAUUGUGGGUUUAUGAUCUAGAUUAUCUAUGAACAAUAUUUGAUUCUCAUCUGAAUUCUUUUAUGUAUGAUAGGUUUAUCUUUGCAAGUCUCUUCAAAUUAUCAGUUUGGUUUGACCUACUAGAUUGAUCUUUCUUGCAAUGGGAGAAUUGCUUAGCUUUGGGUUCAAUCUUGCGGUGCUCGAUCCCAGUGACAGAAAGGGAACCGACACGUAUUGUAUUGUUGCCAUCGAGGAUAAAAAGAUGGGGUUUAUAUCAUAUUGCAUGAGUUUAUCCCUCUACAUCAUGUCAUCUUCCUUAAAGCAUUACGCUGUUCUUAUGAACUUAAUACUCUAGAUGCAUGCUGGAUAGCGGUCGAUGUAUGGAGUAAUAGUAGUAGAUGCAGAAUCGUUUCGGUCUACUUGUCACGGACGUGAUGCCUAUAUACAUGAUCAUACCUAGAUAUUCUCAUAACUAUGCACAAUUCUAUCAAUUGCCCGACAGUAAUUCGUUUACCCACCGUAAUACUUAUGCUCUUGAGAGAAGCCACUAGUGAAAUCUAUGGCCCCCGGGUCUAUAUUGCAUCAUAUUAAUCUUCCAAUACUUAGUUAUUUCUAUUGCCGUUUAUUUUACUGUGCAUCUUUAUUUCUCUUUAUCAUAAAAAUACCAAAAACAUUAUCUUAUCUUAUCUAUCAGAUCUCACUCUCAUAAGUGACUGUGAAGGGAUUGACAACCCCUUUAUCGCGUUGGUUGCGAGGUUCUUAUUUGUUUGUGUAGGUGCGUGGGACUUGAGCGUGAUCUCCUACUGGAUUGAUACCCUGGUUCUCAAAAACUAAGGGAAAUAAUUAUGCUACUUUGCUAUAUCACCCUUUCCUCUUCAAGGGAAAAUCAACGCAGGGCUCAAGAGGUAGCAUCGUCUUGUAUCCAACAAGCUUGAGUUUGCUCAAUUCGGAGCUCAUUUGCAGAAGUUUUGGCAAUUCUAGUUUUCCUUGGAGUAUACUGAUGUCUACUACACAACCUUCUUCUUGUAGACAUUGUUAGGCCUCCAAGUGCAGAGGUUUGUAGGACAGUAACAAAUUUCCCUCAAGUGGAUCACCUAAGGUUUAUCAAUCCGUGGGAGGCAUAGGAUGAAGAUGGUCUCUCUCAAGGAACCCUACAACCAAAUAACAAAGAGUCUAUUAUGUCCCCAACACACCCAAUACAAUGGUAAAUUGUAUAGGUGCACUAGUUCGACGAAGAGAUGAUGAUACAAGUGGUAUAUGCAUGGUAGAUAAUAGUUUUUGUAAUCUGAAAAUAUAGAAACAGCAAGGUAACUAAUGAUAAAAGUGAGCGUAAACGGUAUUUCAAUGCGUUGAAACAAGGCCUAGGGUUCAUACUUGAACUAGUGCAAGUUCUCUCAACAAUAAUAACUUAAUUGGGUCAUAAAACUAUCCCUCAACAUGCAACAAAGAGUCACUCCAAAGUCACUAAUAGCGGAGAACAAACGAAGAGAUUAUGGUAGGGUACGAAAACACCUCAAAGUUAUUCUUUCCAAUCAAUCCGUUGGGCUAUUCCUAUAAGUGUCACAAAUAGCCCUAGAGUUCGUACUAGAAUAACACCUUAAGACACAAAUCAACCAAAACCCUAAUGUCACCUAGAUACUCCAAUGUCACCUCAAGUAUCCGUGGGUAUGAUUAUACGAUAUGCAUCACACAAUCUCAGAUUCAUCUAUUCAACCAACACAUAGAACCUCAAAGAGUGCCCCAAAGUUUCUACCAGAGAAUCACGACGAAAACGUGUGCCAACCCCUAUGCAUCGGUUCAUGGGUGGAACCCGCAAGUUGAUCACCAAAACAUACAUCAAGUGAACCAUGUGAUAUCCCAUUGUCACCACAGAUAUGCACGGCAAGACAUACAUAAAGUAUUCUCAAAUCAUUAAAGACUCAAUCCGAUAAGAUAACUUCAAAGGGGAAACUCAAUCCAUUACAAGAGAGUAGAGGGGGGACAAAACAUCAUAGGAUCCAAAUAUAAUAGCAAAGCUCGCGAUACAUCAAGAUUGUACCACCUCAAGAACACGAGAGAGAGAGAGAGAGAUCAAACACAUAGCUACCGGUACAUACCCUCAGCCCCGAGGGAGAACUACUCCCUCCUCAUCAUGGAGAGCACCAGGAUGAUGAAGAUGGCCACCGGAGAAGGAUUCCCCCUCCGGCAGGGUGCCGGAACAGGUCUAGAUUGGAUUUCGGUGGCUAUGGAGGCUUCUGGCAGCGGAACUCCCGAUCUAUUGUGCUCCAAGAUCGUUUUAGGGUAUAUGGAGAUAUAUAGGCGGAAGAAGUACGUCAGGGGAUCCAUGAGGGGCCCACAAGGGUGGAGGGUGCGCCCAGGGGGUGGGCGCCCCCCCUACCUCGUGGCUUCCUCGAGGCUUCCUUGACAUGGACUCCUAGUCUCCCGGGUUGCUUUCCUUCCAAAAAUAAGUUCCGUGAAGUUUUAGGUCAAUUGGACUCCGUUUGGUUUUCCUUUUCUGCGAUACUCUAAAACAAGAAAAAAACAGAAACUGGCACUAGGCUCUGGGUUAAUAGGUUAGUCCCAAAAAUAAUAUAAAAGUGUAUAAUAAAGCCCUUAAACAUCCAAAACAGAAGAUAAUAUAGCAUGGAGCAAUAAAAAAUUACAGAUACGUUGGAGACAUAUCAGCAUCCCCAAGCUUAAUUCCUGCUCGUCCUUGAGUAGGUAAAUGAUAAAAACAGAAUUUUUGAUGCGGAGUGCUACUUGGCAUAAUUUCAAUAUAAUUCUUCUUAAUUGUGGUAUGAAUAUUCAGAUAUGAAAGAUUCAAGAUAAAAGUUCAUAUUGCCAUAAAAAUAAUAAUACUUCAAGCAUACUAACUAAGCAAUUAUGUCCUCUCAAAAUAACAUGGCCAAAGAAAGUCCAACCCUACAAAAUCAUAUAGUUUAGUCAUGCUCCAUUUUCGUCACACAAGAAUGCUCUCAUCAUGCACAACCCCGAUGACAAGCCAAGCAAUUGUUUCAUACUUUAGUAAUCUCAAUCCUAUAAACUUUCACGCAAUAUAUGAGCGCGAGUCGUGGAUAUAGCACUAUGGGUGGAAUAUAAUAUGAUGAUGGGGGUUAUGUGGAGAGGACAAAAAGGAGAAAGUCUUACAUCAACGAGGCUAAUCAAUGAGCUAUGGAGAUGCCCAUCGAUUGAUGUUAAUGCAAGGAGUAGGGAUUGCCAUGCAACGGAUGCACUAGAGCUAUAAAUGUAUGAAAGCUCAACAAAAGAAACUAAGUGGGUGUCCAUCCAACUUGCUUGCUCACGAAGACCUAGGGCACUUGAGGAGGCCCAUUGUUGGAAUAUACAAGCCAAGUUCUAUAAUGAAAAAUUCCCACUAGUAUAUGAAAGUGACAAAACAAGAGACUCUCUGUCAUGAGGAUUAUGGUGCUACUUUGAAGCACAAGUGUGGCAAAGGAUAGUAGCAUUGUCCCUUCUCUCUUUUUCUCCCAUUUUUUUGGGCCUUCUCUUUUUUAUGAUCUUUCUCUCUUUUUUUGGGCCUUCUCUUUUUUUAUGGCCUUUCUCUUUUUUUUGGGCCUUCUCUUUUUUAUGGCCUUUCUUUUUUUAUUCCUCACUUGGGACAAUGCUCUAAAAAAUGAUAAUCAUCACACUUCUAUUUAUUUACAACUCAAUGAUUACAACUCGAUACUAGAACAAAGUAUGACUCUAUAUGAAUGCCUCUGGUGGUGUACCGGGAUGGCGAUGAAUCAAGAGUGACAUGUAUGAAAAAUUAUGAAUGGUGGCUUUGCCACAAAUACAAUGUCAACUACAUGAUCAUGCAAAGCAAUAUGACAAUGAUGAUGCAUGUCAUAAUAAACGGAACGGUGGAAAGUUUCAUGGCAAUAUAUCUCGGAAUGGCUAUGGAAAUGCCAUAAUAGGUAGGUAUGGUGGCUGUUUUGAGGAAGAUAUAAGGAGGUUUAUGUGUGAAAGAGCGUACCAUAUCACGGGGUUUGGAUGCACCGGUGAAGUUUGCACCAACUCUCAAUGUGAGAAAGGGCAAUGCACGGUACCGAAGAGGCUAGCAAUGAUGGAAGGGUGAGAGUGCGUAUAAUCCAUGGACUCAACAUUAGUCAUAAAGAACUCACGUACUUAUUGCAAAAAUCUAUAAGUCAUCAAAAACCAAGCACUACGCGCAUGCUCCUAGGGGGAUAGAUUGGUAGGAAAAGACCAUCGCUCGUCCCCGACCGCCACUCAUAAGGAAGACAAUCAAAGAACACCUCAUGUUUCAAAUUUGUUACAUAACGUUUACCAUACGUGCAUGCUACGGGACUUGCAAACUGCAACACAAGCACUUCUCAAAUUCACAACUACUCAACAAGCACGACUUUGAUAUUAUUACCUCCAUAUCUUUAUUUAUAUUGGUGUUAAACCUACUGUAUUCCAACUUAUCUAUGGUUCAUACCCUCCGAUACUACUCAUAGAUUCAUCAAAAUAAGCAAACAACACAUAGAAAACAGAAUCUGUCAAAAACAGAACAGUUUGUAGUAAUCUGUAACUAACGUAUACUUCUGGAACUCGUAAAAUUCUAAAAUAAAUUGGUGGACCUGAGUAAUUUAUCUAUUAAUAAUCUUCAAAAAUAAUUAACUCAAUAUCACUCUCCAAUAAAAACUAGCAGCAAUUCUCAUGAGCGCUAAAGUUUCUGUUUUUUACAGCAUGAUCGCAAAGACUUUCCACGAGUCUUCCCAAAGGUUCUACUUGGCACAAACACUAAUUAAACACAUAAAACCACAUCUAAAUAGAGUCUAGAUGAAUUAUUUAUUACUAAACAGGAGCAAAAAUCAAGGAACUAAAAUAAAAUUGGAUUGCCUCCCAACAAGCGCUAUCGUUUAAUGCCCCUAGCUAGGCAUGAUGAUUUCAACGAUGCUCACAUAAAAGAUAAGAAUUGUAACAUAAAGAGAGCAUCUUGAAGAAUAUGACUAGCACAUUUAAGUAUAACCCACUUCCUAUGCAUAGGGAUUUUGUGAGCAAACAAUUUAUGUGAACAAGAAUCAACUUCCAUAGGAAGGUAAAUCAAGCAACACUUCAAGAUUUUCAACAUGUAGAGAGGAAACUUGAUAUUAUUGCAACUCCUACAAGCAUAUAUUCCUCCCUCAUAAUAAUUUUCAGUAGCAUCAUGAAUUAAUCAACAAUAUAACUAUCACAUAAAGCAUUAUUUUCAUGAUCUACAAGCAUAGAAAUUUUAUUACUCUGCACACAAGCAAAAUUCUUCUCAAUCGGAAUAGUGGGAGUAUCAUAAGAGACUCGAAUACUAUAAAUUGUUUCCACAUUAAAAGAGUAAUGUUCAGAGAAAGGGUAAUCAUAAUCAUGACAAGUUUUAUAAAUAUAAUCAUCACUACUUUUGCAUAAGAUUCAUCACAAUAAUCAUCAUAAGUAGCAACUUUGUUCUCAUCAUAAUCAAUUGAAACCUCUUCCAAGAUAGUGGAAUCAUUACUAAAUAAAGUCAUGACCUCUCCAAAUCGACUUUAAUAAAUAUAAUCAUCAUAAGUAGGAGGCAUGCUAUCAUCAUUAUCAAUUUGCAUAUCAAAACUUGGAGGACUAAAAAUAUCAUCUUCAUUAAACGGAGCAUCCCCAAGCUUGGGACAAACAUUAAUUGCAGCAAAUAUAUUCUCAAAAACAUCAUCUUCAUCAAACAUAGCAUCCCCAAGCUUGGGCCUUUUCAUAUCAUAAGCAUAAUCACUCUCAUCAUUAAUAGUAUGGAUAGCACCAAUAGUAUAGCAAUUAUCAUAUUCUUCCAAGCAAGUGCCAAAAAGAUUUUCAAGAUCAUAAGAAGUAUCAUUAUCUUCCACAAUUAUAUUUUCAUGAGGCACAAUAGUGAUAGGAGCAUUAUUAUUUGGGAGAGAUAUCUUUUUACCUCUCUUCCUUUUUCUUUUAUUCUUCUUCACCACAUCAUGUGUGGGUUCAAUCCUCUUUUUUGAGCUCCUUAUUAAUGAGAUUGGUUGAAUAGGAGGCUCCUCCUCGUUACCUGAUUUAUCAUAAGAAAUAAUAGGAGGAUAUUGGGAAGUCUCUUCCCUUUCAUUAGUGUUCUCUUCAUAUUCUAUUUGCUUUCUUUUCUUUAUGUAAUUGGCAAUAUAAGGAUUUUCAAUGCAAUUCACCGCACAAUAUAUAUAAAUUUCCUCUAGAUCAAAACCAAGAAGUUUAUAACGGGCAAAUUCUGGAAGAUGCUUAGUUAUACGUUUCAUUUCUUCGUAACCCAUAAGCAACCUGAGUUCAUUAUAAUGUGCAAGGGAAAUCAAGUCAUCACAAUUUUUGGACACGAUAAGAUCAUGAAACAAUUUGCAUCGGAUAGCUAUAUGACCCUGUUCAUUGCAAAGUCCACAAGUACAGCCAAGAAAAUUUAAAUUUUCAGCACAAUCAUCUAGCCUUUCUUGCAACAAUUUAGUUUCUAAGUACUUAUGCCUCAUGCAAUAUCUAUCUUCCCUAUUUUGUGUGUACUUACAAACCCAAUGCACUCCACAAAAGUUGACAUGUUUAUAGGAGACAUUUUCAUCAUAACUAGUGCAAUCAUCAUUAGUACCAUGGAUAUUCAAGGAGUUCAUACUGACAACAUUGCAAUCAUGCUCAUCAUUCAAAGAUUUAGUGCCAAACAUUUUAUAGACUUCUUCUUCUAGCACUUGAGCACAAUUUUCCUUUCCAUCAUACUCACGAAAGAUAUUAAAAAGAUGAAGCGUAUGAGGCAAACUCAAUUCCAUUUUUUUGUAGUUUUCUUUUAUAAACUAAACUAGUGAUAAAACAAGAAACUAAAAGACUCGAUUGCAAGAUCUAAAGAUAUACCUUCAAGCGCUAACCUCCCCCGCAACGGCGCCAGAAAAGAGCUUGAUGGCUACACAACCUUCUUCUUAUAGACGUUGUUGGGCCUCCAAGUCCAUAGGUUUGUAGGACAGUAUCAAAUUUCCCUCAAGUGGAUGACCUAAGGUUUAUCAAUCCGUGGGAGGCGUAGGAUGAAGAUGGUCUCUCUCAAGCAACCCUGCAACCAAAUAACAAAGAGUCUCUUGUGUCCCCAACACACCCAAUACAAUGGUAAAUUGUAUAGGUGCACUAGUUCGGUGAAGAGAUGAUGAUACAAGUGGUAUAUGGAUGGUAGAUAAUAGUUUUUGUAAUAUGAAAAUAUAAAAACAGCAAGGUAACUAAUGAUAAAAGUGAGCGUAAACGGUAUUGCAAUGCGUUGAAACAAGGCCUAGGGUUCAUACUUUCACUAGUGCAAGUUCUCUCAACAAUAAUAACAUAAUUGGAUAAUAAAACUAUCCCUCAACAUGCAACAAAGAGUCACUCCAAAGUCACUAAUAGCGGAGAACAAACGAAGAGAUUAUGGUAGGGUACGAAACCACCUCAAAGUUAUUCUUUCCAAUCAAUCCGUUGGGCUAUUCCUAUAAGUGUCACAAACAGCCCUAGAGUUCGUACUAGAAUAACACCAUAAGACACAAAUCAACCAAAACCCUAAUUUCACCUAGAUACUCCAAUGUCACCUCAAGUAUCCGUGGGUAUGAUUAUACGAUAUGCAUCACACAAUCUCAGAUUCAUCUAUUCAACCAACACAUAGAACCUCAAAGAGUGCCCCAAAGUUUCUACCGGAGAAUCACGACGAAAACGUGUGCCAACCCCUAUGCAUAGGUUCAUGGGUGGAACCCGCAAGUUGAUCACCAAAACAUACAUCAAGUGAAUCACGUGAUAUCCCAUUGUAACCACAGAUAUGCACGAUAAGACAUACAUCAAGUGUUCUCAAAUCUUUAAAGACUCAAUCCGAUAAGAUAACUUCAAAGGGGAAACUCAAUCCAUUACAAGAGAGUAGUGGGGGGACAAAACAUCAUAGGAUCCAAAUGUAAUAGCAAAGCUGGCGAUACAUCAAGAUCGUACCAUCUCAAGAACACGAGUGAGAGAGAGAUCAAACACAUAGCUACUAGUACAUACCCUCAGCCCCGAGGGAGAACUGCUCCCUCCUCGUCAUGGAGAGCACCAGGAAGAUGAAAAUGGCCACCGGAGAAGGAUUCCCCCUCCGGCAGGGUGCCGGAACGGGUCUAGAUUGGUUUUCGGUGGCUACGGAGGCUUCUGGCGGUGGAACUCCCGAUAUAUUGUGCUCCCCGGUCGUUUUAGGGUAUAUGGAGAUAUAUAGGCGGAAGAAGUACGUCAGGGGAGCCACGAGGGGCGCACGAGGGUGGAGGGCGCGCCCAAGGGGUGGGCGCGCCCCCUACCUCAUGGCUUCCUCGAGGAUUCCUUGACGUGGACUCCAAGUCCCCCGGGUUGCUUUCCUUCCAAAAAUAAGUUCCGUGAAGUUUCAGGUCAAUUGGACUCCGUUUGAUUUUCCUUUUCUGUGAUACUCUAAAACAAGGAAAAAACAGAAACUGGCACUGGGCUCUGGGUUAAUAGGUUAGUCCCAAAAAUAAUAUAAAAGUGUAUAAUAAAGCCCAUAAACAUCCAAAAUAGAAGAUAAUAUAGCAUGGAGCAAUAAAAAAUUAUAGAUACGUUGGAGACGUAUCAGCAUCCCCAAGCUUAAUUCCUGCUUGUCCUCGAGUAGGUUAAUGAUAAAAACAGAAUUUUUGAUGUGGAGUGCUACUUGGCAUAAUUUCAAUGUAAUUCUUCUUAAUUGUGGUAUGAAUAUUCAGAUCCGAAAGAUUCAAGAUAAAAGUUCAUAUUGCCAUAAAAAUAAUAAUACUUCAAGCAUACUAACUAAGCAAUUAUGUCCUCUCAGAAUAACAUGGCCAAAGAAAGUUCAUCCCUACAAAAUCAUAUAGUUUAGUCAUGCUCCAUUUUCGUCACACAAGAAUUCUCUCAUCAUGCACAACCCCGAUGACAAGCCAAGCAAUUGUUUCAUACUUUAGUAAUCUCAAACCUAUAAACUUUCACGCAAUAUAUGAGCGCGAGCCAUGGAUAUAGCACUAUGGGUGGAAUAGAAUAUGAUGAUGGGGGUUAUGUGGAGAGGACAAAAAGGAGAAAGUCUUACAUCAACGAGGAUAAUCAAUGAGCUAUGGAGAUGCCCAUCGAUUGAUGUUAAUGCAAGGAGUAGGGAUUGCCAUGCAACGGAUGCACUAGAGCUAUAAAUGUAUGAAAGCUCAACAAAAGAAACUAAGUGGGUGUCCAUCCAACUUGCUUGCUCACGAAGACCUAGGGCACUUGAGGAGGCCCAUUGUUGGAAUAUACAAGCCGUGUUCUAGAAUGAAAAAUUCCAACUAGUAUAUGAAAGUGACAAAACAAGAGACUCUCUAUCAUGAAGAUUAUGGUGCUACUUUGAAGCACAAGUGUGGCAAAGGAUAGUAGCAUUGUCCCUUCUCUCUUUUUCUCCCAUUUUUUUGGGCCUUCUCUUUUUUUAUGGCCUUUCUCUUGUUUUUGGGCCUUCUCUUUUUUAUGGCCUUUCUUUUUUUAUUCCUCACUUGGGACAAUGCUCUAAAAAAUGAUAAUCAUCACACUUCUAUUUAUUUACAACUCAAUGAUUACAACUCGAUACUAGAACAAAGUAUGACUCUGUAUGAAUGCCUCUGGUGGUGUACCGGGAUUGCGAUGAAUCAAGAGUGACAUGUAUGAAAAAUUAUGAAUGGUGGCUUUGCCACAAAUACAAUGUCAACUACAUGAUCAUGCAAAGCAAUAUGACAAUGAUGAUGCGUGUCAUAAUAAACGGAACGGUGGAAAGUUUCAUGGCAAUAUAUCUCUAAAUGGCUAUGGAAAUGCCAUAAUAGGUAGGUAUGGUGGCUGUUUUGAGGAAGAUAUAAGGAGGUUUAUGUGUGAAAGAGCGUACCAUAUCACGGGGUUUGGAUGCACCGGUGAAGUUUGCACCAACUCUCAAUGUGAGAAAGGGCAAUGCACGGUACCGAAGAGGCUAGCAAUGAUGGAAGGGUGAGAGUGCGUAUAAUCCAUGGACUCAACAUUAGUUAUAAAGAACUCACGUACUUAUUGCAAAAAUCUACAAGUCAUCAAAAACCAAGCACUACGCGCAUGCUCCUAGGGGGAUAGAUUGGUAGGAAAAGACCAUCGCUCGUCCCCGACCGCCACUCAUAAGGAAGACAAUCAAAGAACACCUCAUGUUUCAAAUUUGUUACAUAACGUUUACCAUACGUGCAUGCUACGGGACUUGCAAACUUCAACACAAGCACUUCUCAAAUGCACAACUACUCAACAAGCACGACUUUGAUAUUAUUACCUCCAUAUCUCAAAACAAUCAUCAAGCAUCAAACUUCUCUUAGUAUUCAACACUCUAUAUGAAAGUUUUUUACUAGUCUUGAUUACCUAGCAUAUUAGGAUUACUUAAGAAAAUUACCAUGCUAUUUAGGACUCUCAAAUAAUAUAAGUGAAGCAUGAGAGAUCAAUUAUUUCUUCAAAAUAAAAUCACCACCGUGCUCUAAAAAGAUAUAAGUGAAGCACUAGAGCAAAUGACAAACUACUCCGAAAGAUAUAAGUGAAGAUCAAUGAGUAGUCGAAUGAUUAUGCAACUAUAUGAAGACUCUCUAACAUUUAAUAAUUUAAGAUCUUCGUAUUUUAUUCAAACAGCAAGCAAAGCAAAAUAAAAUGACGCUACAAGCAAAACACAUAUCAUGUGGUAAAUAAAAAUAUAGCUCCAAGUAAAGUUACCGAUGAACGAAGACGAAAGAGGGGAUGCCUUCCGGGGCAUCCCCAAGCUUAGGCUUUUUGGUGUCCUUGGAUAUUACCUUGGGGUGAAUUGGGCAUCCCCAAGCUUAGGAUCUUGCCACUCCUUAUUCCAUAGUCCAUCGAAUCUUUACCCAAAACUUGAAAACUUCACAACACAAAACUUGAAGUAGAAAACUCGUGAGCUCCGCUAGCGAAAGAAAACAAAACAGCACUUCAAGGUACUGUAAUGAACUCAUUCUUUAUUUAUAUUGGUGUUAAGCCUACUGUAUUCCAACUUAUCUAUGGUUCAUACCCUCCGAUACUACUCAUAGAUUCAUCAAAAUAAGCAAACAACACAUAGAAAACAGAAUCUGUCAAAAACAGAACAGUCUGUAGUAAUCUGUAACUAAUGUAUACUUCUGAAACUCAUAAAAUUCUCAAAUAAAUUGGUGGACCUGAGUAAUUUAUCUAUUAAUAAUCUUCAAAAAUAAUUAACUCAAUAGCACUCUCCAAUAAAAACUAGCAGCAAUUCUCGUGAGCGCUAAAGUUUCUGUUUUUUACGGCAUGAUCGCAAAGACUUUCCACGAGUCUUCCCAAAGGUUCUACUUGGCACAAACACUAAUUAAACACAUAAAACCACAUCUAAACAGAGGCUAGAUGAAUUAUUUAUUACUAAACAAGAGAAAAAAAAUCAAGGAACUAAAAUAAAAUUGGGUUGCCUCCCAACAAGCGCUAUCGUUUAAUGCCCCUAGCUAGGCAUGAUGAUUUCAACGAUGCUCACAUUAAAGAUAAGAAUUGUAACAUAAAGAGAGCAUCUUGAAGAAUAUGACUAGCACAUUUAAGUAUAACCCACUUCCUAUGCAUAGGGAUUUUGUGAGCAAACAAUUUAUGUGAACAAGAAUCAACUUGCAUAGGAAGGUAAAGCAAGCAACACUUCAAGAUUUUCAACAUGUAGAGAGGAAACUUGAUAUUAUUGCAACUCCUACAAGCAUAUAUUCCUCCCUCAUAAUAAUUUUCAAUAGCAUCAUGAAUGAAUUCAACAAUAUAUCUAUCACAUAAAGCAUUCUUUUCAUGAUCUACAAGCAUAGAAAUUUUAUUACUUUCAAUGAAGUUUAUGAUUCAUACUUGAAAUUGUGAUUGAAUUGUUACUCUAGUAUAAGAGAUCAUAUGACAAGAAUUAUAUAAGUUGUUGUUCUAAGAAUGAUCACGAUGCCCUCAUGUCUGUAUUUUAUUUUUAUCGACACCUCUAUCUCUAAACAUGUGGACAUAUUUUUUGAUUUCGGCUUUCGCUUGAGGACAAGCGAGGUCUAAGCUUGGGGGAGUUGAUACGUCCAUUUUGCAUCAUGCUUUUAUAUCGAUAUUUAUUGCACUAUGGGUUGUUAUUACACAUUAUGUCACAAUACUUAUGCCUAUCUCUCUUAUUUUAAAAGGUUUCCAUAAAGAGGGAGAAUGCCGGCAGCUGGGAUUCUGGGCUGGAAAAUGAGCAAAUAUUAUAGACCUAUUCUGCACAGCUCCAAAAGUCCUAAAACUUCACGAAAGACGUUUUCCGAAUAUAUAAAAAAUAUUGAGCACAAGAAGUUCACCAAUGGGGCCACACCCUGCCCACGAGGGUGGGGGCGUGCCCUACCCCCCUGGGCGCGCCCCCCUACCACGUGGGCCCCCUGGUGGCCCUCCGAUGACCAUCUUCUGCUAUAUGAAGUCUUUCGAUGAUAAAAAAAUCAUAAGCCAUCUUCUCGGACGAAACUCCGCCGCCACGAGGCGGAACCUUGGCGGAACCAAUCUGGGGUUCUGCGAAGCUAUUAUGUCGGGGAAACUUCCCUCCGGUAGGGGGAAAUCAUCGCCAUCGUCAUCACCAAUGCUUCUCUCAUCGGGAGAGGGCAAUCUCCAUCAACAUCUUCACCAGCACCAUCUCCUCUCAAAACCCUAGUUCAUCUCUUAUAUCCAAUGCUUGUCUCCAAGUCCGGGAUUGGUACCUGUGGGUUGCUAGUAGUGUUAAUUACUCCUUGUAGUUGAUGCUUGUUGGUUUAUUUGGUGGAAGAUCAUAUGUUCAGAUCCUAUAUGCACAUUAAUACCCCUCUGAUUAUGAACAUGAAUAUGCUUUGUGAGUAGUUACGUUUGUUCCUGAGGACAUGGGAGAAGUCUUGCUAUGAGUAGUCAUGAAUUUGGUAUUCGUUUGAUAUUUUGAUGAUAUGUAUGUUGUCUCUCCUCUAGUGGUGUUAUGUGAACGUCGACUACAUGACACUUCACCAUUAUUUGGGCUUAGAGGAAGGAAUUGGGAAGUAAUAAGUAGAUGAUGAGUUGCUAGAGUGACAGAGGCUUAAACCCUUGUUUAUCCGUUGCUUCGUAAGGGGCUGAUUUGGAUCCAUAUGUUUCAUGCUAUGGUUAGGUUUACCUUAAUACUUUUGUUGUAGUUGCCGAUGCUUGCAAUAGAGGUUAAUCAUAAGUGGGAUGCUUGUCCAAGUAAGGACAAUACCCAAGCACCAGUCCACCCACAUACCAAAUUAUCAAAGUACCGAACGCGAAUCAUAUGAACGUGAUGAAAACUUGCUUGACGAUAUUCCCAUGUGUCCUCGGGAGCGCUUUUCUCUAUAUAAGAGUUUGUCCAGGGUUGUACUUUACUACAAAAAGGAUUGGGCCGCCUUGCUGCACUUUAUUUACUUUUGUUACUUGUUGCUCGUUACAACUUAUCCUAUCACAAAACUAUCUGUUACCACUUAUUUCAGUACUUGCAGAGAAUACCUUGCUGGAAACCGCUUAUCAUUUCCUUCUGCUCCUCGUUGGGUUCGACACUCUUACUUAUCGAAAGGACAACGAUAGAUCCCCUAUACUUGUGGGUCAUCACUCUCUAUCAUGAAGAUUAUGGUGCUACUUUGAAGCACAAGUGUGGUAAAAAGAUAGUAACAUUGUCCCUUCUCUCCUUUUCUCUCUUUUUUUGGGCCUUCUCUCUUUUUUAUGGCCUUUCUCUCACUUUUUUUUUAUUUUUCCUCACUUGGGACAAUGCUCUAGAAAAUGAUGAUCAUCACACUUCUAUUUAUUUACAACUCAAUGAUUACAACUCGAUACUAGAACAAGGUAUGACUCUAUAUGAAUGCCUCCGGCAGUGUAUCGGGAUAUGCAAUGAACCAAGAGUGACAUGUAUGAAAGGAUUAUGAAUGGUGGCUUUGCCACAAAUACUAUGUCAACUACAUGAUCAUGCAAAGCAAUAUGACAAUGAUGAACGUGUCAUGAUAAAUGGAACGGUGGAAAGUUGCAUGGCAAUAUAUCUCGGAAUGGCUAUGGGAAUGCCAUAAUAGGUAGGUAUGGUGGCUGUUUUGAGGAAGAUAUAAGGAGGUUUAUGUGUGAAAGAGUGUAUCAUAUCACGGGGUUUGGAUGCACCGGCGAAGUUUGCACCAACUCUCAAUGUGAGAAAGGGCAAUGCACGGUACCGAAGAGGCUAGCAAUGAUGGAAAGGUGAGAGUGCGUAUAAUCCAUGGACUCAACAUUAGUCAUAAAGAACUCGCAUACUUAUUGCAAAAAUCUAUAAGUCAUCAAAAACCAAGCACUACGUGCAUGCUCCUAGGGGGAUAGAUUGGUAGGAAAAGACCAUCGCUCGUCCCCGACCGCCACUCAUAAGGAGGACAAUCAAAGGACACCUCAUGUUUCUAAUUUGUUACAUAACGUUUACCAUACGUGCAUGCUACGGGACUUGCAAACUUCAACACAAGUAUUUUUCAAAUUCACAACUACUCAACUAUCACAACUUUCAUAUCACUACCUCCAUGUCUCAAAACAAUCAUCAAGUAUCAAACUUCUCUUAGUAUUCAACACACUCAUAAGAAAGUUUUUACUAGUCUUGAAUACCUAGUAUAUUAGGAUUAUUUAAGUAAAUUACCAUGCUAUUUAAAUCUCUCAAAAUAAUCUAAGUGAAGCAUGAGAGAAUAAUAGUUUCUAUAAAACAAAACCACCACCGUGCUCUAAAAGAUAUAAGUGAAGUACUAGAGCAAAAACUAUAUAACUCAAAAGAUAUAAGUGAAGCACAUAGAGUAUUCUAAUAAUUUACGAAUCAUGUGUGUCUCUCUCAAAAGGUUUGUACAGCAAGGAUGAUUGUGGUAAACUAAAAAUCAAAGGCUCAAAUCAUACAAGACUCUCCAAACAAAACACAUAUCAUGUGGUGAAUAAAAAUAUAGCUCCAAGGAAAGUUACCGAUGGAAGUAGACGAAAGAGGGGAUGCCUUCCGGGGCAUCCCCAAGAUUUGUCUUUAGGUGUCCUUAGAUUAUCUUGGGGUGCCAUGGGCAUCCCCAAUAUUAGGCUCUUGCCACUCCUUGUUCCAUAAUCCAUCAAAUCUUUCACCCAAAACUUGAAAACUUCACAACACAAAACUUAACAGAAAAUCUCGUGAGCUUCAUUAGCAAAAGAAAACAAAACACCACUUCAAGGUAAUAUAAUGAACUAAUUAUUUAUUUAUAUUGGUGUUAAACCUACUUUAUUCCAACUUCUCUAUGGUUUAUAAACUAUUUUACUAGCCAUAGAUUCAUCAAAAUAAGCAAACAACACACGAAAAACAGAAUCUGUCAAAAACAGAACAGUCUGUAGUAAUCUGUAACUAACGCAAGAUCUGGAACCCCAAAAAUUAUAAAAUAAAUUGGUGGACGUGAGGAAUUUAUCUAUUAAUCAUAUUUAAAAAGAAUUAACUAGAUAGCACUUUUAAAAUAAAAAUGGCAGCAAUUCUCGUGAACGCUAAAGUUUCUGUUUUUUACAGCAAGAUUAAAAAGACUUUCCCCAAGUCUUCCCAACGGUUCUACUUGGCACAAACACUAAUUAUACAAAAAAACAACCAAAAAAGAGGCUAUAUAAAUUAUUUAUUACUAAACAGUAGAAAAAAGCAAGGAAUAAAAAUAAAAUUGGGUUGCCUCCCAACAAGCGCUAUCGUUUAACGCCCCUAGCUAGGCAUAAAAAAUCAAGGAUAGAUCUAGGUAUUGCCAUCUUUGGUAGGCAAUCCAUAAGUGGCUCUCAUAAUAGAAUCAUAAGGUAAUUUGAUUUUCUUUCUAGGGAAGUUUUACAUGUCUUUCCUUAACGGAAACUAGAAUCUAAUAUUCCCUUCUUCAUAUCGAUAAUUGCACCAAUCGUUCUGAGGAAAGGUCUACCAGAAUAAUAGGACAUGAAGGAUUGCAAUCUAUGUCAAGAACAAUAAAAUCUACGGGCACAUAAUUCCUAUUUGCAAAAAUAAGAACAUCAUUAAUUCUUCCCAUAGGUUUCUUAAUAGUGGAAUCCGCAAGUUGCAAGUUUAAAGAGAGCAAUCAUCAAAAUCACGGAAACCUAGCAAAUCACACAAAGUCUUUGGAAUCGUGGAAACACUAGCACCCAAAUAACACAAAGCAUAGCAUUCAUGAUAUUUAAUUUUAAUUUUAGUAGUAGGUUCCCACUCAUCAUAAAGUUUUCUAGGGAUAGAAACUUCCAACUCAAGUUUAUCUUCAUAAGAUUGCAUCAAAGCAUCAACGAUAUGUUUAGUAAAAGCUUUAUUUUGACUAUUAGCAUAAGGAGAAUUUAGCACGGAUUGCAACAAGGAAAUACAAUCUAUCAAAGAGAAAUUAUCAUAAUUAAAUCCUUGAAAUCCAAAAUAGUGAGUUCAUUAAUAUUUAAAGUUUUGAUCUCUUCAAUCCCACUUUUAACAAUUUUAGCAUCAAGAUCUAAAGACUCCGAAUUUUUGGAACGCCGUCUAGGUAAAGGUGGAUCAUAUUCAGUCCCAUCAUUAUCAAGAUUCAUAUUGCAAAACAAAGAUUUUAUAGGGGACACAUCAAUAACUUUCAGAUCUUCAUCUUUAUUAUCAUGGAAACUAGAAGAACACGCUUUUAUAAAGCAACCUUUCUUAGCACGCAUCCUAGCGGUUCUUUCUUUGCACUCAUCAAUGGAAAUUCUCAUGGAUUUGAGAGACUCAUUGAUAUCAUGCUUAGGUGGAAUAGAUCUAAGUUUCAAAUAAUCAACAUCAAGAGUAAUUCUAUCAACGUUCCUAGCCAACUCAUCAAUCUUAAGCAAUUUUUAUUCAAUCAAAGCAUUGAAAUUCUUUUGCGAAGUAAUAAAUUCUUUAAUAUUAGAUUCAAAAUCAGAUGGCAUCUUAUUAUAAUUUCCAUAAGAAUUGUUGUAGUAAUUACCAUAAUUAGAGGAAUUACUACGAUACGGCCUAGGAUUAAAGUUUCCUCUAUACACGUUGUUACCAAAAUUAUUCCUACCAACAAAAUUCACAUCCAUAGAUUCAUUAUUAUUCUCAAUCAAAGUAGACAAAGGCAUAUCAUUAGGAUUAGAAGAAACACUUUUAUUAGCAAAUAAUUUCAUAAGUUCAUCCAUCUUUCCACUCAAAACAUUAAUUUCUUCUAUCACAUGCACUUUCUUAUUAGUAGAUCUUUCAGUGUGCCAUUGAGAAUAAUUAACCAUAAUAUUAUCUAGGAGUUUAGUAGCUUCUCCUAAAGUGAUUUCCAUAAAAGUGCCUCCCGUGGCCGAAUCUAAAAGAUUUAUAGAAGCAAAAUUCAAUCCGGCAAAUUUUUUUGUAUAAUCAUCCACAAAUUCAAACCAUGCGUAGGGCAAUUAUGUAUCAUUAAUUUCAUCCUCUCCCAAGCUUGUGCAACAUGUUAAUGAUCAAGUUGCUUAAAAUUCAUAAUAUCGUUUCUAAGGGAGAUAAUCUUAGCGGGAGGAAAAUACUUAGAGAUAAAAGCAUCUUUGCACUUAUUCCAAGAAUCAAUACUAUUUUUAGGCAAAGACGAAAACCAAGCUUUAGCACGAUCUCUAAGCGAAAAAGGAAAUAGCUUCAAUUUAACAAUAUCAUUAUCCAAAUUUUUCUUCUUUUGUGUGUCACACGAAUCAACGAAGCUAUUUAGAUGGGUAACAGCAUCUUCACUAGGAAGGCCGGCGAAUUGAUCUUUCAGGACAAGAUUCAACAAAGCAGCAUUGAUUUCACAAGAUUCAGUAUCGAUAAGAGGAGCAAUCGGAGUGCUAAGGAAAUCAUUGUUGUUGGUAUUGGUAAAGUCACACAAUUUAGUAUUAUCUUGAGCCAUCGUGACAAGCAAGCAAUCCAACACACGAGCAAACAAUAGACGGGCAAAAAAGAGGCAAAUAGAGAAAGAGAGGGAGGAUGGAGAGAGAGAGGGCGAAUAAAACGGCAAGGGUGAAGUGGGGGAGAGGAAAACGAGAGGCAAAUGGCAAAUAAUGUAAUGCGGGAGAUAAGGAUUUGUGAUGGGUACUUGGUGUGUUGACUUUUGCGUAGACCUCCCCGGCAAUGGGGCCAGAAAUCCUUCUUACUACCUCUUAAGCACUUGCAUUGGUUUUCCCUUGAAGAGGAAAGGGUGAUGCAACAAAGUAGCAUAAGUAUUUCCCUCAGUUUUUGAGAACCAAGGUAUCAAUCUAGUAGGAGGCCACGCAUGAGUCCCUCACGCCUACACAAACAAAUAAAUCCUCUCAACCAACGCGAUAAGGGGUUGUCAAUCCCUACAUGGUCACUUACGAGAGUGAGAUCUGAUAGAUAUGAUAAGAUAAUUUUUUUGGUAUUUUUAUGAUAAAGAUGCAAAGUAAAAUAAAUGGCAAAGGAAAUAACUAAGUAUUGGAAGAUUAAUAUGAUGGAAGAUAGACUCGGGGGCCAUAGGUUUCACUAGUGGCUUCUCUCAAGAGCAUAAGUAUUUACGGUGGGUGAACAAAUUACUGUUGAGCAAUUGACAAAAUUGAGCAUAGUUAUGAGAAUAUCUAGGUAUGAUCAUGUAUAUAGGCAUCACGUCCGAGACAAGUAGACCGACUCCUGCAUGCAUCUACUACUAUUACUCCACACAUCGACCGCUAUCCAACAUGCAUCUAGAGUAUUAAGUUCAUAAGAACAGAGCAACACUUUAAGCAAGAUGACCUGAUGUAGAGGGAUAAACUCAUGCAAUAUGAUAUAAACCCCAUCUUGUUAUCCUUGAUGGCAACAAUACAAUAUGUGCAUUGCUGCCCCUACUGUCACUAGGAAAGGACACCGCAAGAUUGAACCCAAAGCUAAGCACUUCUCCCAUUGCAAGAAAGAUCAAUCUAGUAGGCCAAACCAAACUGAUAAUUUGAAGAGAUUUGCAAAGAUAACCAAUCAUACAUAAAAGAAUUCAGAGAAGAUUCAAAUAUUGUUCAUAGAUAAACUUGAUCAUAAACCCACAAUUCAUCGAUCUCAACAAACACACCGCAAAAGAAUAUUACAUCGAAUAGAUCUCCAUGAGAGAGGGGGAGUGUCGAUGUCAAAACCGGCGGAUCUCGGGUAGGGGGUCCCGAUCUGUGCGUCUAGGCGGAUGGAAACAGGAGACAAGGGACAUGAUGUUUUUACCCAAGUUCGGGCCCUCUCGAUGGAGGUAAAACCCUACUCCUGCUUGAUUAAUAUUGAUGAUAUGGGUAGUACAAGAGUAGAUCUACCACGAGAUCAAGGAGGCUAAUCCCUAGAAGCUAGCCUAUGGUAUGAUUGUUGUCCCUACGGACUAAAACCCUCCGGUUUAUAUAGACACCGGAGAGGGCUAGGGUUACACAGAGUCGGUUACAAUGGUAGGAGAUCUACAUAUCCGUACCGCCAAGCUUGCCUUCCACGCCAAGGAAAGUCCCUUCCGGACAAGGGACGAAGUCUUCAAUCUUGUAUCUUCAUAGUCCAGGAGUCCGGCCGAAGGUAUAGUCCGGCUAUCCGGACACCCCCUAAUCCAGGACUCCCUCAGUAGCCCCCGAACCAGGCUUCAAUGACGACGAGUCCGGCGCGCAGAUCGUCUUCGGCAUUGCAAGGCGGGUUCCUCCAAAUUCUGUGUACCUGUUGAAUAAUGUCCGGUUUCUUGUAAAUGUAGCGCUCCUUGGCUUCUACGCCCAAUAAUGGCCGUCUUCCAUGUGUCAAACGAAUACGAAAAGUCAGGGUGUUUUUAUAUUUACACCCCUAGCUGCGUGAAUGAGCCGCCUAUUUAAGGGGACGAGGAUUUAGAUCCAAACCACACCUUCUCCCCUCCGCGAGUAUUCAUCAGAGCGUAUCCGACAGAGGUCCAUUCUAUCAUGGCCGACCGCCGCAGCUCCUCCUCUCGCCCUUCCAGCCCUCAGCCUAGAGAUUGGGAGAGAUGCUCCAUCCUGCACAGCGAGCUAGUGACGCUCCAGACCAAGGGAUUUCUCCCCCCGGCCUAUAUGGUCCCGGUUCGAGCCGGACUUGCCACCUAUAAUGGCGGAGAGCAAGCGGAGAGCACCCCCAAUCCCUCCAAAGGAGAGCGGGUAUGCCUUGUCCCUUACUUAAUAAGAGGGCUCGGAUUUCCAAUUCAUCCGUUUCUCCGGGGGCUCCUGGAGUUCUAUGGCCUCCAGCUGCACAACCUCACGCCUGCCUCCAUAUUGCAUAUCGCGGGCUUUGUAGCCCUUUGCGAGCUGUUUUUGGGCUGCGAAGCUCAUUUCACGCUGUGGAAAAGGCUAUUCUGCCUUGUGCCCCGUUCUCAGAAGGGGUCAAUAUAUCGAGUGGGCGGAGCCGAAGUGUGGCACAUCGCCGGGACCGGAUAUCUAUCCGGAACCCCAAAGAAAGCGUCCGAGGACUGGCCUUCAGAAUGGUUUUAUAUAGAGGAUGUCCCGCUGCUGGAUCCUGUCCGGAUCGGCCUCCCUGAGUUCGACAGUGCUCCCCUAAAGAAGCGCCUAAGCUGGCGUCCACGGAGCCCUCAGAGGGAAAGCGACAAGGACGUUCUUUACCUGAUGGGCCGGAUAAGAUUGUUAGCUCAUUCCGGACUGACCAUGAUCGGGGUCAUGGCCGCAUGCAUCAUGCGAGGGGUGCAUACGCUCCAGUAUAGAGGCCACCCCAUGUGGGACUUCAACGGGGAGGACGGCGCCACCAGCCACGGUCGUAAGGGGUCGGAUUCGUCUGCCGCUCUAAUAAAGAUCUUGUCCGCUUUGUACAAGGGAGAAGAGGAGGAAUUUCUCCGCGUCAACCCACAGGGUGGAUUUUCUAUGUACAAUCCCCCAAGUUGGGUAAGUGGACACUUUUACUUGCCCAUCUGUUUUAUAUUCCCAUCGUUAAUAUUCAGUCUAACGACUUCAACGCAGGAACUGCGCCAGGCUGUUAAAGAAAUAAACAGCCCUCCUCCACAACCCAAGGAUCCAGGACGGUCCCUCGACCCAGCCUCUCAAGAGGAUCCGGACUUAUCUGUGGAGCUGAUUGAUGGGGUGUUUCAUCAAUUGAGCAAGGACAACGCCUUGGUGGCCAUUACGGCCGAUUACCCAGGGCUACUCCCAGCCUCACAGGUAACUGAGACCGAAGUCCCAGCACUUUGAAAAGGGAUCUAUCCUUGCGUGUUUUGCAGGGAAGGUCCUUGAGACGGGAGGCCGAGCCUGCGGCGACUAGCCAACGAGGGGCGGCAAGGCCCCGCGGGCUGAAAAGAAGUGCCGUCCAGACUGAGACGCCGGCGCAAAGGUAUAGCACGCCAUCUUAUUCCCAGGUGUUAUUCUUUCAAUGCAUAUUAACGCUCGUGCUCUCUUCAGGAUGAAGAGACCUCGCCGGACUAUAUCCGGAGAGGUUGCCAAUCGCGCCUCCACCAGCCAGGCUCCAAAGCCUGGUCCAGAAGCGGAGGCGAACACAAGGCGCGCACCGGACGCUCCUCCAAUAGAGGAUGCGGACAGGUUGUCUGCCACCAAUUCCGAGGUGGAGAGUGCCAUGAACCACAGGCGUCGCCGGAUAGUUCUUCGCGACGCUUAUUUCUUCCAAGAGGCAUUGGAUGCCUUCAAUUCGGGAGAUGCGUACCUCCAUGCCGCUCAAAAUGGUCUAGCCAGAGCCACGGAGCAAUAUGUAAAAGACAUACGGGUAAGAAAAUUUUGGUAAUUAUAUAUAUAUACCAGUAGCCCCCGAGACUUGAAACAGUUAGAAUAACUGAUUUAAGGAUCAUUUGUUAUGCAGAUUCUUACAUAAAAGAAUACUCUACUGUCCCAGGAGCUAGAAGAGUGCAAAGCCCAACUUGAGGCCGCACUAGCCGCGGCAGGGGAGCCCAAGGAGACCCCCUCUGGUAAUAUACGCUUCGAAAGAUAAGUAUUUUGCGAAGUGCGGCGUGGGUGCAAAUCUGACAAAUGAAAUUGCAGAUGGCGCCGGAUUAAAUCCGGAAAAGCAACAACUCCUACGCCAGCUGAAGGCUGGUGAGAGUGUGCUGACAAAGGUGAGGCGGGAGAAGAACGAUCUCCAAGAUGCCAACACCAAGCUGGGCGUUGAACUGAAGGAUGUUCGUGCCCAGCUGUUGGGCUCCGUUAAGGAGAAUCAGCGGCUUCGACGUGGCAUAUUUAGUAAGUGCUUAAACGAACUUUGAAAAAGGAGUUCGGCGAGGAAGUCGACUAACUGAGUAAUGUCUGUAGGUAUGCUAAUAGGUCGGCCUGCAGAGGAAAUGCCCGGUUCUACGGGUGACCUUCUUCCCGAGCUCUCACAACUGCACGAGCGAGUUCGGCAGGUGAUGCAAGGCGUCGCCCAGGCCUUGUGGCCAUCCGUCUCCAAGCCCGAAGGCCUUGGAGAGCUUGUAGAGAAGCUGAAGGGAGCGCAGCAGCGCUUCCGAUUGUGGAAGAUGUCGGCCUGCCAUCAAGGCGCUAGGGAGGCCUGGGCCAUGGUGAAGACGCGGUACACGAAGGCUGACCCAAACCACAUGGCCGAGGUCGGACCCGUGGGGCCUGAUGGGAAGGAGAUCCCUGUGAGCUUAGUAUACGGCCAAGUAGAAUUGGCCGCAAAGUAUUCCCAAUAGGACUGUAAGCUAGACAGCCUGUUAGAUGGUAUUGAAGAGGAAUACAAUCAGUCAGGUUGACUAUGUAAUUUUAAUUGACAUGUGUAAUGCCUUCUAGACGGAUUGUAGAUCGUUUGUCAUGGCCGACCUUUUCGCUUCAACCUCGGGACCUGGCGGUCCCUCGCGGUUAUAUAAGAACCGGGGUAUGCAUGGAGACCAGGCGUAGGGGUCAUUAGUGCUUGAACAGACAAGUGCCCAACUAGUUAUUUUAUAUUACAUGGUUAGUAAGAAACAUCUUCUAGGGAGAAUAGUUCCGUUAGGGGUUCCUUUCCCUGGGAGGAAUGCCCUAAAGUGCAUGUCCAUUCUGCGAAAAGAGACGCAGGAAAAACAUCUGGGGGCGUAUAGAUAAACAAGUGAAAAAAGAUCAUCUUUAGUUCACCGACCGAAUAUUCCCUUAAGAACGCUAGCUUUCGGCUUCACCCAGUCUGAGGUACACAUCCGGCUGACCCGGUAGUAACAAUCGCAGAGGUGCUCCCUUUACCACCUAGCCAAACAAUCAGGAACGUAGGGGUAAGAACAGGAGCCAGGCAACCCAGCUUGGCUAAAACUUAAGUCAUAUCGAUGCAUAUAAUGGUGAAUAAAAGGUACAUGCGGAAGUGUGACACAUGUGUUGGGCAUGAAGCCCGUAUAAAUAAGCUUUUGUUUAAAGAAGCCCUCAGGUUUAAUGAGCGCGGAUAGCGUGUCACUUUAUGAGCCUUUAAAGGCUAUAAGAGAGAGAGAGAGAGGGGGAGAAGGAGAGAAAUGUACGACAGAAAGUAUAUAAAAAAUGGACAGAGGAAGGAGACGAACACAGAGUCCGGCGUUAGGCAUAGAAUCUUCGGAGACGGGCUGCGUUCCAUGGGUUUGGCUCGAGUCGGUUAUCCGAUGCAUCUCGCAGGCGGUACGCUCCACCAGUCAGGACUUGGUCAAUUAUGAAGGGACCUUCCCACUUGGGCUUGAGUUUGUCCUUUUUCUUGUCCGACAGGCGUAGAACUAAUUCGCCAACAUUGUAAUUUUUGGCCCGUACUUCUCUGCUUUGGUAUCUUCAAGCCUGUUGUUGAUAGAAUGCGGAACGGGCUUUUGCCACGUCACGCUCUUCCUCCAAGGCGUCCAAACUGUCCUGCCGAUCGAGCUCGGCUUCUCUUUCUUCGUACAUGCGCACUCGAGGUGAGUCAUGAAUUAUGUCACAGGGCAAAACUGCCUCUGCGCCAUACACCAUGAAGAAUGGUGUGUAUCCGGUGGUGCGAUUCGGCGUGGUCCGCAGCCCCCAGAGUACGGAGUCGAGCUCCUCUACCCAGUGCGUAUUAGAUUCCUUAAGGGACCACACUACUCUGGGUUUGAUGCCGCUCAUGAUAAGACCAUUUGCACGUUCGACCUGGCCGUUAGUUUGUGGGUGAUAGACGGAAGCAUAAUCGAGCUUGAUGCCCAUGUUUUUGCACCAGAGUUUUACCUCGUCGGCCGUAAAGUUCGUGCCGUUAUCAGUGAUGAUGCUGUGGGGGACGCCGUAAUGGUGUACAACCCCGGAUAUAAAGUCUAUCACCAGUCCGGAUUCGGCCGUCUUAACAGGCUUGGCUUCUAUCCAUUUGGUGAACUUAUCCACCAUGACCAGUAAGUAUUUUUUCUUGUGGGUUCCGCCUUUAAGGGGUCCAACCAUGUCAAGCCCCCAGGCCGUGAAGGGCCAAGUGAUGGGGAUAGUUUGGAGGGCGGUGGGUGGCAUAUGGCUUUGGUUUGCAAAAGGCUGGCAACCGACGCAUCGUUGGACUAAGUCCUGGGGGUCUGCCCGGGCCGUCGGCCAAUAAAAGCCUGUACGGAAGGCCUUGCUUACAAGGGACCGAGCUGCAGCGUGAUGACCGCCGAGUCCGGCAUGAAUUUCAGCCAGGAGGUUCCGCCCUUCCUCUUCGGAGAUGCACCUUUGAAGGACUCCGGUAGUGCUUUUCUUAUAAAGCUCUCCUUCAUGGACUUUAUAGGAUUUAGAUCGCCGUACUAUGCAGCAUGCCUCAUUUUGGUCCUCGGGGAGUUCCUGCCUAGUAAGGUAGGCGAGGAAUGGUUCUGUCCACGGGGCGAUGACGACCAUUAUUACGUGGGCUGAAGGUGUUAUUUCAUUGGCAGAGCCUCCAAUUAUGUCAGAGUGUUCGGUGUCGGGCAGUGCGGUUGGGUCCGGGCUGUUAUUGCCGGGUUCCCCUUCCCAUACUACGGAUGGCUUGAACAGCCAUUCCAAGAAGAUGUUGGGGGGGACUACAUCGCGUUUUGCGCCGAUGCGUGCUAGGACAUCUGCCGCCUGAUUAUUUUCCUAGGCUAUAUGGGAAAUUCGAGCCCUUCGAACCGAGCUGACAUUUUUAGGACGGCAUUGCGAUAAGCUGCCAUUUUUGGAUCCUUGGCAUCAAAGUCUCCAUUUAUUUGGGAUAUUGCGAGGUUCGAGUCCCCGCGCACCUCUAGGCGUUGAAUGGCCAUGGAUACUACCAUCCGGAGACCAUGUAAAAGGGCCUCAUAUUCGGCUGCAUUGUUGGAGUAUGUGUACCUUAUCUGGAGUACGUAUUGAACUGUGUCUCCUGUGGGGGACGUCAAAACGACGCCAGCCCCUAGACCGGCCAACAUUUUGGAGCCGUCGAAGUGCAUGACCCAGUUUGAAUAUGUGUCGUACUCUUUAGGGAGUUCGGCCUCCGUCCAUUCUGCGACGAAGUCGGCCAAAACUUGCGACUUGAAAGCUCGCUGUGGCUUGUAAGUUAUGUCGAACUGGAGGAGCUCAAUGGUCCAUUUUGCAAUCCGGCCCGUCGCGUCGCGGUUGUUUAUAAUAUCGUUAAGUGGCACUUCCGUGGCUACUGUUAUUGAACACUCUUGAAAGUAGUGUCACAGCUUUCGGGAUGCCAUAAAUACCACGUACACAAUCUUUUGAUAAUGCGGGUACCGUGACUUGCACGGAAUAAGGACAGUGGACACAUAGUAUACCGGCUUUUGAAGGGGGAAUUUGUGUCCGUCCGUUUCUCGUUUGACGACGAGCACUGCGCUUACGACCUGAUGGGUUGCUGCAAGUAUAAUAGCAUUGGUUCGCCAAUGUUUGGCGCGGCCAGGACUGGGUUUGUUGCCAAGAUGGCUUUUAUUUCAUCGAGUUCGGCCGUGGCUGCAUCCGUCCACUCGAAGUGUUCGUUGCACCGAAGGAGGCGGUAAAGGGGUAGGGCCUUUUCUCCCAAGCAGGAGAUAAAGCGGCUUAGAGCCGCCAUGCAUCCGGUUAAUUUUUGUAUUUGUUUGAGGUCCUUCGGGAUAUCCAAUUGUGACAGAGCUCGGAUCUUGGAUGGAUUUGCUUCAAUUCCUCUACCGGAUAUAAUGAAGCCCAAGAGCUUUCCGGCUGGAACACCGAAAAUGCAUUUUUCCGGGUUGAGCUUGAUGUCGUAUGUUCGGAGGUUAUCGAAUGUUAGCCUCAAGUUGUCUACUAGAGAUUCGACAUGUCUUGUUUUAAUGACCACAUCAUCUAUGUAUGCCUCCACUUUUUUGCCGAUCUGGUUUGCCAGACAUGUCUGAAUCAUGCGCUGAUAUGUUGUGCCGGCGUUUUUGAGCCCGAAGGGCAUUGUGUUGAAGCAGAAUGGGAUGUAUGGUGUGAUGAAUGCCAUUGCGGCUUGGUCUGACUCUGCCAUCUUUAUUUGAUGGUAGCCGGAGUAUGCGUCGAGGAAACACAACGAAUCGUGUCCUGCGGUAGCGUCGAUAAUUUGAUCGAUGCAGGGGAGAGGGAAGGGAUCCUUUGGGCAAGCCUUGUUAAGGUCUUUAAAAUCAACGCACAGGCGCCAGGAUUUGUCCUUCUUUGGUACCAUCACCAGGUUUGCUAGCCAGUCCGGGUGUUUUAUAUCUUUGAUGAAUCCGGCCUCCAAUAGCUUGGCUAGUUCCUCUCCCAUGGCCUGUCUCUUAGGUUCGGAAAAACGCCGAAGAGCCUGUUUGACUGGCUUGAAUCCUUUUAGGAUAUUUAAGCUGUGUUCGGCCAGCAUGCGUGGGAUUCCUGGCAUGUCUGAAGGGUGCCAGGCGAAAAUGUCCCGGUUCUCUCGUAGGAACUCUCGCAAUGCGGCGUCUACAUCAGGGUUUAAUUGCGCCCCGAUGGAAGCUGUUUUAUUGGGGUCCGUUGGAUGGACCUAGAAUUUGACUAUUUCGUCCGCUGGUUUAAAGGAGGUGGACUUGGAUCUUUUGUCGAGUAUCACAUCGUCCCUAUUCACUGUGGAGCGCAGUGCAGUCAGUUCCUCAGCCGCUAGGGCUUCGGAUAGCGCCUCGAGGGCCAGUGCGGCUGUCUUGUUUUUGGCGCGAAGUGCUAUGUGCGGAUCACUAGCGAGAGUGGUGAUUCCGUUAGGCCCGGGCAUCUUCAGCUUCAUGUACCCGUAAUGGGGUAUUGCUUGGAAGAUUGUAAACGCUUCCCGCCCUAGCAGAGCGUGAUAUCCGCUACUGAACGGGGCCACUUGGAACGUGACCUCUUCGGACCUGUAAUUAUCCGGCGUGCCGAACACCACAUCUAGUGUGAUUUUUCCUGUAUAGCGCGCUUCCUGACUGGGGAUUAUUCCUCUAAAGGUUGUGCUGCUUCGCUCAAUGCGGUUCCAGUCUAUUUCCAUUUUUGAAGGGUUUCCUCAUAAAUGAGGUUCAAUCCGCUGCCGCCAUCCAUGAGUACCUUGGUAAGACGAAAGCCAUCCACUAUUGGACUGAGGACCAAUGCGGCUGGUGCUCGGGCUGUUCGGAAUUUAGGUUCAUCACUGGCAUUAAAAGUAAUAGUCGUGUCACUCCAUGGGUUUAUUGUUGCUACUUGGUAGACUUCGGCAAGGCUGUGGAGUGUUCUUUUUCGCAUAUUAUUUGAUGCGAAAGUCUCGAAGACUGUUAAUACCGUACUGGUGUCUCUAGGGUGGCUUUCUGUGGCUUCUGGAAUUAGAAGAUCUUCGCCAAUUUUUGCCACCUGCCGGAGUAUCCAACAUGCUCUAAGGCUGUGAGUUGGUGUGGCGCCCUCUGCACUGUGAAUUUUACAGGGUCCAUUAAGCCAUCCUUCCAGUACGGUUCCGUGCCCUGUAGAGGGCUUUUGCUUCUUGGUAUUGAACCCGAGUGUCUGGCGAUGAUGCACCCUUUUAUUUCGGACUGGGUUUGUAUUCAGGGCCGGAUUGUCCCAAAAUUUUAUUCCGGUUUUCCAGGCGCUUUCCAUCACACAGUACUUUCGUACUAUGGACGCCAAGUCAGCGAAGCGUGUAAUAUCACGGCGACUUAUGGCGUUGAGGAUUCCCUUGUCCGUUCAAUUAUUGCAGAAGAAUGAAAUUGCGUCUUCCUCGCGGCAGUCCUUUAUCCUAUUCAUAACCAGGAGGAAUCUAGCCCAGUAAUGAUGUACUGUUUCUUCGGGCUCUUGCCUAAUUUGGGUUAGAUCGCUUAUGUACGGGUGGGUGGGUGGAAUCAAAUCCGAAACCUCACCCAAUCUGAGACCCAGAGGCCAAGGAGUUUCCGAACUUAGAAGUUUGGAUUCUUGGAUGCUGUCCAAUGAAUCUAGCCCGUCGCCUGACUUUAAGUUCAGGUCUUGGGUGAUGUCCUCCCCUCCGCGGAUAUCCGGCUUGGAGGGAUCGGGAAUCCAGACAUAGCUAGUCCUUAAGAUAGAUGAAGGGUCGCCGCACUGUGCCUCUACCACGGCAACGUGAUGGGUGACCUGGGGAGAGUUAAUCUCUCUCAGAUCGGGUUUAGGCCCAAUCUGGUCGUAAUCCGUAGCGACUCCUAGGGCGGCGAUGCGAUCCAAGAGCUCGUUUAGGGAAGAGAGCUCCAUUGGGUCUAGCUGCUCGGCGAAUUCCGAGCUGACGUGAAGAUUGCUUUCAAUGACCCGAGAGGUCAUCGUCGGCAGAGCAGCCGAACAGGCGGUCAUAAGGAAACCACCUAGCCGGAGAGUUUGGCCGACAGCCAAAGCUCCCUUAGCAACGGUGCCGUCUUUAAAGACGGGGUGAGGCAUCCUUCCUGAUGGCGACGGCACAGAGGAACUCUCAAUGAAAGCACCAAUGUCGGUGUCAAAACCGGCGAAUCUCGGGUAGGGGGUCCCGAUCUGUGCGUCUAGGCGGAUGGUAACAGGAGACAAGGGACACGAUGUUUUUACCCAGGUUCGGGCCCUCUCGAUGGAGGUAAAACCCUACUCCUGCUUGAUUAAUAUUGAUGAUAUGGGUAGUACAAGAGUAGAUCUACCACGAGAUCAAGGAUGCUAAACCCUACAAGCUAGCCUAUGGUAUGAUUGUUGUCCCUAUGGACUAAAACCCUCCAGUUUAUAUAAACACCGGAGAGGGCUAGGGUUACACAGAGUCAGUUACAAUGGUAGGAGAUCUACAUAUCCGUACCGCCAAGCUUGCCUUCCACGCCAAGGAAAGUCCCUACCGGACAUGGGACGAAGUCUUCAAUAUUGUAUCUUCAUAGUCCAGGAGUCCGGCCGAAGGUAUAGUCCGGCUAUCCGGACACCCCCUAAUCCAGGACUCCCUCAGGGAGAACAUUGUAUUGAGAUCCAAAAAGAGAGAAGAAGCCAUCUAGCUAAUAACUAUGGACCCGAAGGUCUGAGGUAAACUACUCACACUUCAUCGGAGAGGCUAUGGUGUUGAUGUAGAAGCCCUCCGUGAUCGAUGCCCCCUCCGGCGGAGCUCCGGAACAGGCCCCAAGAUGGGAUCUCGUGGAUACAAAAAGUUACGGUGGUGGAAUUAGGGUUUUGGCUCCGUAUCUGGUAGUUUGGGGGUACGUAGGUAUAUAUAGGAGGAAGGAGUACGUCGGUGGAGCAACAGGGGGCCCACGAGGGUGGAGGGCGCGCCUGGGGCGUAGGCACGCCCCCCUACCUCGUGCCUUCCUCGUUGAUUGCUGGACAUAGGGUCCAAGUCCUCUGGAUCAUGUUCGUUCCGAAAAUCACGUUCCCGAAGAUUUCAUUCCAUUUGGACUCGUUUGAUAUUCUUUUUCUGCGAAACCCUAAAAUAGGCAAAAAAAACAGCAAUUCUGGGCUAGGGCUCCGGUUAAUAGGUUAGACCCAAAAAUAAUAUAAAAGUGUAUAAUAAAGCCCAUUAAUGUCCAAAACGGAAUAUAAUAUAGCAUGGAACAAACAAAAAUUAUAGAUACGUUGGAGACGUAUCAAUGAGCCCCUCAAAAAUCUCUUCAUCUUUUUUUGAAAUUUUCUGAAAUUUUUAGCAACUCAAAAUAAAAGUGAACCAAACUCAACAAAAUUGAUAGCAACUACUCCUACAAGUGCCUAGAGGCAAUAUCAUGCAUUAAAGCUACUUUUGACCAUAUAAAUUUGACAUGCAAGAUCAAGAACAGGGUCACCUAAGCAGCAAAAAAUUGCAACUAAUAAAGCACUAGAACAAAAACUAAUUGGACCAUUGGAGGAGUCACAUACCAAAGAACAAUCCCCCAAAGUAGUUUUGUGGAUGGAGCUCUGAGCUAGGAGAUCGAAAAUGGCAGCAAGAUGAGCUAGAACUCAUGCUUGAGCUGGUUGGUGAUUUUUUGGGAGGCAGAAGGAGUGUGUGGUGGAUGUAAUAAGUGGAGGGGAGCCACCAUGGGCCCACGAGGCAGGGGGCGCACCCAGGGGGUGGGCGCGCCCUGGACCCUUGUGGCCAGGUGCUUGCUCCCCCUGAUGAGUUCUCAGUGCCAGAUAUUCUCAAAUAUUCUAGAAAAAAUCAUAUUUAAUUUUUAGGGCAUUUGAAGAAAUUUUAUUUUCGAGGUAUUUUUUAUUGCACGGAUAAUUCGGAAAACAGACAGAAAAUACUAUUUUUGCUUUAUUUAAUAUAAAUAACAGAAAGUAAAAAGAGGGUACAGAGAGUUGUGUUUUCUAAAUUCAUCCAUCUCAUGCUCAUAAAAAGGAAUCCACUAACAAGGUUGAUCAGGUCUUGUUAACAAACUCAUUUCGAAUAACAUGAAACCGGAGAAUUUUCGAAUAACACUAGGUUACCUCAACGGGGAUAUGCACAUCCCCAACAAUAAGAAUAUCAUAUUUCUUCUUGACAAUAGGAAGAGGAAAUUUAAAACCUCCAAUAGUAAUCAAUGGAAUUUUUCCAAUAGAAUUGAUACUAUGGACUUGAGGUUGUUUCCUCGAAAAGUAUACCAUAUGCUCAUUACCAUUAACAUGAAAAGUGGCAUUGCCUUUGUUGCAAUCAAUAAUAGCCCCUGCAGUAUAAUAGACAUACUAUCAAGAAUAAUAGACAUACUAUCGUCCUCGGGAAUAUUAAGAAUAAUAAAGUUCGUUAAAAUAGUAACGUUUGCAACCACAACAUGCACAUCCUCACAAAUACCGAUAGGUAUAGCAGUUGAUUUAUCAGCCAUUUGCAAAGAUAUUUCAGUAGGUGUCAACUUAUUCAAAUCAAGUCUACGAUAUAAAGAGAGAGGCAUAACACUAACGCCGGCUCCAAGAUCACAUAAAGCAGUUUUAACAUAGUUUCUUUUAAUGGAGCAUGGUAUAGUUGGUACUCCUGGAUCUCCUAGUUUCUUUGGUAUUCCACCCUUAAAAGUGUAAUUAGCAAGCAUGGUGGAAGUUCAGCUUCCGGUAUCUUUCUUUUAUUAGUAACAAUAUCCUUCAUAUACUUAGCAUAAGGAUCCAUUUUAAGCAUAUCAGUCAAACGCAUAUGCAAAAAGAUAGGUCUAACCAUUUCAGCAAAGCGCUCAAAAUCCUCAUCAUCCUUUUUCUUGGAUGGUUUAGGAGGAAAAGGCAUGGGUUUCUGAACCCAUGGUUCUCUUUCUUUAUCGUGCUUCCUAGCAACAAAGUCUCUCUUAUCAUAACAUUGAUUCUUUGAUUGUGGGUUAUCAAGACCAACAACAGGUUCAAUUUCUACAUCAUUAUUAUUGCUAGGUUGAGCAUCAACGUGAACAUCAUUAUUAACAUUAUCACUAGGUUCAUGUUCAUUACCAGAUUGUGUUUCAGCAUCAGAAAUAGAAAUAUCAUUGGGAUUCUCAGGUGUGUCUACAACAGGUUCACUAGAAGCAGGCAAAGUCCUAUCAUUUUUCUUUUUCUUCCUCUUAGAAGGACUAGGUGCAUCAAUGUUAUUUCUCUGAGAAUCUUUCUCAAUUCUCUUAGGGUGGCCUUCAGGAUACAAAGGUUCCUGAGUCACUUUACCUCCUCUAGUUGCAACUCUAACAGAAAAUUCAUUAUUCUUACUACUCAAUUCAUUGAGCAAAUCAUUCUGAGCUUUAAGUACUUGUUCUACUUGAGUGGUAACCAUAGAAGCAUGUUUACUAAUAAGUUUAAGUUCACCUUUAACACUAGCCAUAUAAUCGCUCAAGUGUUCAAUCAUAUAAGCAUUAUGUUUCAAUUGUCUACCAACAUAAGCAUUGAAGUUUUCUUGUUUAACCAUAAAGUUAUCAAAUUCAUCCAAACAUUGGCUAGCAAACUUAGCAGGAGGGAUUUCAGCUUUAUCAUAUCUAUUGAGAGAGUUUACCUUUACUACCCGUGUCGGGUUAUCUUGACCGGAUAUUUCUUCAAUAGGUGGUGAAUUAAGACCAUGUAUUUCUUCAAUAGGAGGUAAAUUCUUAACAUCUUUAGCUUUUAUACCUUUUUCUUUCAUAGAUUUCUUUGCCUCUUGCAUAUCUUCAGGACUGAUAAGUAGAAUACCCCUUUUCUUCGGAGUUGGCUUAGGAGUUGGUUCAGGAAGUGUCCAAUUAUUUUCAUUGGUCAACAUAUUAUUCAAUAGAAUUUCAGCUUGAUCAACUGUUCUUUCCCUGAAAACACAACCAGCACAACUAUCCAGGUGGUCUCUGGAAGCAUCGGUUAGUCUAUUAUAAGAUAUCAAGUAUUUCAUUUUUCUUGAGAGGAUGAUCAGGCAAAGCAUUAAGUAAUUGGAGAAGCCUCCCCCAAGCUUGUGGGAGACUCUCUUCUUCAAUUUGCACAAAAUUAUAUAUUUCCCUUAAAGCAGCUUGUUUCUUAUGAGCGGGGAAAUAUUUAGCAGAGAAGUAGUAAAUCAUAUCAUGGGGACUACGCACACAACCAGGAUCAAGAGAAUUAAACCAUAUCUUAGCAUCACCCUUUAAUGAGAACGAAAAUAAUUGAAGGAUAUAAUAGUAGCGAGUUUUCUCAUCAUUAGUGAACAGGGUAGCUAUAUCGUUUAAUUUAGUAAGAUGUGCCACAACAGUUUCAGAUUCAUAGCCAUAAAAAGGAUCAGAUUCAACCAAAGUAAUUAUCUCAGGAUCAAUAGAGAAAUCAUAAUCCUUAUCAGUAAUAAAGAUAGGUGAAGUAGCAUAAGCAGGAUUAUAUUUCAUUCUAGCAUUCAGAGAUUUUUCUUUCAGCUUAGCUAAUAGUUUCUUAAGAUCACUUCUAUCAUUGCACGCAAGAAAGUCUCUAGCAGUUUCUUCAUCCAUAACAUAACCCUCAGGAACAACAGGCAAUUCAUAUCUAGGGGAGAAUCUUCGUCAUCACUUUCAUUAAUAUUAUCAGUUUCAAUAAUUUCAUUCUCUCUAGCCCUAGCAAGUUGUUCAUUAAGAAAUUCACCUAGUGGCACAGUAGUAUCAAGCAUAGAAGUAGUUUCAUCAUAAGUAUCAUGCAUAGCAGAAGUGGCAUCAUCAAUAACAUUGCGACAUAUCAGAAUUAAUAGCAGAAGCAGGUUUAGGUGUCGCAAGCUUACUCAAAACAGAAGGUGAAUCAAGUGCAGAGCUAGAUGGCAGUUCCUUACCUCCCCUCGUAGUUGAGGGAAAAAUCUUGGUUCUUUGAUCUUUCAAAUUCUUCAUAAUGAUAAGCAGAUACAAAUCCCAAGUGACUCAAAGAAUAGAGCUAUGCUCCCCGGCAACGGUGCCAGAAAAUGUUCUUGAUACCCACAAGUAUAGGGGAUCGCAAUAGUUUUCGAGGGUAGAGUAUUCAACCCAAAUUUAUUGAUUCGACACAAGGGGAGCCAAAGAAUAUUCUCAAGUAUUAGCAAUUGAGUUGUCAAUUCAACCACACCUAGAAACUUAAUAUCUGCAGCAAGGUAUUUAGUAGCAAAGUAAUAUGAUAGUAGUGGUAACGGUGGCAAAAGGUAACGGUAGCAAAAGUAAUAUUUUUGGGUUUUGUAGUGAUUGUAACAGUAGCAGCGGAAAAGUAAAUAAGCGAAGAACAGUAUAUGAAAAGCUCGUAGGCAUUGGAUCGGUGAUGGAGAAUUAUGCCAGAUGCGAUCGAUCAUGUAACAGUCAUAACCUAAGGUGACACAGAACUAGCUCCAGUUCAUCAAUGUAAUGUAGGCAUGUAUUCCGAAUAUAGUCAUACGUGCUUAUGGAAAAGAACUUGCAUGACAUCUUUUGUCCUACCCUCCCGUGGCAGCGGGGUCUUAUUGGAAACUAAGGGAUAUUAAGGCCUCCUUUUAAUAGAGUACCGGACCAAAGCAUUAACACAUAGUGAAUACAUGACCUCCUCAAACUAUGGUAAUCAUCGGGAAGUAUCUCGAUUAUUGUCACUUCGGGGUUAACGGAUCAUAACACAUAAUAGGUGACUAUAGACUUGCAAGAUAGGAUCACGAACUCACAUAUAUUCAUGAAAAAAUAAUAGGUUCAAAUCUGAAAUCAUGGCACUCGGGCCCUAGUGACAAGCAUUAAGCAUAGCAAAGUCAUAGCAACAUCAAUCUCAGGACAUAGUGGAUACUAGGGUUCAAACCCUAACAAAACUAACUCGAUUACAUGAUAAAUCUCAUCCAACCCAUUACCGUCCAGCAAGCCUGCGAUGGAAUUACUCACACACGGAGGUGAGCAUCAUGAAAUUGGUGAUGGAGGAAGGUUGAUGAUGAUGAUGGCGACGGAUUCCCCUCUUUGGAGCACCGAAUGGACUCCGGAUUGGCCCUCCUGAGAGAGUUUAGGGCUUGGUGGCGACUCCGUAUCAUAAAACGCGAUGAAUCCUUCUCUCUGAUUUUUCUCUCCCUGAAAGUGAAUAUAUGGAGUCAAGGUGGACGUCGGUGGAGCAUCAGGGGGCCCACGAGGUAGGGGGCGCGCCCAGGGGGUAGGGCACGCCCCCACCCUCGUGGACAGGGUGUGGGCCCCCUGACAUGGACUUUCUUCCAGUAUUUAUUAUAUAUUCCAAAAAUUAUCUCCGUUGAUUUUCAUGUCAUUCCGAGAACUUUUAUUUCUACACAAAAAUAACACCAUGGCAAUUCUGCUAAAACAGCGUCAGUCCGGGUUAGUUCCAUUCAAAUCAUGCAAGUUAGAGUCCAAAACAAGAGCAAAAGUGUUUGGAAAAGUAGAUACGACGGAGACGUAUCAGAGUCCUACUAGGACUCCACUCCUAGUAGGAUUCGCCCCCUUGUUUUUCGUUCUCAUCGGAAGGGAAAAGGGAAGGAGAGGGAGAGGGAGAGGGAAAGAGGAAAGGGGGCCGUGCCCCCUCCCCCUUGUCCAAUUCAGACACCCUUGGGGGGGCACCCUGCAGGCUCCCCUCUCUUUCUCCCCUAUGGCCCAUGAAGGCCCGUUACUUCCCCGGGGGGUUUCGGUAACCCCUCGGUACUCCGAUAAAUAUCCAAAACGUCCCCAAACCAUUCCGGUGUCCGAAUACUAUCGUCCAAUAUAUCAAUCUUUACAUCUCGACCAUUUCGAGACUCUCCGUCAUGUCUGUGAUCUCAUCCGGGACUCCGAACAAUCUUCCGUCACAAAAACACAUAACUCAUAAUACAAAUCAUCAUCGAACGUUAAACGUGCGGACCCUAUGGGUUCGAGAACUAUGUAGACAUGACUGAGACACAUCUCCGGUCAAUAACCAAUAGCGGAACCUAGAUGCUCAUAUUGGUUCCAACAUAUUCUACAAAGAUCUUUAUCGGUCAAACCGCAAUAACAACAAUACGUUAUUCCCUUUGUCAUCGGUAUGUUAUUUGCCCGAGAUUCGAUCGUCGGUGUCAUCAUACCUAGUUCAAUCUCAUUACCGGCAAGUAUCUUUACUCCUUCCGUAAUGCAUCAUCCCGUAAAUAACUCAUUAGUCACAUUGCUUGCCAGGCUUAUAGUGAUGUGCAUUAACGAGAGGGCCCAGAGACACCUCUCCGAUACUCAGAGUGACAAAUCCUAAUCUCGAUCUAUGCCAACCCAACAAACACCUUCGGAGACACCUGUAGAACAUCUUCAUAAUCACCCAGUUAUGUUGUGAUGUGUGAUAGCACACAAGGUGUUCCUCCGGUAUUCGGAAGUUGCAUAAUCUCAUAGUCAGAGGAAUAUGUAUAAGUCAUGAAGAAAGCAAUAGCAAUAAACUUAAUGAUCAUUAUGCUAAGCUAACGGAUGGGUCUUGUCCAUCACAUCCUCCUCCUAAUGAUGUGAUCCCGUUCAUCAAAUGACAACACAUUUCAUUGGUUAGGAAACUUAACCAUCUUUGAUUAACAAGCUAGUCAAGUAGAGGCACACUAGGGACACUUUGUUUUGUCUAUGUAUUCACACAUGUAUCAAGUUUUUGAAAGAAAUAUGCCCUAGAGGCAAUAAUAAAGUUGUUAUUUAUAUUUCCUUAUAUCAUGAUAAAUGUUUAUUAUUCAUGCUAGAAUUGUAUUAACCAGAAACUUAGUACAUGUGUGAAUACAUAGACAAACAGAGUGUCACUAGUAUGCCUCUACAUUGACUAGCUCGUUAAUCAAAGAUGGUUAAGUUUCCUAACCAUAGACAUGAGUUGUCAUUUGAUAAACGGGAUCACAUCAUUAGAGAAUGAUAUGAUUGACAUGACCCAUCCGUUAGCUUAGCACAAUGAUCGUGAUUCCCUUAAGCUUGUGACCCGGUAGUUUCGGUAAAACAUAGACAUGAAGAAAACUCCUUUUGUUCAAUGACCGAUGGUGGGGCAAACCCCGUGCAAUGGAUAGGGCUUCCGAUUGACAAUAGACUCUUGAUGGAGGAUUUGUGCCGGUCAAGACGUAAUUUGGACACCCACCCACUUUGAUACGCAGCAAGCACAUAUUGAUGGGUGACUUCCAGAGCACAAAUUAAGAUCAUGAUGAUGCCGGCACAAAUAUAUGGUUGUAAGCAUAAGACCUCAUGCUCAUGCCUAUUUUUUAUUAUAAGUGUUUUCAGUGUCAGCCAUAUAUACGAUCCGGUCAAAAGCUAGAAUUUAUUCUCUUCCAAAAGCUUGUUUGAAACCCUAGCUUAAAGGGCACCAGCCACUCGUGGGUUCGAUAAGUCAGGGCCACCUCUAGGGAAAAAGGCAAGAAUCUGAUGUCUACUAUGCAACUUUAUUCUUAUAGACUUGGUUGGGCCUCCAAGGCAGAGUUUUGUAGGACUAUAGCAAAUUUCCCUCAAGUGGAUGACCUAAGGUUUAUCAGUCUGUGGGAUGUGUAGGAUGAAGAUGAUUCUCUCUUAGACAAUCCUGCGAGCAAAUAAAAGUAGUCUCUUGUGUCCCCAACGUUAACACACCCAAUACAAUUGUCAUAUGUAUAGGUGCACUAGUUCGGCGAAGAGGUGAUGAUAGAUGUGUAAUAUGAAUGGCAGAAAUAGCUUUUUAUAUUUUGAACAAAUAAAAACAGCAAGGUAGCAAGUAACAAAAGUGUGUGAAAAUGAUGUAUCAAUGCCUAGAAACAAGGCCUGGUGUUCAUACUUUCACUAGUGCAAUCUCUUAACAUUAUAAUUUCUUCUUUGUACCAAAGGACUAACUUCUUUAAUCGAACAUGAAGAGAAUCAGGGGGGAUUGAUGGGAGUCCAGGUUUGCGGAGACUCUCCAAAAAAUUCCCACCUAUUAUUUGAUGAUUACUCUUUGAUCUUAAUGAAGGCAGACACUACAAAUGUUGUGUCUCUGAAGAGGAUAUUACAUGCUUAUCGUGCAGCCUCGGGACAAUUGGCGAGUGUGGCCAGAUCAUCCAUUUAUUUCAGUACUAAUACACGUUUUGAGAUGAAAUCACAUGUAUGCCAAAUUAUGGAUAUCAUGAUAGGAACUUUAUCCGACAAAUAUCUUGGCUUGCCUUCAAUGAUUGGCGUUUAUCGGAUGGACUGUUUUCUGCAUCCUUGUAACAUCCCAAAUUUUUAAUUUGGAAUGUUAUACAUAGUCAUCCAUGCAUAUCAUAUUUUAUUCGCAUUUCGUCUCGCAAUCCUCAAAAUCCUAAGCAACUCAAGGACCUUCGGAGAGAGUUGGGGAUUUCCCGGUUUUCAAAUUUGAUCUUUAUCAAAUUUUGAAGCGAGGAUUUUUGAUUUUAAUUAUUUUCUAUCCAAAAAAAUAUUUCAUACAAAAAUAUAUGAGAGGAGAUAAUAUGACUUCUCCAAGAUAAUUGAAAUAUUGGAGGAAAAAUAUUAAAAUCAAAUAUUUGUUUUAUUGGAUUUUUUUAUUGCAAUUUUGUUUGCAUUAGAAAAAUUGCACGUUUUUCAAAAUUGCAUUUUAGGGCCAAGAAAAUGUUCAUCUCGUUCUAAAUAUUUUAUUUAGACGGUGAAAAUUUAUUUUGGCAUUUUUAGAUUUUUAUUUAUUUAUCUAGGAUUUUAUUUCGGUCGGUGAAACUAUUUUAAAAAAAGGGUUCCCGCGCCGACUGGGCCUAAGGCCCAGCCGAGCCAGGCCACCGCCGCCGCCUUCCCCGCGAGCGCCGCCGCCGCCGACUCGGACUAGGAGUCCGAGCCGGACUCCUCUCCGCUGCCGCGCCUUGCCCCCUCCUCCAAGCCGCCCCGCCCCGCCCUUUAUAUACCGCCGCCCCGCCGCCCCAACACCCCACCGCACCACCACCGCCCGCGCCGCCUAGCCCCGCCGCCUGCGCUGCCUAGCCGUCGCGCUGCUUGCCGUUGUCACCGCCGCCACCGCCGUAGCCCGCGCCGCCGGCCCGCAAGCCGCCGCCCCGCCGCUGCCUCACCUCGCUGGACCUCUUGCCGGAGGUAGCCGUCGCGCCUCGCCGCCGUUUUUUUUAUAAAGACCAUUCGGUUUUUUUGAAACCCUAGAUCCGUUUUUUUUUUCGGAUUCGCCGGUUUUUCUCGGUUCUUCUAGUUAGCGGACGUUCGUCCGGACGUUCGUUUUAAUGAACGGUUCUUCACCCGUUAGAUACAGCUAACGAACGCUCGUUCGUUAGUCUGUUCGUCAGUUUUCUUUUAUCAGAUUUAUUCCAUGAAUUUCUCUGAUCGCGAUUUCUGAUCUGGUCUUAGUUUCUGUUUAUCUUUUCGCUGGUUAGUUGGAAUCAGGCGAUUCAAGCGCCUAGAGGUUCGUCUCGAAACCCUCUUUCCGUUUAACCAACUCAAACAAGUUUUCUCUACUGUAAAAUUUGACCUAGUUUCAGAUUAGUAAACGAAGCUUCUUUCUUUCGCUGUUUGAGUUUCGUUGCUCCGUUUGAUUUGAUUCUUUUUGCGAACCGUAAUUCUUAAUUUGAACUUUCUGGUCAACCUAUUUUAUUUUAGUUUUGCUUGUGCAUCGUUGCUUGUUACUUAUGUAUGCUAUUGUUUGCUUGCGAUAGAACAUCCGGAGUGCGAAGCGUGCUACUACGAGUCCCUAGGUUUCGCAGAUCGUCAGCAAGGCAAGUAACACUUUGAUCAUACCCUUUUAUCACCCAGUUUUUAUGCAUUAGUUCCAAUCCUCAAACAUUGCAUGAUUAGGAUGUCAUUAACUUGUGGGUUGGGAAGUAGUUGAUGAGGUAGAACCUAUUGCCCUGUUACAUUCAAACCCUUGGGAGUUACUCUACGCGUUGCUUAUAUACUAUGAUAUGUUAUGCUCGUAGACGUGGUUUGGGUUUGAGUGAAAUACAUGACAGAUGUGAGCUUGUUAAAUUAAUGGUUCAACUUAAGGUGGCAACUUAAUCAAACAACUGGGUGGAUUGAGGCACCUGGAGUACCCAGUGUUGCCUGUAUUUUUUUGGAAAUCCCGGAGUACCCGUGUGAUCUUCCUAUGGACCGCCACCCAGGCUCAAAGGGAACUGAGGUGAUUCAUGCUAGAAACUUCCGUGUGCAGCCACAAGCUAUUAUGGGCUCUAGCAUAGUUGAGUAAGUUACGUGAAGCUCUUAAAGAGGCAGAUCAGCAGGUAGUGGGAUGUAGGUUUGGUAUGGUCUGUCCGGAGUAGAGAGUUAAUCUUUCUGAAAGACUGUGUCUCGGUCAUCCGUUUCUCAAACACCCUGUAGUGCGAGAAAUCCAACGGAGGAGAUCGAGUCUUGUGGGGAAAAGUGCAUAAACCUCUGCAGAGUGUACAAUCUAAUCAUGGUUAGCCGUGUCCCCAGUUAUGGACAAUUCUUGAGUAUCUAGUACUUGGGUUAUCAAAAGUAUCUCAUCAUGUUUAACUAAUAUUGUUGGGUUGUUAAUCACUUUAAUUGGGAUUGAGUUGGAGGAACCUUCUCAAUGAUGUUUCAACUACCAUGAUAGUUAAAUUAAAGUCUAUUCCUUUGUUGUAGGGAAAAUUGGCUUUUCGCAAAACUGUAACCAUAGAGCUUUCCACCAGCCAAAUAUGCAUGUAGUGAUAGCAUUAUUCUGUUCUUGCUCUACUGUGUUACUUUGCCGGCAUAUUCCAUGUGCUGACCCGUUUUCGGGCUGCAACGUAUUAUGUUGCAGACUUUUCAGACGAGGAGUAAGGUUUGUUAGGUCGUUGCCGUGCAGUUCAGCUAUGCCGUUGGAGUUGAUGGACUCACUUUAUCUUCCAAGCCUUCCGCUGUUAUCGUAUUAGAUGGCCUUAAGCCAUAUUAUUGUAAUAAGUUCUCUCUUGAGACGUUCGAUGCAAUAAGUGUGUGAUUGCUACUCUGUUAUAAAUUCUUCGAGUACUGUGUGUGUCGGCAUUACCGAUCUAGGGAUGACACUGAAGCACAGAGACUUGACCAUCUGAGGUUGGGUCGCUACAAGAUGGUAUCAGAGUACACGCUGAGUGUAGGACACGACCACUAAGAUAAACCCUAGGUCACAUUUCUCUUCUCAUUUCUGACUCCUCUCCAUUUUCUACUCUUUAGGAUGACGGAGAUGAAGAACAAGUUUGCACAACCGGAUGAAGACACACCUUUUGAACGCGACUUGAAGGAAGUCACUAGGUACUUGAACAUUGGAAUACCAAGCUUCACCAGGACAUACAACGCCACUUUACCUGAAGAGGAGCGCUGGAGGGUUCAAGUACAAGUUCCAGGAAGGACGUUCUCGCCAACUUCUAAACCCAUAGAGUUUUCUUUAGAAGCACCCACCUGGAGUCUAGGCAAGAGCAUGGCAGCCCACAUUACCAUUGGACGCAUUGGAGAAGUUUACAAUAGGGAGCUUAAGGACACUAUUUACCAAAUAUGUGGGCGCCGAGAUGAGCAAUGGGAAGUAAUCAGCACCAGGAAGGAUAGAUCCAUUGCAACUUUCAUCCAGGAGUUAAACCAACACAUCCGACGUCAGGAAAACCAGAUGUGCGCGGACAUGAUGGACUUAAAGAAGGCGAAGACUAGAAUCCUCGAGCUGGAGGAAGAACUCAAGUUUGUACGCGAUGGAUAUGAGGAGGAAAUCAAGACACUACUGGAGAAGAAUGAUGACCAAGUCAAGAAGAUCGGAGUAUUCAUGGGAGGACCAGCACCAAUAGAAGAAGAAGAAGAACCCAAGGAGAUACGCCCUGAGGACUACAUCAUCAUCGACGAUGCCGAUUCCGAUCCUAGUGAUGAUGACUAUGAAGACGAAGCUGGAGCAGACAUCAUGGAGUCUUCCACCGAUCAAAAUUUCUAGAUGACUACCAUAUAUCACUAGUAUUCCCCCAUGUAUUUAGUAGUAGUUGAGCACUUGUGUGAUAGUUCUAGAUCGUUUGUAUGCCCUUGCUUGAUUGAUUGAGUGAAAUGAUUGUGUUUGUCUCAUGUGCAUAUUGGUAGUGUUCUCUCAUUAGACCCCUUCUCUAUUCUAAUCUCUUCCAUCUAAACCCUCAGAUGCCUCCGAGACGUGACACCGGUUUUACCUUCCCACCGGAGCUCACCCAGUUGAUCCAACAGCAGAAUAUGUUGAUGCAAUUGCUAGUUCAGAAUCAGGGCAACAACAACAACAACCCGCCUCCUGUGGACAACCUAGCCCGUUUUCUAAGGUUAUAGCCACCGGUCUUUACCAGUAGCACCGAGCCCAUAGUUGCGGACGAUUGGCUACGCCGUAUUGGAAGGGAGUUGACCACCGCAGGUUGCACAGAUGCUGAGAGAGUGCACUUUGCCGCACAUCAAUUGGAUGGACCAGCAGCCUCGUGGUGGGAGAAUUACACAACCACUUCUCCUAUAGCCAAUGUCACUUGGGACCAGUUUCAGCAAGCUUUCCGCACAGCCCAUGUCUCCACUGGAGCUAUGUAAAUGAAGAAGCGGGAGUUCCGCAACCUACGCCAGGGGAACCGUACUAUGUCUCAGUACAUGGAUGAGUUUAGCAAGUUAUCUCGCUACGCCCCUGAUGAUGUGGCCACAGAUGCCGCGAAGCAGGAGAAGUUUAUGGAAGGGCUGAAUGAUGAGAUGAGUAUGCAGUUGAUGGUAGCAACCUUCAACAACUACCAGGAGUUGGUAGAUAAGGCUCUUAUGAUUGAAGGGAAGCAGCAGUAGAUUGAGAGCCGCAAGAGGAAGUAUGGACAAGGAAAGUAUACCUCAGGAGCUCAGCAGAAACCUCGCCUAACCCCGAACUCGGGAGGACUUGUUCAUAACCAUGGAGGUCACAACCACACUGGAGGAGGAUCGCAUAACCACAAUGGAUCUAAGAAUGUGAAUGGGAACGGAACCAACAAUAAUCAUAACCGCCCCAACCCAGCCACACCCGCCAAAAGGGACUUAAGUCAUGUUACUCGUUUCAAGUGCGGGAAGACUGGACACUACGCCAUGGAGUGCCCUGAAGGAAAGAAUGGAAAUGGAAAUGGGAGCGCUGGGAAGAAGCCAAACCCAUUCAACAAAGGACAAGUGAACCAUGUUAACAUGGAGGAGGUUGAAGAGCAGCCGGACGCGGUAAUAGGUAAGUUUUUGGUUAAGUCAUUUACCACUCUUGUUCUUUUCGAUACUGGUGCACCGCAUUCAUACAUAUCAAGGGGAUUCGUGGAUAAGUUUAAACUACCAACCCAAACCCUUAGGACCCCUCUUUUAGUGAGUUCACCCGGAGCAGAGUAUAUGGCUAGUCGAUGGUGUGACCAGAUACCCUUAACCACUGGUACACAUGUUUUUCCGUCCGACCUAAUUAUCUUGGAGUCACAAGGAUUGGAUGUGAUAUUGGGUAUGGACUGGAUGUCAAAAUUUGUAGGAAGCAUUGACUGUGCUAGUAAGUCGAUUUAUCUCACCACCCCAUAAGGGAAAAGGAUUAAGUAUGUAUCUAGGCAUGUGCCUAGGAGGAGUCAAGUGAAUGCCCUUAAGGGAGUUGUUCAGGAGGAAGUGCCUGUAGUGAAGGAUUACCCGGAUGUUUUUCUAGAGGAGUUACCAGGCAUGCCAUCGGAUAGAGACAUUGAGUUUUUGAUAGAGUUGUUGCCAGGUAUAGGACCAAUAUCCAAGAGACCCUAUCGGAUGCCCGCAAAUGAUCUAGAAGAAAUUAAGAAAUAGAUCAUGGAGUUAGUGGAGAAAGGAUACAUCCGAAGAAGUUCAUCACCUUGGGGAGCCCCAGUACUUUUGGUUGAGAAGAAGGAUAAAUCCCUGAGGAUGGUUGUUGAUUAUCAAGCAUUAAAUGAAGUGGCGAUUAAGAACAAGUACCCACUACCGAUGAUCAACGAUCUGUUUGAUCAGUUGCAAGGAGCUAAAGUGUUUUCGAAGAUCGAUUUGCGAACGGGGUAUCAUUAGUUGAAGAUACAAGAGAAGGAUAUACCGAAGACAGCGUUCACAACACGAUAUGGAUUAUACGAGUACACGGUCAUGUCAUUUGGACUGACUAACGCCCCUGCCUAUUUCAUGAGCAUGAUGAACAAGGUGUUCAUGGAGUAUUUGGACAAGUUUGUUGUGGUGUUUAUUGAUGAUAUUAUGGUAUACUCGAAGAACAAGGAGGAGCACAAGGAGCAUUUGCGCUUAGUUCUCGAGAAACUCAGGGAACACCAGUUGUAUGCUAAGUUUAGCAAAUGCGAAUUUUGGUUGAACGAAGUUGGGUUCCUUGGACAUGUUAUAUCAGGAGAAGGUAUAACAGUAGACCCCAGCAAAAUUCAGUCAGUCACUGAAUGGUUGGCACCCACUUCAGUUAGCGAGAUCCGCAGUUUUCUUGGACUCGCAGGAUACUACUAGAGAUUCAUCGAGAAUUUCUCCAAGAUUGCAAAGCCAAUGACUGAACUAUUGAAGAAGGAUACUAAGUUUAAAUGGACAGAAGAUUGCGAGGCAAGUUUCCAGGAAUUGAAGAAACGUUUGACUAUAGCGCCAGUGCUAACACUGCCAGAUAUACAUAAGGAGUUCCAAGUGUACUGCGAUGCCUCACGCUUAGGACUUGGAUGUGUGCUUAUGCAGGACGGGAGAGUUGUUUCGUAUGCCUCACGACAACUAAAACCUCAUGAGUUAAACUAUGCCACGCAUGAUUUGGAGUUAGCAGCCGUAGUGCAUGCAUUGAAGACCUGGAGGCAUUACCUUAUUGGAAACCAUUGUGAUGUGUACACGGACCAUAAGAAUUUGAAGUACAUUUUCACCCAGAAGGAGCUAAACCUUCGACAGAGGAGAUGGUUGGAACUUAUAAAGGAUUAUGACAUGAAGCUACACUAUCAUCUAGGAAAGGCCAGUGUCGUAGCCAACGCUUUGAGCCGGAAGAGUUAUGCUAAUAUAUUGGAAAGCAAGGGACUGUCGCAGGAAUUAGCAGAGGACAUCAUGGAACUUCGAUUGGAGAUUGUUCCUAGAGGAUUUAUUGCAACAAUGGAGGUCCAGUCGACAUUGCUGGACAAAAUUCAGGAAGCUCGGAAGGAUGACAAAGAGAUUGCCGAGAUAAAGGAGAAGAUGGGCAAAGGAAAGGCCAAAGGUUUUCGUGAGGAUGAGCCCGAUACCCUAUGGUUUGAGGACCGAGUUUAUGUGCCCAAUAACCAAGAGAUCAGGAAGUUAAUACUUCAAGAGGCCCAUGACUCACCAUACUCGAUACACCCCGGAAACACCAAGAUGUAUUUGGAUUUGAAGGAACGUUUCCAGUGGACCGGUAUGAAGAAGGAUAUUGCCGAGUAUGUAGCCGUAUGUGAUGUAUGUCAGCGCGUGAAGGCAGAGCAUCAGAAGCCAGCAGGACUGUUACAGCCUAUGCCGAUACCCGAAUGGAAGUGGGAUAAACUGGGCAUGGACUUUAUCACCGGAUUACCCAGGACCAAAGCAGGAUAUGAUUCCAUAUGGGUAGUAGUUGAUCGCUUGACCAAAGUAGCUCACUUCAUCCCAGUAAAAACCACCUAUACAAGUGCAAAGUUGGCCAAGAUAUAUAUGUUCAGGAUAGUAUGUCUGCAUGGAGUUCUGAGGACCAUCGUAUCAGAUCGAGGAACCCAGUUUACCUCAAAGUUUUGGCACCAGUUGCACCAGACCUUGGGAACGAGAUUGGAGUUUAGUACAGCAUUUCACCCGUAGGCGGAUGGACAAACAGAGAGAGUCAACCAAAUUUUGGAGGACAUGUUGAGAGCUUGUGCGCUAGAUUAUGGAUCUAGUUGGGAUGACAAUUUGCCGUACGCAGAGUUUUCAUACAACAAUAGAUAUCAAGCCAGUUUGAAGAUGGCACCGUUUGAAGCCCUGUAUGGACGAAGGUGCAGAACACCGUUGAUGUGGGACGAGGUAGGAGACCGACAGUUGUUUGGACCAGACUUGAUCAAGGAGUCUGAGGAGAAGGUUAAAUUAAUUCGCGACAGACUGAAGAUUGCUCAGUCCAGGCAGAAGAGUUAUGUUGACUCAAAAUGCAAGGAGGUAACCUAUGAAAUUGGGGAUCGAGCAUAUCUGCGAGUAUCACCCUUGCGAGGAGUGAAACAUUUUGGAGUUAAGGGAAAGUUAGCCCCGAGAUUUGUAGGACUGUAUCAUAUUUUGGAACGGAUGGGAGAAGUUGCCUACAAGUUGGAGUUACCCGAGGGAUUGUCAGGAGUUCAUGACGUGUUUCUCGUUUCACAGCUGAAGAAGUGUCAUGCUGAGAUGGCAGAUAUACCGCUAAGAGAUACAGUACCCCUGGAGGCGAUUCAGUUGGACAGUGAUUUGACCUAUGAGGAAAAACCAGUUAAGAUUCUUGAGUUUGCCAGCAGAGUCCCCCGCAGUAAGGUUAUCAAGUUUUGUAAAGUUCAGUGGAGCCACCAUACCGAGGAUGAAGCCACAUGGGAAUGAGAGGAUGAUCUUCGCAAGGACCACCCACACCUAUUUUCUAGCCAACCCAAAUCUCGAGGGCGAGAUUCAUCUUAAGGGGGUAGGUUUGUAACAUCCCAAAUUUUCAAUUUGGAAUGUUAUACAUAGUCAUCCAUGCAUAUCAUAUUUUAUUUGCAUUUCGUCUCGCGAUCCUCAAAAUCCUAAGCAACUCAAGGAACUUCGGAGAGAGUUGGGGAUUUCCCGAUUUUCAAAUUUGAUCUUUAUCAAAUUUUGAAACGAGGAUUUUUGAUUUUAAUUAUUUUCUCUCCAAAAAAAUAUUUCAUACAAAAAUAUAUGAGAGGAGAUAAUAUGACUUCUCCAAGAUAAUUGAAAUAUUGGAGGAAAAUAUUAAAAUCAAAUGUUUGUUUUAUUGGAUUUUUUAUUGCAAUUUUGUUUGCAUUAGAAAAAUUGCACGUUUUUUAAAAUUGCAUUUUAGGGCCAAGAAAAUGUUCAUCUCGUUCUAAAUAUUUUAUUUAGAUGGUGAAAAAUUAUUUUGGCAUUUUUAGAUUUUUAUUUAUUUUUCUAGGAUUUUAUUUCGGUCGAUGAAAUUAUUUUUAAAAAGAAAGGGUUCCCGCGCCGACUGGGCCUAAGGCCCAGCCGAGCCAGGCCGCCGCCGCCGCGCCUUGCCCCCUCCUCCAAGCUGCUCCACCCCGCCCUUUAUAUACCGCCGCCCCGCCGCCCCAACACCCCACCGCNNNNNNNNNNNNNNNNNNNNNNNNNNNNNNNNNNNNNNNNNNNNNNNNNNNNNNNNNNNNNNNNNNNNNNNNNNNNNNNNNNNNNNNNNNNNNNNNNNNNNNNNNNNNNNNNNNNNNNNNNNNNNNNNNNNNNNNNNNNNNNNNNNNNNNNNNNNNNNNNNNNNNNNNNNNNNNNNNNNNNNNNNNNNNNNNNNNNNNNNNNNNNNNNNNNNNNNNNNNNNNNNNNNNNNNNNNNNNNNNNNNNNNNNNNNNNNNNNNNNNNNNNNNNNNNNNNNNNNNNNNNNNNNNNNNNNNNNNNNNNNNNNNNNNNNNNNNNNNNNNNNNNNNNNNNNNNNNNNNNNNNNNNNNNNNNNNNNNNNNNNNNNNNNNNNNNNNNNNNNNNNNNNNNNNNNNNNNNNNNNNNNNNNNNNNNNNNNNNNNNNNNNNNNNNNNNNNNNNNNNNNNNNNNNNNNNNNNNNNNNNNNNNNNNNNNNNNNNNNNNNNNNNNNNNNNNNNNNNNNNNNNNNNNNNNNNNNNNNNNNGCCGCCAUCGUCGCAGCCCGCGCCGCCACCGAGCGCCGCCGCCCCGCCGCUGCCUCGCCUCGCCGGAGGUAGCCGCCGUGCCCCGCCGCCGUUUUUUUUAUAAAGACCGUUCGGUUUUUUAGAAACCCUAGAUCAGUUUUUUUUUCGGAUUCGCCGGUUUUUCUCGGUUCUUCUAGUUAGUGGACGUCCGUCCGAACGUUCGUUUUAACAAACGGUUCUUCGCCCGUUAGAUGCAGCUAACGAACGCUCGCUCGUUAGUCUGUUCGUCAGUUUUCUUUUAUCGGAUUUAUUCCGCGAUUUUCUCUGAUCGUGAUUUCUGAUCCGAUCUUAGUUUCUGUUUAUCUUUUCGCUCGUUAGUCGCAAUCAGGCGAUUCAAGCGCCUAGAGGUUCGUCUCGAAACCCUCUUUCCGUUUAACCAACUCAAACAAGUUUUAUCUACUGUAAAAUUUGACCUAGUUUCAGAUUAGUAAACGAAGCUUCUUUCUUUCGCCGUUUGAGUUUUGUUGCUCCAUUUGAUUUGAUUCUUUUUGCAAACCGGAGUUCUUAAUUUGAACUUUCUGGUCAACCUAUUUUAUUUGAGUUUUGCUUGUGCAUCGUUGCUUGUUACUUAUGUAUGCUAUUGUUUGCUUGCGAUAGAACAUCCGGAGUGCGAAGCGUGCUACUACUAGUCCCUAGGUUUCGCAGAUCGUCAGCAAGGCAAGUAACACUUUGAUCAUACCCUUUUAUCACCCAGUUUUUAUGCAUUAGUUCCAAUCCUAAAACAUUGCAUGAUUAGGAUGUCAUUAACUUGUGGUUUGGGAAGUAGUUGAUGAGGUAGAACCUAUUGCCAUGUUACAUUCAAACCCUUGGGAGUUACUCUACGCGUUGCUUAUAUACUAUGCUAUGCUAUGCUAUGCUCGUAGACGUGGUUUGGGUUUGAUUGAAAUACAUGACAGAUGUGAGCUUGUUAAAUUAAUGGUUCAACUUAAGGUGGCAACUUAAUCAAACAACUGGGUGGAUUGAGGCACCUGGAGUACCCAGUGUUGCCUGUAUUUUUUUGGAAAUCCCGGAGUACCCGUGUGAUCUUCCUAUGGACCGCCACCCAGGCUCAAAGGGAACUGAGAUGAUUCAUGCUAGAAACUUCCGUGUGCAGCCACAAGCUAUUAUGGGCUCUAGCAUAGUUGAGUAAGUUACGUGAAGCUCUUGAAGAGGCAGAUCAGCAGGUAGUGGGAUGUAGUUUUGGUAUGGUCUGUCCGGAGUAGAGAGUUAAUGUUUCUGAAAGACUGUGUCUCGGUCAUCCGUUUCUCAAACACCCUGUAGUGCGAGAAAUCCAACGGAGGAGAUCGAGUCUUGUGGGGAAAAGUGCACAAACCUCUGCAGAGUGUACAAUCUAAUCAUGGUUAGCCGUGUCCCCGGUUAUGGACAAUUCUUGAGUAUCUAGUACUUGGGUUAUCAAAAGUAUCUCAUCAUGUUUAACUAAUAUUGUUGGGUUGUUAAUCACUUUAAUGGGGAUUGAGUUGGAGGAACCUUCUCAAUGAUGUUUCAACUACCAUGAUAGUUAAAGUAAAAUCUAUUCCUUUGUUGUAGGAAAAAAUUGGCUUUUCGCAAAACUGUAACCAUAGAGCUUUCCACCAGCCAAAUAUGCAUGUAGUGAUAGCAUUAUUCUGUUCUUUCUCUACUGUGUUACUUUGCCGGCAUAUUCCAUGUGCUGACCCGUUUUCGGGCUGCAACGUAUUAUGUUGCAGACUUUUCAGACGAGGAGUAAGGUUCGUUAGGUCAUUGCCGUGCAGCUCAGCUAUGCCGUUGGAGUUGAUGGACUCACUUUAUCUUCCAAGCCUUCCGUUGUUAUCGUAUUAGAUGGCCUUAAGCCAUAUUAUUGUAAUAAGUUCUCUCUUGAGACGUUCGAUGUAAUAAGUGUGUGAUUGCUACUCUGUUAUAAAUCCUUCGAGUACUGUGUGUGUCAGCAUUAUCGAUCCAGGGAUGACACUGAAGUACAGAGACUUGACCAUCUGAGGUCGAGUCGCUACAAUCCUAUCGAGAGAAUUUAGAAAAUGGUGAAUGGCUGGAAGGAGAGAACGUUGUCUUUCGGAGGAAAAUAAGCUUUGAUAAAGGCGGUGUCCCAAGCCAUACCCACAUAUGCAAUGAGUGUUUUCAAAUUCUCUAAGAAAAUUUGCAAGGGGGUCAUUGAUGCAAUGUCGUGGUAUUGGUGGGGAGAUGAGGACAAUCGUGGGCGAAUGCAUUGGUUCGCUUGGUGGAAGACGUGUAUCCCAAAAGAGAGGGGUGGCAUGGGAUUCUGAUAUGUCCAUUCUUUCAACCUUGCUAGGUUAGCUAAGCAAUGUUGGAGGCUCAUUGAGAAUUUUGAUUCCCUUUGUGCAAGAGCACUUCAAACUAGAUAUUACUCCUGUGGUGACAUAUUGAACCGCACCUUGAAGAAAGGGUCUUCAUUUGUGUGACAGUAUCUUUGCAGGGAUUAAAACUUUCAAGAAGGGAAGCAUUUAGAGAGCGGGAGAUGGUGUAAAGAUAAACAUUUGGGAAGAUUGUUGGAUUCCUAAUAGUCCAUCAAGGAAAGUAAUCACCGUGCAAGGUAACUGGAUUUUGACAUAUGUCAAUGAACUAAUAGAUCCCACCUCCGGUGAAUGGGAUGAAUUGCUCAUCUGUUAUAACUUUUGGCAAAUCGACGCGGAACGAAUUUUACAUAACCAACUUUCACACCAUGAAGAGGGGGACAAUAUCGCCUGGCAUUUUUACAAAAAGUGGUACAUUUAGUGUACGGUCAACAUAUCAUGUUGAAUGUGAUGAUCUGUUUGGAACUAAACUGCAAAGUGAAAAGGGACAAAAUAGUUCACUUAACCAUCCAGUAUGGAAAAAAGUUUGGAUUAUGAAACUACUGUGGAAGAUAAAGAUAUUAUGUGGAGGUGUUUGCACAAGACGAUUCCUUUCCUUUGUACACUCGCCAACCGCCAUGUGGGUAAUAUUGCUCAAUGCCCAUUAUGCCAAAGUAGUGUUGAGGAUAUCAAACAUGCGCUUUUCACAUGUGGCGGGCGAACAAUAUAUGGAGAGAGUUGGGUUUGCAUGAAAUAAUAGAAGAAGCUUUGGCGGUGGACCGAUCGGUUGCAAAGGUGCUUGAGUUCCCGUUGUGCGAAAAUAAAUUUCAAUGCACCUUAUCUGGUUGCAUUCAAAUUCCUGAGAUAAUUGCAUCUACGUGAUGGUGCUUGUGGUGGCAAAGAAGAGAAGUUGUGAGGGGAGAACAGGUGCAGACAAUUGAUCGCACAACAUUGGCAAUACACGCCUUAUCCCUGAACUUUGUUCGAUCAAUAGGAUUGCGAGAGGUACAUGGUCGCUUGAAUGAAUGGAAGAAGCCACCAUCUAGAUUGAAAAUCCUUAAAAUGGACGUAUCCUUUUUCUGAUGAUGAAAACUCUGGUUCAUGUGGAGUUGUGGUAUGUGACCACUUGGGGGUUUUGUCGCUGCAUCAACUGCUUGCCUGGAGCAUGUAGACGAUGUGGUCUCGGCCCAAUCAGAAGCGUUGCGUCAAGGUCUAAUGCUCAUUCAGAGCCUUGGGUGUGCCAAGGUAACUGUCCAAACUGAUAAUGUGACUAUGGUAGAGGUGUUGAAUUUGAAUGAGGGUUACUCAAUGAUUGCAUAACCAAUACUCAAUGAAUGUGUAACAUCCCAAAUUUUCAAUUUGGAUUGUUAUACAUAGGUCAUUCAUGCAUAUCAUAUUUUUACUGCAUUGUUGCUUUGCGAUCCUCGAAAUUCUAAGCAACUCAAGGACCCACAAAGAGAGUUGGGGAUUUCACGUUUCUCAUAUUUGAAAUUUAUCAAAUAUCGAAACAAGGAUCACUUUGGUUUUAAUUGUUUUUCUCUCUGAAAAAUAUUUCAUAUUAAAAUGUAAGAGAGGAGAUAAUAUGACUUCUCCAAAAUAAAGAGAAUAUUGGAGGGAAAAUAUUAAAAUCAAAUAAAUAUUUUUUUGACUUUUAUUGCUAUUUUGUUUGAAUUAGGAAAAAUAUGUGUUUUUCAAAAUUGCAUUAGAGGCCCAAAUAAAUGUUCACUUUCUCCAAAAUAUUAUUAGAGGACCGCGAAAAUUUCUUUCAGGAUUUUUGGACUCUGUUUAGUAUUUCUUUUAUUUGUUUUUCCGCGUCAGGAUUAUAUAUUUUUUAAAACAAAUGCACCGACCUAACGGGCCGUGCCCGACCAGGACACCGCCCGCCCGGCCUUUAAAGGGCAAGGCUCGAAGCCCGCCGCGCCGCCAGCCCCGCCCCGAAACCCUAGCGCCGCCGCCGCUGCCUCCCCGUCGCGUCGCCACCGCCGCUGCCUCCCCGUCGCGUCGCCACCGCCGCCCGCCACCGCCUCCCCAUUGCGCCGCCGCCGCCGACCGCCGGAGUCGCCGCCGCCACUUUCCGGAGGUAGAAACCGCCGCCGCCUCGGUUUUUCUCUGAGAACCGUUCGUUUUUUAUAGAUCCCUAGAUUCGUUUUUUAGAUCGGUUCGGGUUUUUUUAGGUUUAGUUAUUUAGCGGACGUUCGUCCGUACGUUCAUUUGAACGAAUGUUGUUCAUCAGUUAGCCGCAGACAGCGAACGUUCGUUCGUUAGCCUGUUGUCUUGUUUUAUUUUCCAGGGGUUUUCCGCGAUUAUUUCGAUCAUGAUUUCUGCCCUAAUCUUCGUUCUAGUUUAUCUUUUUGCUCCUUUAUCCAAAUCAGGUGAAACAAGCGCCUAGAUCUUCGUCUCGAAGUCCUCUUUCUGUUUAACCAGCUUGAACAAGAUUUUGGUACUGUAAAAUUUGACUUUAGUCUAGAUUAGUAAAUGGAUCUUGUUUCUUUCGUAGUUUGAGUUUCGUUGCUCCGUUUGAUUUGAUUCUUUUUGCAAACCGGAGUUCUUCAGUUGAACUUUCUGGUUAGAUCUUUUUAUUUGAGUUUUAUCCGUGCAUCUUUACUUGAGUGCUUAUGUAUGCUAUUAUUUGUUUGUGUUAGAAUUCCCAGAGUGCGAAGCGUGCUACUACGAGUCUCUAGGAUUUGUAGAUCGUCAACAAGGCAAGUAACACUUUGAUCAUACCCCUUUAUUACCCAGUUUUUACGCAUUAGUUUCAACCCUCACACAUUGCAUGAGUAGGAUCUCUUAACAUGUGGGUCUGGGAAGUAGUUGAUGAGGUAGAACCUAUUACCUGUUUUAUUAUCAAACCCUUGGGAGUUACUUCUAUGCUAUGCUUAUAUUGUCAUGCUAUGCCCGUAGACGUGGUUUGGGUUUGAGUGUAACCAUGACAGAUGUGAGUUGUUAAUUAAUGGUUCAACUUAAGGUGGUAAUUUUAAUACACAUCUGGGUGGAUUUCUUGUGGGCACCUGGAGAAUCCAGUGUUGUCCAAGGAUAUCCCGGAGUACCCAUGUGAUCAUCCUACGGUUCGCCACCCACGCUCAAAGGGAUCAUAAGAUUAUUCAUGCUAAAAACUUUCGUGUGCAACCACAAGCCAUUAUGGGCUCUGGCAUAGUUGAGUAUGUUGCGUGAUCUCUUUCAGUGGUGGGCUAGCAGAUGUAGGGGAAAGUAGAUGUAACUGUCCACCCAAGGUAAAGAGUUAAUGCUUAUGAAAAACUGUGUCUCGGUCAUCCAUUUCUCAAACACCUUGUAGUGCGAGAAAUCCAAUGGAGGAGAUCGAGUCUUGUGGGGAAAAGUGCGCAAACCUCUGCAGAGUGUAUAAACUAAUCAUGGUUAGCCGUGUCCCCGAUUAUGGACAUCUUGAGUAUCUGGUACUUGAAUUAUUGAUUUGAUCUCAUCACUCUAAAUUAAUUUGACGGGUGUUAAUGGCUAUUUUAAUUGGGAUUGAGUUGGAGGAACCUGCUCAAUGAUGUUUCAACUACCUUGAUAGUUAAAUAAAACAUAUUCCUUUGUUGUAGGAAAAAAAUGGAUUUUUGCAAAACAAUAUAACCAUAGAGCCUCCACCAGCCAUAAAUGCAUGUAGUGAUAGCAUUUAUCCAUUCAUUGCUCUACUAUGUUAUAUUGCCAGCAUAUUCCAUGUGCUGACUCAUUUCCGGCUGCAACAUAUCAUGUUGCAGACUUUUCAGACGACGAGUAAGGUGCUAUAGGUCGUUUGUCGUGCACUCAGCUAUGCCGUUGGAGUUGAUGGACUCACUUUAUCUUCCAAGCCUUCCGUUGUUAUCUUACUUAGAUGGCCUUAAGCCUUAUUUACUGUAAUAAGUUCUCUUUUGAGACAUUUGAUGUAAUAGGUGUGUGGUUGCUACUAUGUUAUAAAUCCUUCAAGUACUGUGUGUGUCAGCAUUACCGAUCCAGGGAUGACACUUAUGCAUAGAGAUUUGACCGUUCAGGUCGGAUCGCUACAGAAUGUCGAAGUCUACUUUCAAAUUUCAGGAAGGUACUUGUUGAACAUUGUAACAGGGAGUCAAACAUGGUUGCUCAUGAGAUAGCUAGGUUUGGGAGGAGUAAUCCACCGACUUUGUGGUUGGAUACACCUCUAGCUUUAGUAUUCCUUUGUUAGCAAAUGAUGUAAGUUUGAUUUGAGUUAAUAAAGCUAGCCAUGAAGGCUUUCCCAUAAAAAAAGUCUCUCAACAUUACUAACAUAAUUGAAUCAUAUUAUAAUCCCUCAAGGUGCGGCAAAGAAUCACUUCAAAGUCUCUAUUCCUAUCGAAGAAAGUAGGAUGAAAUCACGUAGGUAGUAAACCACCUCAAAAUUGUGUUUCGAAUUAAUCUAUUGAACCACCCCCAAAGUGUCGCACAUAGUUCUCUUCUUUGCCACCUAAAUUAACUCUUAUGAUACGUAUCAAUCAUAUGAUACAUAUCAAUCAACUCUUAUGUCACCUAAAUUACGCCAAUGUCACCACGGGAAUCCAUGAGUUAGACAUGCACCAAGUGAUCUCAAAUCCAAAAUAUUCAAUCCAACAUAAAACUUCAAAGAGCAAGACUCAAUUCACCACAAAAAGAGAUAGAGGAGAAAAACAUCAUAAGAUCCAAUUAUAUUGAUAAAAAUCAUGAUACAUGAAGAUCAUGCGAAAUCAAGAACACGAGAGAGAGAGAGAGAGAGAGAGAGAGAGAUCAAACACAUAGUUACGGGUACAAACCCUCGGCCCCGAGGAUGAACUACUCAGGCAUCGCCAUGGAGGCACAACAAGGAUGAUGAAUAUGGCCUCCGUGAUGGCUUCUCCCUUCGGCAGGGCGUCGGAAAAAGGCUCAAGAUGAACUCACUUUGGUACAGAGGCUUGCGGCGGCGGAGGAGAAGUUCUAUGUUACUUUACGGGGGUUUCUGUAUUUAUAGGAUUUUUUGCGUUGGAUUCACACCGGAUGGAGUACCGAGGGCCCACAAGCUUGGUCGACAUGCCCUAGGGGGCGCCCCCUGAGCUUGUGUCCCCCCGGGCACCUUCCGGCUCCCCCUCCCCCCGAAAUUUUCUGGGUCUCUUUCAUUCCAAAAAAUCAUCGUAAUUUUUUUAUUGUGUUUGGACUUUGUUUGGUAUGUUUUUUUCGCGAAACAAAAAAUAUGCAAAAAAAACAGUAACUGACACUGAACGCUGGAUUAAUAUGUUAGUCCAUAAAAACAUUAUAAAAAUGCACUAAAACCAUAUAAAACUCAUGUAAAUAUGUUAGGCGAAAACCUAAUUCGAGAGAUAAUAAUACUUGGACCGGUCCGCAUUUUACUCAAAAGCCAUUUAAUAAGGCGUACACGACCAAAGUCUUCGCCUCUAGGCUCUCCGUGUUUAUAACUGGUACUUCUUGUUACUGGCACGUCAAUACUAACUUUUAUGACGACAUGCAAAUGUGAAGUGCGUGCUCGUUGGUGCUCCACGGCCUCCAAGUCGCUGAUGUUAUUGGAAAAUAGACGUGCCAACCAUACUUAUCAUGGAGUAAGUAGAAAUUCCCCCCUCAAGUCAUCCAAGAACACGCAUCCAAUUCAAGGAAGAAACCCGGAAGCGCGGCGCGCACGUCGAUGAACGCCGAGCCAACACACACACACACACGGAGACCCGGAGACGCGCUCCAACGGGCGCGGUCAGAGAGGAUCCCGGCGGCAACGGUAACGGACGCCAGCUCAACCGGCCACCAAACGCGGCACGCCCGGACGGAACCCAACCCAACCCAACAGACGGCCAGCCGUACCCCUCUCCCCUUCCUCCCACAACCCUACGCGACCUCCCCGCCCCGCCGCUAUAUAAGCCGCACCCCCGCCCUCCUCUCCCUCCCACCUCCCAAGCCGCCACUCUCAAGCCCUCUCCCUCAUCCGCGUGCAGCAUCUCUCUAGCUCCCCCCUAGAGAGAUCUCACAGCCGAAUAAGCAGCAGCAGCGAGAGACCCCCUCCGGCCUCCUCCUCCCAGCACCAGGAACCACCAAGUCAAGUCGCCAAUGGCCGGUCUCAGGAUGAAGCUCGUCGCCGUCGCCGCCAUGGCCGCCGCGCUCGUGGCCUCCGCGGCCGCCGCCGAGGCCCCGGCCCCGGCGCCCGCCUCCGACGCCGCGGCCGCCGUGCCCCUCGCCGCGGCCUCAUUCGCCGCCGCCGCCUUCGGAUACCUCUUCUGCUAAAUCCGUCGUCGACUCUCCGUAGCGUGGCGUGUGACCCUUCUUGGUCUUGUCCUUCUUGGUUUAUUGUUCUUGGUGUGUGUGCGUGUGUUCGUGCCGGGGUGUGAGGUGUGGGCGCGUGCGUGCGUGUAUGUAUGGGUCGCGGUGGUGUGGGAGGUGUCGAGUACGUGCGUGCGCCGGCGUGCCAUUCUUUGUGUUGGUGAUCAUGUACUUACUCUCUUGUUCUUGCUAUGAAUGAGACCAUUUAUUUGAUUCUUUCUCUCCAGCUUAAACACCAAGUCUUGACUGUUCUGAUGCAUGCAUGCUGUUGAGAUGAUGAAUCUUUGCGUUUCGCAUCACCAAAUGUUCCUUCAGGAAAUUUCGUGCUAAAAAACCUCAGUAUACAAAUGAAACUAAAGUACCAAAUUAACUCUGUUCAACGUCAAAUUUGCCAUAUGAAGAUCGAUUUGAUGCACGCUCCGCAUUUGCGACCGGCAAAACAUCAAUUAUUCAAACACGGAACUGCUGGCUUCUGUGUCGUACGAAGAGGUGAAAAAUGAAUUAAGAUCUUCGAGCAAUGCAAUUUGGAAACCAAAUAGGCCUCUUCUGUUUUCUGAAGAACAGUCUCGGGGAUUUUUCUCAUUUUUUGUGUGGUACGUACAUGUACUACUUGGAAGGUUUGUUUGGAGACGCCAGGUUGUUAAUUGGGUGAGCGAUCCGAAGGGUGGAAUGAUUGGACCAUGUGGCCGCCAUGUGCAGCUGCUCAGCAUCGGUCCACAGCUGAGUUGUCGAGGUAGGGCAACCGUACCAACUGUAUCAUUUUCUGCGACGACGCACCAACGGUAUCAUGCAAACGGUAAGAUGGUGAAUUGAACUCCGAACCGUGCGUUUCGCUGAGUUACAGCGCAGUUGAACCGUUCGUGUGUUUGUUGUCAAAAAAUUUGCGCUUAGUGUUUGCCCAGGAAGAAUAAUGGCCUGAGCGUCUAAGUUCAUUUUUUUUUGUCUGUAUAAGUUCAUUUUUGGGAGGAAAGGGAGGGCGACAGGCGUCAGGCUGGAAAACUGUAAGCCCGGCCCGAUUGUAAACAUGAAACUGGACGACGCCCAUGUUGAAAAUUGUGGGCUAUGCGGUCUACCCUUUAAUUCCUCUGCCUUUUUCGUGGUGCCGCUCACAAUGCAUAUUGAGGUUAAAGGGUAGGGACCUAUUUAUAGACUCCACUUCUAGACGUUUUAUUAUUCCACCUGUUUCCGGAAAGAUCCGUACAACUCCUAGGCAAUGUUACCAACCACGAUAAAACAUGCCGGUUUUCCGAGUCUAAAUAUAUUAGUCAUUAGCACACAUGUGUGAGUCAUGUGCAUGAUUAGAUUGUAUAUGUGAGAUCAACUUCCAAUCUUAAGCAUGUGGGUCAACAGCCUGCAGAGCCGAUCCUGCAAAACAAACCCAGCUCUUCCACCCUGUGAUGUCCCAGGAAAAUACAUACGUACAUAUAAAUUCCAGUAGAGUCGAUCCCUAUUAAUUCCUCUAUUGUAUUCCAUCACAGUCGUCCUCGGCACCUCGAGUUUUACUUCCUCGAGUGAAAUUCCGCAUCAGUUAUUCCCCGUCACAAAUAUUAAUAAUAUGAAUAAUUCCAAGUUGAUUUAAAUAAAUAAUAGUCAUGUUGAAUAAAUGUUGAAAGCCACAUAAUUAUCCAACAUCUCUCACUUGGCUGAAACAUAUUUAAUCAAUAAAUGAAGUUCCAUGUGUAAACAUGUGUUGAAAACAAUUCCUGACUAUAGUCAGUGAAUCUGCACCAUAUUAGAAUUAUUAUACAAAUAAAUGAAAUAUACGUACCUGAGUUUAAUCAUUCCACACCUAGUGUAUACAAUGCUAACUUCCUCAAUGUAUUUACUUUUAACCAAAAACUCAAGAAUAGUUGACAGGUUGUGAUGCACAUUCCACAAUCUCAUAUGAUGUGUGAGAUUCCCUUAGCCACACAUAUUUCCUUACAUUACUUGAAUGCACCAAUAAAUUCCGGUAGCUAAGGUUCAUAGUAUAAAAAAAAUUAAUACAAAUUCCAAUACCAUUAAGUAUCCCAAUUUUCCUCAGGAGUUCAAACAUAAUUCCUCACUAAGUAUGAUUCCCCUUAUCAAGGUAUUUUAAGAGGUUUGCAAUUUCCCAUGAAAAAUGUAUCGCUACACUUACUAUGUAUUUCCACUCCCAAAAAAGGAAGUCUCAAACAUGCCUUUCAUUUGAAAGUUACAAGAUAACCAAGCUUUCACUUCCAUCAAUGUAAUAUUAUCAUUAACGUAUAUAAUAGUAAUGCAAAAUAUUUUACACUUACGUUUGUAGAUGGUCGUUUUUCUUCCUCUAGAAAACCAUGUGACCUGCUAUUCCAUUGGUGUGAAGCUUGUUAUAAGACAAUCAUUAAUAGCAAACCAUGUAUUUAUUUCCUCUUUCCCUAAAUUCCAGAGAAAAAGUUUCCACAAGAAAUAUAUAUAUUCCUUUGUGUAAAUAAUUGAAUAACAAGAGUGGCAUUAUAAUAUUCCAUUGAACCUAAUUCCUUGUAAAACAAAAAAAACUUACGAACAAUGGGCCUGCGGUUCUUUGGUGAGAUAAUAAAUUCCCAAACUUUAUUAUUCCUUAUCGAGUUCAUUCCUUCCCACAUUUCUUCCACCCAUAACUUGUGUUCAUGGAAUAUUUAAACCUAGACUUUGGUUAUUCCUCUAAAAAUUUAGAGUGGCUUCCCCAAACAACAGACAAAAAUCUAAACAUGAUAUUCCAUGUUAUUUCCUCGCACUUAUCCUAAGCAUGUUAGUGUCAGGAGUUUCACUUGUAGUUUCCUUUGGACCAAGAAUAUACUCUAGUAUGAUUGCCAAUAAUUCCACCAUUUUCCAUAAAAAUAUUGUGCUCCCACUUUCCACCAGUUUUCCUUUUCCAGAUCAAAAACAUUCUGUUGAUCCACUAGAAUAAGAAUUAACAAAUUCCUGAUGUGUGCUUUGUAGUAAUUGAGAAUUUCCUUCCAAAAUAAAAUACUUCCUUCCAGUCUACAAACCAUAACAAGUGACUGUGCUAGAUGAAAAAAGUUAUAUACGUAAUAUGUAAUGCUUCUUCCAAAGGAAAAAAAACAAUGGAGCAUCAAAGAUAUUCGAUUCCUCCACUCAAUUGUGAAGCAUAUGGGAGUAUUAAAGAUAUUCAGUUCCUCCUAUCAUGUGAAGUAUACAAUAUAUUACAAUGGUGAAUGAAGUUCCAUGCUCUUAUUCAGUCGUUAUAUUCCUGAAGUGUACUACCCCCACCAACCAGUAGUUAAAACUUUGAAAUCUUUUAAUCAACUGAUUUUCCACUUCAGUACAACAUGUUAACAUCACAAUAAAACCUUCCGACUUGUAUAAUGAAAGGUAAACAUAUAACCAUAUAAAGUGCAAUCAUCGAUGAGUGAAAAGAAAUAAACAAUCUGACCUCGAGUGGGAGUGUCCAAAAGAAAAUACCAUAAGUAUACAUAAAGAAUGACGUGAAGCUUUUUAUCUCCUUCCACCUUAAGAAAAGGCGUGCAAGUUAAAUACCCGUUACAUAUGUGCUUCAGAAAACCAAAUUCCUCCCACUAAAGUUUUGAAUUCCAGAAUUAGUAAGCCACUUGACGGUUCCAUGAUAUGUGACCAAGUCGUCCCAUGACAAAAAUAAUAAAUUUCAAGCAUGUGUUCCCAAUAUCAGCAUUCCUUAGUAUGGAGAUAUCUUCCCCAAAUAAAAAUUGGGUUGCUAACUUCCAAUGGACCAUCAAGAAAGAAUAGACCAUUGUGUGAAAUUCCAUAAUGCACUGAUUUUAUCAUUGAGCAAUAUUUCUAGUCAUCAUUUUCCAAAUAGUAUUUCAUAAACAAUGGGUUCCAAAAUAGAAGCAUAAAUUAAAUCCCUUCACAAUGAAGUUGCAUAUAGAGUGUCGUAUAACAAUGAUACUUUUCCUCCACCAAGGAGUUCAAUGGCAAAAUUUCCAAUUCCAAAGUGUAUAGCAUUGUGUAGCAAUGACAAAACACACAAAAUAUGUAAUUUCCUUUGGUAUUGUUAGCAUGCCAAAAAAUGCUAUCGUAUUCCAACAAUAUAAUACAUAGAAGCUUAAAUCCACAAUCCAACUAUUUGAAAAAAAGGUAGUGUCAUAUACAUAUUUAAUGCAAGUAUUAGCAAUGUGCAUGCCUUUAAGUGAGAGCAAAUUUCCUUAAUUUUCCAUGAGUGAUUCCCAUCUUCCUCCAUAAAGAAGUGAUUGUCAUAAUAGACACCUUUUAAAUUCCUUCUCACGCAAGGUUAGUAUAAGCAUAUCCAUCAAUGAUGAUUUUCCUCCAGAACGGAGUUUGAGGGCAUAAUUUCCAAUUCCAAGUUUAUUAACUUUAGCACUUCCUUGGAAUUGUGUGCAUGGAAGUAUAUGAUAUAUAACCAUAAUGCGCAACAGAACAAAAAAAAUAGUGGUAAAUGAAAAAUUCCGUUAAUACAAAGUAUAGACAUACCUUCCUCUUUACCAAUUGGAUUGAUAAAAUAUUAUAUCUUCCUCUUCAAGGUGCAACCAGUAAUAUUUGGUCGGAUCCUUCCCUCGGAGAGUUUCUAUUGUAUGCUUGGCGAAGACAACUGCUCAAAAUUAUGCAGUUGAUUUCCUUGUGAUUUCCGUCCCAGAACAGGGUGCGCACAAGUAUUAAGAGAGCCAAGAAACACCAACCUUCCUUGUUACGAUCCGAUCCUUAUAGACAAAUAAUGUAGGUCUGGACUUCAGCAUGUACAUGUGUAUGCUAAGAAUAAAUUCCUUGCUUUCCUUAUGUAAGAUAGACGAGCAGGACAUGUAGUACUGUAUGAACAACAGGAACAGACAAAGCUUCCUCGAUCUGAGUAGUAGAUCACGCGAGCAUUCUUUUUCUUUCCUCCAUCGUGGAGUACUAGUAGUAGCAAACCAGCAAUUGAUCUGAUGGCUUGGUCUUGACGUACAUGUCUUUCUCGGGACUUGGACCUUGCUUCCUCGGAUGGAUUUCACACGACCGCUAGUUUGACUGGAUUUCCUGGCCUGUAGCAAGUGCGUCAAUCGAUCCAUGCGCAAACCUCAUGCGAAGGACCUACCUUUCCUCGAUCGCGGGUGCAUCAGCGAUUCUCCACGAUGACGCACAAGUAUCACCGCAGCAAUUAAGCACCAGCGCGGCACGCUACCUAUCCCGUGAUGAGAUUGCAACGGUGUCCGUGAUGGCGUGUCGAAGCAGAUCGAUAACAAAUUCAGACCGAGACGAGUUGACAGCAGAAUCGGCGAUGACGACUGGUAGAGUUUUGUACGCAGCGGAUUAGGGUAAAGAUGAUCGCAACCACGCUACGGCAGAGUUCACGGUAGUAGAUUAGACAACGGCGGCAACCGCCUGACCUAGCUCGAGAUACCAAUGUUGAAAAUUGUGGGCUAUGCGGUCUACCCUUUAAUUCCUUUGCCUUUUUCGUGGUGCCGCUCACAAUGCAUAUUGAGGUUAAAGGAUAAGGACCUAUUUAUAGACUCCAUUUUCAGGCGUUUUAUUAUUCCACUUGUUUCCGGAAAGAUCCGUACAACUCCUAGGCAAUGUUACCAACCACGAUAAAACAUGCCGGUUUUCCGAGUCUAAAUAUAUUAGUCACUAGCACACAUGUGUGAGUCAUGUGCAUGAUUAGAUUGUAUAUGUGAGAUCAACUUCCAAUCUUAAGCAUGUGGGUCAACAGCCUGCAGAGACGAUCCUGCAAAACAAACCCAGCUCUUCCACCCUGUGAUGUCCCGGGAAAAUACAUACGUACAUAUAAAUUCCAGUAGAGUCGAUCCCUAUUAAUUCCUCUAUUGUAUUCCAUCACAGUCGUCCUCGGCACCUCGAGUUUUACUUCCUCGAGUGAAAUUCCGCAUCAGUUAUUCCCCGUCACAAAUAUUAAUAAUAUGAAUAAUUCCAAGUUGAUUUAAAUAAAUAAUAGUCAUGUUGAAUAAAUGUUGAAAGCCACAUAAUUAUCCAACAGCCCAUAUAUAUAAUGCUGGGGUUGCCCCUUCUAGCGCAUCUAGUAGAUCCGUGAAAACUAUAUCUUGCUUACAGCGAGAGUAUCUACCGUCUCGCCACGCUGCGCUCGCUUUGUUCCAUGUGUUCGCUUCCCUACUUCGCUUUGUCUUAUUUUUUUCGUGUUCUUUUUUUUCAUUCGGGUUUCUCUAUUUCUUCAAUAGUUUCCUUCACUUUUCUGUUUUCACUUUGUUUUUCCCUGAUUUUAUUGUUUUUCACUGGUUUUCACUUUCUCCCCUUUUCUUUGGGUUUCUUUGUUUCUUUCUUGUUUGUUUUGUUUACCUUUUUUCUCUUCCCUCGGGGUUUUCCCAUUUUCUUCGAUUCCUUAUCUUUUUACACCGGGUUUUCUCCGGUUUGUUGUCUCCUUUUUCCCUUUGGUUUUCUUUUGUUUCUUUAAUGCUUUUUCUUUGCUAUACUUCGGUUUCCUCUGGUUUUAUCUUAGUUUGUUUUCACUUCUUUUAUGUUUCUUUUCUCUUUUCAUCAUUUUCCUAUUUCUUCAACACAUAUAUAACAUUUUAGUGUACAUUGUACAUUUUUGGUGUAUACAUGAAGCAUUUUCUUGAUACAUGUUUGGCAUUUAUCAAAUACCCGAUGUACAUUUUUCUUAAAAAACAUGCUAUGUACACCUUUUUCGAUACAUGUUCAAUGGUUUUUUGAAUAGAUGCUGAGCAUUAUUUAUUGUAAGAGACAUUAUUAAACUGCAUGAGCAUUUUUAAAUACAUGAUUAAUAUGUUCUUCAACAAAUUUUUUUCAUCAUAUUUUUUAUACACAUUUCUACAUUUUUUUACACCAGAAACAUUUUUACCUACGCAUUUAACAUUUUUUUAAUACGUGAUUACUAUUUUUUACAACAUAUAUUUUAUGAUGUUUACGUUUUCUAUGCAUACUGUACAUUUUGUAUACACGAGGAACAUUUUUUAUAUACAUGUUUGAUAUUUUUGAAAUACAUAAUUACUCUUUUCAAACAUAUAUUUUUUCAUGUCUACUUUUUCCAUAAACAUUGUAUAUUUUGUAUACAUCAGGAAACAUUAUAUAUAUAUAUACACGUUUAACAUUUUCUAAAUAUUAUAAACAUUUUUAAAACAUAUAUUUUUACGUAUACCAUUUGCAUACACAUCCUAUAUUUUUUGCUAUACAUCAGGAAUAUUUUUUACCUUUAGCACUGUCCAAACAUAUGAUUACCAUUUUUAAAUACAUUGUACAUUUUUUGUAUACAUCAGAAACAUGUUUUCUAUAUAACUUUAACGUUCCUAUAUUGCAUGAUUAAUAUUUUUAAAAAUAUUUAAAAUUUAAAUUUGUUUUGAUUUCUUCUUUUUUGCAAACACAUUGUACAAUUUGCCUAUAAUUUUUUUUUGUAUACAUCAGUAAUAUUUUUAAAACACAUUUAUCAUUACAUAAAUGCAUGAUUAAAAAUUUUCAACCUUUGCAUAUAAAGUGAUUUUAUAAUAGCUAUAUCAAGAAUAAUUCUAAAAACAAGCAAAAUUAAAAAAAACACAACCAAAAAACAUUAUUUUAAAGCAAGAAGUAGAGCGUUGAAGGCCUGUGUCCGUUCUGGGCCGGCCCAAUCAGGCGGCUGCCUUCAGCGAGAUGUCCUUCUGUCUAACUGUCUAGCUUGAGUCACCUCAAAAAAAAAAGUCUAGCUCGAGAUUCUAAAAAAAAAAGCUUUCAAGCUUGAAGCGAGACAUGGGCGCGCCCUUGAGCGCCCCUAUAUCUCGCCUUCAGCGAGACGGGAGGAACCCCUCGCUGUGGCUCGAGUUGUGCCGGCCAGAUGCGAUGUAAGAACAGCCUCGUUUUUUGCUUUUAAUCUUUGUUUAUACAUUCAAAUAUUCUAAAUAAAUAUAUUUAAAAUUACUAUACAUAAACCAUUUGAAAAAUGUUGACAAAGCAUUUUAACAAUAUUAAAUAUGUAUAGAGGAAAUGUUUCUCACGUAUAUGAAAAAUGUAUGCAAAAAAUUUUGUGUGCAACAAUUUGAUCAUGUAUUUAAAAAAUAUUAAUUAAAAAUUUGAAAAAUCUUGAACAAGUAUUUGAAAAAUGUAUUUCAAGCAUUUAGAAAAUGUUAAAUGUGUAUAGAAAAAAUGUCGACCAUGUAUUAAAAAUAUGAUGAGAAAAUUUUGAUCAUGCAUAUAAAAAUAUUAAUCAAGCAUUUGAAAAAUGUUGAACAAGUAUUUGAAUAAAGGGCCAUCUUACGAGUUAUUCUCGUGCUAGAAAUAUUGUGGAAAGAACUUUUGACUUAUGAAAGAAAAAAUGGGCCAUCUUACGAGUUCAAUAUUUUUUUUUGACAUGAAGGACCAGGUAAGAAAUGUCCAUAUGGAGUUAAAUAACAUAUGUGUCAUAUGACAUGCUAAUUUUAAAUAUAAAUCCUUGCAGAUUCGAAUUAUUAAUGCAUGUUGUGUGUACACAACUUUGCAAGAGAUAGACAACAUAUGAUGGAUGAUUUAUUGCUGCAAGAAGUUGAUGCUGCUCUAGCAAAUUUGGAACAUGAGCAUGUGUACAUCAGGUGACUUGAUACAUGUUCAAGUCACUAAUGAAUGGACCAACUCUAGGCAACAAUUAUCAGAAGACAUGUAUGCUGAAUACCUUCUCAGGCAUGCUGAGCUGGAGAUGGUGUAGUUAGUUGAUGGUGGAGUAGUUCGUGGAUGGUGGACUCAUUUUGUGUAGUGCUAGGUGGUGAUCGUGUCAUUUUGUGUAGUACCUAGGUGAUGAUGGUUGCUUGCUGAUUGUCUUUUGUGAUAGCUUAGCUAACGGUUGCUUGCUGAUUGUCUUUUGUGAUAGCUUAGCUGACGGUGAUGGUGCCUUGUGUGGUCUUCUGUACAUGCAUCAUCUUGAUAUUAAUAUAUAUAAUAGCUUUUCUUGAAAUUUGCAUUCUCGUGCACCAUUUAUUUGAUCCAACAUAAUCUUUUUCAUUUAUGUGAUGACUUGGGAGUGGACUAGGAUUAGGAAACCUAAUUCUAUUACUCUUUAUGACUUUAAAGGGAAGAAUAUAAAGUCAAAUGGUGUAAACUUUAACCAAAUUUAUCAAAAAACUACCAACAGUUAUAAUACCAAAUUGACAUCAUGAAAUGUGUAGUAAAAUAUAUUUUUCAUAUUAUACUUACAAAAUUUGUAGUUAUUGAUAAAUGUUCCUAGAAACUUUUUCAAAUUUUGCACCGUUUAACUUAAGACCAAAUUUAUAUACUAUCGUUCUAGAUUCGGGGGAGUAGGGCUUAUCCCUACUUAUAAUCAUAUAUUCUCACACGAACUCUAGUAAUAAGCAUUUAAGUCUCAUGCUCUUCUUAGAGCAUCUACAAUCGAGCAUUCUAAACCCCCUCACACGCCUUGGCGGACGGUCUAGUCAGUAAUCGGUCAAAAAACUCCGACCCAGACGGGCGCCUCAAACGGACCUCAAACGCUCAGGAUGACCGGCAACUCCUAUAUCCAUCCCAAAUAUGGGGCAGAUAUGGAGAGGCCCCGGCGCGUCCACUACGUCAGACUGACGACAGGGUUCCACACGGAAUCGCCCGGGAACCCAAUAGUUCAAUGAGCGUCGAUGUCCGCAAGUAUAGGGGAUCAAUCAUAGUCCUUUCGAUAAGUAAGAAUGUCGAACCCAAUGAAGAGCAGAAGAAAAUGAUAAGCGGUUUUCAGUAAGGUAUUCUCUGCAAGUACUGAAAGUAGCGGUAACAUAUAGUUUUGUAGUAGGAUAAUUCGUAACAAGUAGCAAUAGUAACAAAAGCAGCAAGGUGGCUCAAUCCUUUUUAUAGCAAAGGACAAGCCGGAAAGUUCUCUUAUAUAACGCAAAGUGUUCUCAAGGACACACGAAAAUUCUCGUCUAGUCACGUUCAUCAUGUUUAGUUAAUUCACGCUCGCUACUUUGAUAAUUUAAUAUGUGGGUGGGCCGGUGCUAGGGUGUUGUUCUUACUUGAACAAGAAACCCUCUUAUGAUUACUUCCUCUUGCAAGCAUCCACAACUACGAAAAAAGAAUUAAGAUAAUCUAAUCAUAGCACGAAACAUAUGGAUUCAAAAGCCCCUUACAAAAUAACGCGUAAAUUUGGGUUUACGCUUCUGUCACUCUCGCAACCCAUCAUCUACUUAUUACUCUCCAAUGCCUUCCCUUAUGCCCAAGUAUGUGAAGAGUCAUGUAGUCGAUGUUCACAUGACACCACUAAAGGAAGAAUAACAUACAUAUCAUCAAAAUAUCGAACGAAUACCAACUUCACAUGAUUACACAUAACAAGACUUCUCACAUGUCCACAAGAACAAAAUUAACUACUCACAAAUCAUAUUCAUGUUCAAGAUCAGAAGUGUAUUGAAUAUGCUUAAGGAUCUGAACAUAUAAUCUUCCACCAGAUAAACCAACUAGCAUCAACUAUGAGAUGUAAUCAACACUACUAGCAACCCAUAUGUACCAAUCUAAAUUUUUGGGACAAAGAUUGAAUAGAAGAGAUGAACUAGGGUUUGAGAUGACAUGGUGCUGGUGAAGAUGUUGAUGAAGAUUGGUCCUCCCAGGAUGAGAGGAUCGUUGGUGAUGUCGAUGUCUUCGAUUUUCCCCUCUCGGAGGGAAGUAUCCCCGACUGAAUCGUUGCGCCGGAGAGCAAAAGUGCUCCUACCUAGGUUUGGCCUCGAGACGGAGGCGCUUCGUCUUGAAAGUCUUCUCUUAUUUUUUUCUAGGGCAAGAGGCCUCAUAUAGCAGAAGAUGGGAACCAGAAGCCAGCUGUGGGCCCCACAAGGCAUCAGGGCACGCCCCGUUGCCUUGUGGGCAACAGGUGGCCCCCUCUAGUAUUUCUUCAUUCCAAUAUUUUUUUUAUAUUCAAUAAAAAAUCUCCGUGAAGUUUUAGAUCAAUUGGAGCUCCGUAAAUAGCCAUCUCUGCUAUAGCUCUUUUAGGUCCAGAAUUUCAGCUGCCGGUAAUUUCCCUUUCCAUGUUAAUCUUGCAAAUUAAGAGAGAAAAUGCAUUAGAAUUGCAUCAUAAAGUGAAAUAAUAACAAUAAACAUUAUAAAUAACAGUAGGAAAACAUAAUGCAAAAUGGACGUAUCAGGCGUCUCCUCCAGUGGAGGUGUGAUGCCGCAUGGCGCCGCUUCGGCUCGCCACCGAAGGAAAAAGUCUGGCUAUUUAAGCUGGCCGGCAUCCCCAACCCUAGUCACAACCUUUCCUCCCUCUCCGCGAUGCCAACCCGAGCUCUUUCUCUCCGUCUCCACCUCAAUCCCCCCUCACCGUGAGUCAUGGCUCGGUAGAAGAAGAUCACCUACACUAUGCUAACGCCGGAGUGCCGCUUCUAGAUUGAGGAGGAGAUCCGGGUGAGGCACGCCGCCCGCAUCGUAGCUGGCCUGCCUCCAGACUCGUCGGAGCCGAAGGAGGAGGUGUGCUACCUCUUGAGCACUUGCGUUGGUUUUCCCUUGAAGAGGAAAGGGUGGUGCAGCAAAGUAGCAUAAGUAUUUCCCUUAGUUUUUGAGAACCAAGGUAUCAAUCCAGUAGGAGGCCACGCACGAGUCCCUCAUACCUGCACAAACAAAUAAACCCUCGCAACCAACACGAUAAGGGGUUGUCAAUCUCUACACGGUCACUUACGAGAGUGAGAUCUGAUAGAUGUGAUAAGAUAAUAUUUUUGGUAUUUUUAUGAUAAAGAUGCAAAGUAAAAUAAAAGGCAAUAAAAAUAACUAAGUAUUGGAAGAUUAAUAUGAUGGAAGAUAGACCCGGGGGCCAUAAGUUUCACUAGUGGCUUCUCUCGAGAGCAUAAGUAUUCACGGCGGGUAAACAAAUUACUAUUGAGCAAUUGACAAAAUUGAGCAUAAUUAUGAGAAUAUCUAGGUAUGGUCAUGUAUAUAGGCAUCACGUCCGAGACAAGUAGACCGACUCCUGCCUGCAUCUACUACUAUUACUCCACACAUCGACCGCUAUCUAGCAUGCAUCUAGAGUAUUAAGUUCAAGAGAACAGAGUAACGCUUUAAGCAAGAUGACAUGAUGUAGAGGGAUAAACUCAUGCAAUAUGAAAUAAACCCCAUCUUGUUAUCCUCGAUGGCAACAAUACAAUACUUGCCUUGCUGCCCCUACUGUCACUGGGAAAGGACACCGCAAGAUUGAACCCAAAGCUAAGCACUUCUCCCAUUGAAAGAAAGAUCAAUCUAGUAGGCCAAACCAAACUGAUAAUUCGAAGGGACUUGCAAAGAUAACCAAUCAUACAUAAAAGAAUUCAGAGAAGAUUCAAAUAUUGUUCAUAGAUAAACUUGAUCAUAAACCCACAAUUCAUCGGUCUCAACAAACACACCGCAAAAGAAGAUUACAUCAAAUAGAUCUCCACAAGAGAGGGGGAGAACUUUGUAUUGAGAUCCAAAAAGAGAGAAGAAGCCAUCUAGCUAAUAACUAUGGACCCGUAGGUCUGAGGUAAACUACUCACACUUCAUCGGAAGGGCUAUGGGGUUGAUGUAGAAGCCCUCCGUGAUCGAUGCCCCCUCCGGCGGAGCUCCAGAACAGACCCCAAGGUGGGAUCUCAUGGAUACAGAAAGUUACGGCGGUGGAAUUAGGGUUUUGGCUCUGUAACUGGUAGUUUGGGGUAUGUAGGUAUAUAUAGGAGGAAGGAGUACGUCGAUGGAGCAAUAGGGGGCCCACGAGGGUGGAGGGCGCGCCCAGGGGGUAGGCGCGCCCCCUACCUCGUGUCCUCCUGGUUGAUGUCUUGACGUAGGGUCCAAGUCCUCUGGAUCAUGUUCGUUCCAAAAAUCACGUUCCCGAAGGUUUCAUUUCGUUUGGACUCCAUUUGAUAUUCUUUUUCUGCGAAACCUUAAAAUAGGCAAAAAAACAACAAUUCUGGGCUGGGCCUUCAGUUAAUAGGUUAGUCCCAAAAAUAAUAUAGAAGUGUAUAAUAAAGCCCAAUAAUGUCCAAAACAUAAUAUAAUAUAGCAUGGAACAAUAAAAAAUUAUAGAUACAUUGGAGACAUAUCAAGGUGGAGGAGGAGCUGAAGGAGGAGGAGGAGCUGGAGCCUGAUACGUCUCCAACGUAUCUAUAAUUUUUGUUUGUUCCAUGCUGUUAUAUUAUCAAUCUUGGAUGUUUUAUAAUCAUUUUAUAUCAUUUUUUGGUACUAACCUAUUGAUAUAGUGCCAAGUGCCCGUUGCCGUUUUUUACAUCGCAGAAAAUCAAUACCAAACGGAGUCCAAAUGCCACGAAACUUUAUGGAGUUUUUCAAUGGACCAGAAGACACCUAAUGGGCCCUCGCUGCGCCUGGGGGUGCUCUGAGGAGAGCACAACCCACCAGGACAUGCCAGGAGGCCCAGGCGCGCCCUGGUGGGUUGUGCCCACCUCGGGUGCCCCCCCGGACCGCCUCUUUACUCUAUAAAUACCCCAAUAUUCCCCAAACCCUAGGGGAGUAGACGAAAUAUUGAUCCAGCUGCCGCAGAGUCCAGAACCACCAGAUCCAAUCCAGACACCAUCUGCGAUGGGGUUCAUGAUACGUCUCCAAUGUAUCUAUAAUUUUUUAUUGUUCCAUGCUAUUAUAUUAUCUGUUUUUGAUGUUUAAUGGGCUUUAAUAUGCACUUCUAUAUUAUUUUUGGGACUAACCUAUUAAUCAAAGGCCCAAUGCAAAUUGCUCUUUUUUGCCUAUUUCAGUGUUUCGCAGAAAAGGAAUAUCAAAUGGAAUCCAAACGGAACGAAACCUUCGCGAGGAUCUUUCUUGGAACAACCGUCACCCAGGAGACUUGGAGUACAAGUCUGGAAGUCUGCGAAGCUUCCACGAGGCAGGGGGUGCGCCCAAGGGGGAUAGGCGCCCCCACCCUCAUGGACCCCACGGAGCUCCACCGACCUACUUCUUUCGCCUAUAUAUACUCUUAUACCCUGAAAACAUCCAGGGGAGCCACGAAACCACUUUUCCACCGCUGCAACCUUCUGUACCCAUGAGAUUCCAUCUUGGGGCCUUCUCCGACGAUCUACCGGAGGGGGAUUCGAUCACGGAGGGCUUCUACAUCAACACCAUAGCCUCUCCGAUGAUGUGUGAGUAGUUUACCAUAGACCUUUGGGUCCAUAGUUAUUAGCUAGAUGGCCUUUUCCCUCUCUUUGGUUCUCAAUACAAAGUUCUCCUCGAUGUUCUUGGAGAUUUAUUCGAUGUAAUACUUUUUGCGAUGUGUUUGCCGAGAUCCGAUGAAUUGUGGGUUUAUGAUCAAGAUUAUCUAUGAACAAUAUUUGAUCCUUCUAUGAAUUCUUAUAUGCAUGAUUUGAUAUCUUUGCAAGUCUCCUCGAAUUAUUGGUUUAGUUUGGCCUACUAGAUUGAUCCUUCUUGCAAUGGAGAAGUGCUUAGCUUUGGGUAGGGGUGGAAAGUGGUAGCGGAUAAUCCGAAAUAUCCGAUAUUCGUAUUCGAGAAAAUGCCUAUUCGUAUCCGAAACAUCCGCAUCCAAACCAAAAUGGAAAUGGAAAUUGUCCGUAUCCGAAUUUAUUAAACAAAUACAAAAUAAAAUAUGGUAGGAGAUUUUGACACAAAUAUGGAUAUGGAAGUGGAUAUAUCCAUAUCCGAAUAAGAUUAUGGGAGGUAUUUUUUAAAAUUCUAGGCCCAAUAUUCCAAUUAUCCAAAAUAAAAGCCAAAUAAGUGGUCAAAUUUUACUCUUUAUAUGAUUAAACUUAUAAAUUAUUAUGCAUUACAAUAGUAUUUAUUCAUAAACCUAUUUAUCCUUGACUUAUUGUAUGUCACAAGUUGAUUAUUUUAGGUUACAUAGCUAUCGACUAAUUUACUUAAGCAACAUGUUGAUAUAAUUCGUAUCCGUUCCGAAUCAAGAAAAUAUCCGAUACGUAUUCGUAUUCGAAUAAUAUCCUAGCCGCAUCCGUAUUCGAGAACAUCCGUAUUCGGAUUCGUAUUCAUUUUGAAAAUAUGAAAAUGGAAGUGGUAAGAGCACUAUCCGAUCCGCAUCUGAUCCGUUUCCACCCCUAGCUUUGGGUGCAAUCUUGCGUUGCUCGAUCCCAGUGACAGAUAGGGAACCGACACAUAUUGUAUUGUUGCCAUAGAGGAUAAAAAGAUGGGGUUUAUAUCAUAUUGCUUGAGUUUAUCCCUCUACAUAAUGUCAUCUUGCCUAAUGCGUUACUCUGUUCUUAUGAACUUAAUACUCUAGAUGCAUGCUGGAUAGCGGUCGAUGUGUAGAGUAAUAGUAGUAGAUGCAGAAUCGUUUCGGUCUACUUGACAUGGACGUGAUGCCUAUGUUCAUGAUCAUGCCUAGAUAUUCUGAUAACUAUGCGCUUUUCUAUCAAUUGCACGGCAGUAAUUUGUUUACCCACCGUAAUAUAUGCUAUCUUGAGAGAAGUCACUAGUGAAACCUAUGGCCCCCGGGUCUACUUUACAUUAUAUAAGUUUUCGAUCUAUAAUUCUAGUUUACUAUUUAUUUUGCAAUCUUUACUUUACAAUCUAUACAACAAAAAUACCAAAAAUAUUUAUCUUAUUAUCUUUAUCAGAUCUCACUUUUGCAAGUGGCCGUGAAGGGAUUGACAACCCCUUUAUCGCGUUGGUUGCAAGGUUCUUGAUUGUUUGUGCAGGUACUAGGUGACUUGCGUGUAGUCUCCUACUGGAUUGAUACCUUGGUUCUCAAAAACCGAGGGAUAUAAUUAUGCUACUUUGCUGCAUCACCCUUUCCUCUUCAAGGGAAAACCAAUGCAUGCUCAAGUGAGGAUAAUACUUAUGCUACUUUGCUGCAUCACCCUUUCCUCUUCAACGUAGCAACGGUGCAUACUCAGGGAGAAUACUUGUACCUUGAAAUUUAGUGAGGGAUCAUCUUAUAAUGCUACCGCCGUACUAAGCAAAAUAAGAUGCAUAAAGGAUAAACAUCACAUGCAAUCAAAAUAUGUGACAUGAUAUGGCCAUCAUCAUCUUGUGCUUUUGAUCUCCAUCUCCAAAGCACCGUCAUGAUCUUCAUCGUCACCGGCUUGACACCUUGAUCUCCAUCGUAGCAUCGUUGUCGUCUCACCAACUAUUGCUUCUACGACUAUCGCUACCGCUUAGUGAUAAAGUAAAGAAAUUACAUGGCAAUUGCAUUUCAUACAAUAAAGCGACAACCAUAAGGCUCUUGCCAGUUGCCGAUAACUUUUACAAAACAUGAUCAUCUCAUACAACAAUUUAUAUCUCAUCACGUCUUGACCAUAUCACAUCACAACAUGGCCUGAAAAAACAAGUUAGACGUCCUCUAUAUUGUUGUUACAAGUUUUACGUGGCUUCUAGGGGCUUCUAGCAAGAACCAUUCUUACCUACGCAUCAAAAACCACAAUCAUUUUUUGUCAAGUGUGCUAUUUUAACCUUCAACAAGGACCGGCCGUAGUCAAACUCAAUUCAAUUAAAGUUGGAGAAACAGACACCCGCUAGCCACCUGUGUGCGAAGCACGUCGGUAGAACCAGUCUCAUGAACGCGGUCAUGUAAUGUCGGUCUGGGCCGCUUCAUCCAACAAUAUCGCCGAAUCAAAGUAAGACGUUGGUGGUAAGCAGUAUGGCCAUUAUUGCCCACAACUCUUUGUGUUCUACUCGUGCAUAUAACAUCUACGCAUAGACCUGGCUCGGAUGCCACUGUCAGAGAACAUAGUAAUUCAAAAAAUUUCCUAUGAUCAUGCAAGAUCUAACACUACAGGAAUUAGGCACUUUGCCGUCUUCCAUGGCGGACGGCAAAGGCAUGCCUGGUGGACGGCAAGGGCCUUUGCCGUCCGUCAGCAGAUGGCAACAUGUCCGGCUGAAUAGGCUACGGCGAAGGGAUCUUCGCCGUCUGCUGGCCGACGACAAAGAUGAAAUGGUCUUUGCCGUCCGCCGGCGGAUGGCAAAGGUCCUGGACGACACACAUGGCAGCUUAUAGCCAUUAUGGGGUUAACGGUGCGCUUUGUCAUCCGCUGGCCGAUGGCAAAGACCAUUGCAACUUUGCCGUCUGCCAGCAGACGGCAAAGUAACCAAAUAGGCCACCCCCCAGGUUGCACAAGUAGCUGCCACGUGGCAGCUUUGCCGUCUGCUGGCCGACGGCAAAGCUCUUUGCCGUCUGCCAGCGGACGACAAAGAGCCUAUAUAGCCCAUGUUUUUCUUAAAUUCAUUCAAUUUCAACACACAAGUUUGAACACACAAAUUUCACAGCAGACAUAUCCAACACAGAAGUUUCAUCAUAUAUACAUACAUAACCAACACAUAGUUCCAUCCAUACAUAUUACAAUAAUAGUUUCACAUUGUUCAUCCAACACCUAUCCAUCCAUUCAUAUAACAAGUUCCACAUUGUUCAUCGAUACAAAAUAAAAGCAGAAAGGGAAAAGAAGCGCUCCAUCCAUGCAAGCUUCCGUGAAGUAAAUGAAAUCUGCAAAAUGGGAAACAAUAAAUUUAGAAGAAGAAGACUAGAAGAAGAAGAAGAAGAAGAAGAAGAAAAUGAAGAAGAAGAAGACUAGAAGAAGAAGUAAGCAUACUUAGGUAAAAUGGAGCUAACCUAGCUAAUUAUGCCAUUUUUGAGUGAACUAAGCAUAUUAUGCCAUUUUUUCUAUAAAUCAGCUAAGUAUAGGUAUUUAUUGAGCUAACCUAGGUAACUAAGCACAUUAGAGCUAACUUAGGUCAUUUUGGAGAAGAAGAAGAAGAAGAAGAAGAAGGUUUUUACCCUUUUCCUUCUCAUUCUUCUUCUUUUAUUCUUUCUUUUUCUUCUCUUUCUUCUUCUAUUCUUUCUUUUUCUCCACUUCCUUGUUUUUCUUCUUCUUAUUCCUUAUUAGUGUCAUUUUAGAGCUUACAUAGGCAAUUAUGCCAUUUUUAGCUAACUAAGCUUAUUAUGUCAAUUUGGAGGAAAAUAAGGUAAGUAUAGGUCAUUUUUGUGCUAACAUAAGUAAUUAUGCCAUUUUUGAGCUAACAUAGGUAAAAUGGAUCAUUUUGGAGCUAACCUAGCUAAAAGGGAUCAUAUUGGAGCUAACCUAGGUAAACUUGGUCAUUUUGGAGCUAACCUAGGUAAAAUGGAUCAUAUUGGAGCUAACCUAGGUUAAAUGUGUCAUUUUGGAGCUAACUUAACUAAUACUGCCAUUUUUGAGUUAACUAAGCAUAAAUAUGCCAUUUCUUUACAAAAGUAAGCCAAGUGUAUGUCAUUAUUGAGCAAACCUAAGUAACUAAGCAUAUUAGAGAUAACUUAGCAUAUUAGAGCUAACUUAGGUCAUUUCGGAGGAAACAAAGCUAAGUAUAGAUCAUUUUGGAGAUCUGACAUACCUGACAUAGUUCACUCCUCCUUCUUCUCCUUGUCCUUCAUCAUCCUGAUGCGCCUAGAGCGGCGAGGCAGUGGAGGCAGUGGGAUGCAGUCUUCUACCACAAUUGGCAUGGUCAUGUCGCCCGGCUGUGGGAUCGCCCGCGCCACCACUAUCGCAAGGUCAUUGUUAGGCACCACCACCAUCGCGAGGCCAUCUUCAGGCAGCACCAUCGCUAGGUCAUCCUCAGCCACCAUCAUCUAUUGCCCAUCGUCAGCCACCACCAUCGCUAGGUCAUCCUCAGCAACCACCAUAUCUUGCCCAUCGUCAGCCAACACCUCCUCAUCCCCACUUUUCCCCUCUUCUUCCCCACUCCAUUCUGGAUCAUCCUCGCUGCUGCUUUUGCUGCAGCCAGAGUCGCUGCUGCUUUGGCUGUAGCCAGAGUCACUGCUGCUGCUCCCAUUGCCUGACCAAAUGCAACAAUGACUGUUAACAAUCGAUGUGAGACAAAGCUAAAUGUAGAGGAAGAAGAGGCAGAACGUACUGGUAUCAUCGUCGUCCUGGUAGCGCAUGCGACACAUAGUCGUGUUGAACACCUUCACGGUGAGCAUGGCAUCGCCAUCGUACCUAAAGAGAAGGAAGUACCCGUGCCGCAGGUCGUAGGCACGAUAGAACUGCUCCCAGCCACGACACAUGUACAUGUGGCCGUACCUAAUCACCACAUCCACGUCCCAAUGCCUGCGAAGCCCACUGCCAGCCUGUCGCGGCUUCACAUUGUUUGGCUGAUGGUCGUCCAGCAUCUUCAUAAAAGUGUCAGGCAGCCUCUACAGUUUGGAACAAGGAGUAAUGUAGCAAACAACAGAGUUAUCAUAAUGAGAUGGGUGAAUGGUAGAUCUCUCCCUUUAUAUACCUGCCUCCUGGAGGAAUUCCCAAGUAUGAUACUGAAGAACUCGAAAGCAUCCAACUCGUACUCCGGUGUGGCAGAGCGGAGCAUGCGGUGGUGGCCUCCCCCCAUCUUUGAUAAGCAACAAAAGAGACCAAUUACUUUAGACAUGAAAGAAAACUGAAAAUGUUGAAAAAAGAGCAUAGUAACUAAGCAGUUCCUUGUGGUGUGCUAGUGAGAAAGCGUCCUCUUGUUUAGAUUAAGAUUAUGCUUUCAUGCCUAUGCUAGUGAGAAAGACACGCUAGAUUAUGCUCUCAACAGGUUCAUGCUUAAUUAUUUCAAUAUUUUAAAAAAUGCUUUAUUAUGUGUUGUUUAUGUAGGGUGCAGAAUUAUCGUAAUCAAAUGCAAAGCUAAGUGAGAACAAAAUUUGUAUAUAUAAAUGUGGUGACACAAAGGAAAUUAUCACGAAGUUGUACCACACUACAUAAUAAUUGAGAUAAAGCAGCAAGGAAUGACCCGUGGGGGGAAAGAAUAGUAGUACUCGAAAAAACUGCUAAUAUUGUUAGAAUUCGAUUUAGCUCCCUCUAAAGACAAAGAAAAACAAGUUUGCAUAUUUUCCAAGUCUGUUUUGUAAAAAACAGGGAAAACAUCAAAGCAAAUGAUGACAACAACCAUUCCUUGGACACUGGAAACACCAGAAUUACACUUAUUCACUAUGCAUAAUAUUGCAGUAGAGUAGCAGAAGAACCCUGACAAAAAAUUGCAGAACAAGUACAACACCACUAUAAGUAGCAAAUCAUGCACCAUGAUUGACUGAACAUUCAGUACAAACCUAAACUAAAUUUUGGAUGAGCUAUGAUAAUCAAUUCUUGCAGUGCAAUAUAAGGCUAUAUGCUCUAAACCUAAACUAAAGUUAACCUAACCUAAACCAAACCUAAAGUAAACCUAAACUAAACUUAAAAUACAGAAACAAAAACAAAAAAAUACAAGAGGUCUCACCGGAGGGGCGGGGCGGCCACGGUGGUGGAGGAGAGGGGCGCCGGGGCGGCCGGGUGGAGGAGAGGGCGCCAGAGCGGUGGGGCGGCUGCGGUGGUGCAGAAGAGGGGCACCGAGGCGGCCGGGUGGAGGAGGGGGUGCCGGAGCAGCGGGGCGGCCGUGGUGGUGGAGGAGAGGGGUGCCAGGGCCGCNNNNNNNNNNNNNNNNNNNNNNNNNNNNNNNNNNNNNNNNNNNNNNNNNNNNNNNNNNNNNNNNNNNNNNNNNNNNNNNNNNNNNNNNNNNNNNNNNNNNNNNNNNNNNNNNNNNNNNNNNNNNNNNNNNNNNNNNNNNNNNNNNNNNNNNNNNNNNNNNNNNNNNNNNNNNNNNNNNNNNNNNNNNNNNNNNNNNNNNNNNNNNNNNNNNNNNNNNNNNNNNNNNNNNNNNNNNNNNNNNNNNNNNNNNNNNNNNNNNNNNNNNNNNNNNNNNNNNNNNNNNNNNNNNNNNNNNNNNNNNNNNNNNNNNNNNNNNNNNNNNNNNNNNNNNNNNNNNNNNNNNNNNNNNNNNNNNNNNNNNNNNNNNNNNNNNNNNNNNNNNNNNNNNNNNNNNNNNNNNNNNNNNNNNNNNNNNNNNNNNNNNNNNNNNNNNNNNNNNNNNNNNNNNNNNNNNNNNNNNNNNNNNNNNNNNNNNNNNNNNNNNNNNNNNNNNNNNNNNNNNNNNNNNNNNNNNNNNNNNNNNNNNNNNNNNNNNNNNNNNNNNNNNNNNNNNNNNNNNNNNNNNNNNNNNNNNNNNNNNNNNNNNNNNNNNNNNNNNNNNNNNNNNNNNNNNNNNNNGAGAGAGAGAGAGAGAGAGAGAGAGAGAGGACAAAGAGAUGGGAUGCGGGCAGGCAUCGUUGGAUUUUAGUUAGGGCACGGUUCUUUGCCGUCUGCUAGCGGGCGGCAAAGAGCCUAGCUAACAGGCGUUAGUUUGGUCACUUUCUUUGCCGUCUGCUAGCGGACGACAAAGAAAGUGUCCGUUAGGUCGUUGGAUUUUAGUUAGGGCAUGGUUCUUUGCCAUCCGCUAGCCGACGUCAAAGAUGCUAUGCCGUCAGCUAGCAGACGGCAAAAAGUGGGAUGACAGUAAACAUGUCUUUGUCGUCAGCUUCUUUCAAGCUGAGGGCAAAGACCUUCUUUGCCGCCAGUUAGCGGACGGAAAAGAUCUGGCUGAAGGUAAAGAUCCUGAUUCCAGUAGUGUAACUAGGAGAUUGAUACAUCCCCAACGUAUCUAUAAUUUAUAAAGUAUUCAUGUUGUUAUUUUAUCAUUCUUGGAUGUUUAACAAUCAUUUUAUAGCAACUUUAUAUCAUUUUUGGGACUAACCUAUUGACCCAGUGCCCAGUGCCAGUUGCUGUUUUUGCUUGUUUUUUACAUCGCAAAAAAUCAAUAUCAAACAAAGUCCAAACACCACGAAACUUUUUGGAGAAUUUUUAUGGACCAGAACACUCAGAAUGGGCCAGAGCAGCACCUGGGGGGGUGCCCCGAGGGGGGCAAAACCCACCAGGGCGCGCCUGGGGGCCCAGGCGCGGCUAGGUGGGUUGUGCCCACCUCGAUGGCCUCCCGCACCCCCUCUUUACCCUAUAAAUUUCCCAAAAUUCGGAAAACCCUCGAGGUUAACCUAGAUCAGAAGUUCCGCCGCCGCAAGGCUUCGUAGCCACCGAAAACCAAUCUAGACCCGUUCCGGCACCCUGCUGGAGGGGGGAAUCAUCUCCGGUGGCCAUCUUCAUCAUCCCGGCGGCCACCACGAUGAGGAGGGAGUAGUCCACCCUCGGGGCUGAGGGUUUGUACCAGUAGCUAUAUGUUUAAUAUCUCUCUCUCUCUCUCACUCUCAUGAUCUAUAUCAUGGGCUUUGUUAAUAUAGUCGGAUCAUAUGAUGUUUCUCCCCUCUAUACCCUUGUUAUGAUGAAUUGAAUCUUUACCCUUUGAAGUUUUGUCUUGUCGGAUUGAAUGUUUAGAUAUGAGAACACAUGAUGUAUGUCUUGCGGUAUGAAUACUUGAGGUGACACUGGGGUAUCAUAUUGAUUCACUUGAUGUAUGUUAUGGCACUCAACUUGCGGAUUCCCGAGGUGACAUUGGGGUAAUUUAUGCAUAGGGGUUGAUGCACAUUUUUAUUAUCUUUUCUCCGAUAGAAACUUUGGGGUCUCCUUGUAGUUCUUUGUGUUGGAUUGAGUAUUAUGAAUAUGAAUUUGCUUUGGUGUUAUUUUAGUACGAACUGUAGGAUAGAUCGAACGAAAAGAAUAGCUUUGUGUUAUUUUAGUACAAACUCUUGAAUAGAUCGAACGGAAAGAAUAGCUUUGAGGUGGUUUUGUACCCUACAAACAAUUUCUAUCUUUUGUUCUCCGCUAAUAGGAACUCGGGAGUGAUUCUUUAUUGCACUUUGAGGGAUAAUCAUAUGAUCCAACUAUGUUAGCACUGUUGAGAGAUUGCACUAGUGAAAGUACGGACCCUAGGCCUUGUUUUCAAGCAUUGCAAAAUACCAUUUUUGUGCCCGUUUACUAUUUGCUACCUUGCUGUUUUUAUUUAUUCAGAUUAUAAAAAAUAUAUUUCUACCAUCCGUAUUACACUUUUAUCACCAUCUCUUCACCGAACUAGUGCACCUAUACAAUUUGCCAUUGUAUUAGGUAUGUUGGGGACACAAGAGAUUUCUUGUAUUUGGUUGCAGGGUUGUUUGAGAGAGACCAUCUUCAUCCUACGCGUCCCACAAAUUGAUAAACCUUAGGUCAUCCACUUGAGGGAAAAUUGCUGCUGUCUUACGAAACUCUGUGCUUGGAGGCCCAACACGAGUCUACAAGAAUAAAGUUGCGUAGUAGACAUAAGAGAUGCAUAGCAUCGAGAGGGGAGAGUGUGUCCAUGUACCCUCGUAGACCGAAAGCGGAAGUGUUUAGUAACACGGUUGAUGUAGUUGAACGUCUUCACGAUCAAACCGAUCCAAGUACCGAACGUACGACACCUCCGUGUUUAGCACACAUUUAGCACGAUGACGUCCCUCAAGCUCUUGAUACAGUAGAGGGUCGAGGGAGAGUUCCGUCAGCACGACGGCGUGGCCAUGAUGAUGAUGAAGUUACCGGCGUAGGGCUCCGCCUAAGCACUAUGACCAUAUGACCGAGGUGUUAAACUGUGGAGGGGGCACCGCACACGGCUAAGAGAUUGCCCGUUGUGCUUUGGGGUGCCCCCUGCCCACGUAUAUAAAGGAGGGGGGAGGAGGAGGCCGGCCAAGGGGGAAGCGCGCCAAGGGGGGGGAGUCCUACUAGGACUCCAAACCUAGUAGGAUUCGGCCCCCUUUCCUUCCAACGGAGAGGGGAAAGGGGAAAGGAGGGAGAGGGAGAAGGAAAGAGGGGGCCGCGUCCCCUCCCCUUGUCCAAUUUGGAUUGGGGCAAGGGGGGCACGCCCCACCUCCCGUGGCAUGCCUCCUCUCUUCCACUAUGGCCCAUUUGGCCCAAUAACUUUCUCGGGGGGUUCCGGUAACCUCCUGGUAAUCCGAAAAAAAUCCCCGAACCUUAUCGGAACCAUUCCGGUGUCCGUAUAUAACCUUCCAAUAUAUCAAUCUUUACCUCUCGACCAUUUUGAGACUCCUCGUCAUGUCCGUGAUCUCAUCCGGGACUCCGAACAAACUUCGGUCAUCAAAUCACAUAACUCAUAAUACAGAUCGUCAUCGAACGUUAAGCAUGUGGACCCUACGGGUUCGAGAACUAUGUAGACAUGACCGAGACACAUCUCCGGUCAAUAACCAAUAGCGGAACCUGGAUGCUCAUAUUGGCUCCUACAUAUUCUACGAAGAUCUUUAUUGGUCAAACCGCAUAACAACAUACGUCAUUCCCUUUGUCAUCGGUAUGUUACUUGCCCGAGAUUCGAUCAUCGAUAUCAUCAUACCUAGUUCAAUCUCGUUACCGGCAAGUCUCUUUACUCGUUUCGUAAUGCAUCAUCCCAUAACUAACUCAUUAGUCACAUUGCUUGUAAGGCUUAUAGUGAUGUGCAUUACCGAGAGGGCCCAGAGAUACCUCUCCGAUACUCGGAGUGACAAAUCCUAAUCUCGAUUCUGUGCCAACUCAACAAACACCAUCGGAGACACCUGUAGAGCAUCUUUAUAAUCACCCAGUUACGUUGUGAUGUUUGAUAGCACACAAAGUGUUCCUCCGGUAUUCGGGAGUUGCAUAAUCUCAUAGUCAGAGGAAUAUGUAUAAGUCAUGAAGAAAGCAAUAGCAAUAAAACUAAACGAUCAUAAUGCUAAGCUAGUGGAUGGGUCUUGUCCAUCACAUCAUUCUCUAAUGAUGUGAUCCCGUUCAUCAAAUGACAACACAUGUCCAUGGUUAGGAAACUUAACCAUCUUUGAUUAACGAGCUAGUCAAGUAGAGGUAUACUAGGGACACUCUGCCUGUCUAUGUAUUCACACAUGUACUAAGUUUCCGGUUAAUACAAUUCUAGCAUGAAUAAUAAACAUUUAUCAUGAUAUAAGGAAAUAUAAAUAACAACUUUAUUAUUGCCUCUAGGGCAUAUUUCCUUCAAUUGGGCCCAUUUAUAGGGCAACCCAAUAGGCAAUUUUCGAAAUCUCAAAGGCCCAUGUGUGUGAGCAAGUGGUGGGAAUGGGAAGUUUAGUCCCACCCCGGAAGUUGAAGGAGUUGCACACCACAUUAUAAGGUGGAGUGUUGUAGCACUUGUAAGUGAGUGAGAAUAAGAGGGCCUCUCACGCACUCCUGCUCCUCCACCACCAAUCGCUCGUCUCAUCUCGACUCGACUCGACACGUCGCGAUCGCAUUUCGUGAAUUCCAGCCUCGAGCCCAGACAAAUUAUGUAUUUAUUUUUGCUGCUUAGGAAAACUAAAUCUGGAGUCGUGACGGACGCGUCACAGCAUAGUCGGUUCGGGUCGCUCCCGCAAUCGACUCGGACGUGCGAUGUGGGCCUCCCACAUUGCACCUAUUAGGGUUUUCCAAACCGCUAUAUAAGAACACGUUGUGGGCGCCGCAACACACAGGAAACCAAUCUAGGGUUUGCCACACCUCGUUCCUUGUGCCGCCGCCGUAGUCCACCCCAUCCCGAGCGCCGGCGUGAACCGGCGAACGGGAGAGUAGGUCUCCGGAAUGACUCGCCUUUGUGAUCUUGUACAGGAGAGGGCGAAUAAGGUUUUUGGGAAGCGCCACAGGCGCUACUGCUCACUGUCUCUAUCACGGCUCGCCUACCGUCCAGGUCGUGCGAUCUUGCUCGUCGUCGUAUACAAUGUCGUCUUCUGCGACCGGUCUUCACCAAUGUCGUCAUCAACAACAUCGCUGCACCAACGGCUACCUCAUCUACAAAUGAUCGGUAUAACUACAGUGUCCCAUCUUGUUGGUUAAACAUGUUUGCCAGUAUCAUGUUUUGCGAUGUUGUGCUACUACUGUUCAUGUUGUUUAGUGCUUCUAGUAUGCUUGAGAUUCACAUGUUAGUAGCGGUUUUCAUCAUGUUUAAUAUUCUGGAAUUAAUCAUGGAAAUUAUGCCUAAUUACUUAACAUAGUCUAGGAAGGAGCACGUGAAAAGGAGAAGGCCUUGCCUUCGUCACGAUGAGCGGCAGCGCCCACCAUGACUGUUCGGAUCGCUAGAUGGCGGCUGAGCCAGUUGAGUAGGCGUCACCAGGCGCACUGUCGUCAAAGAUGGUCACUGCGCUUCUGUCCUACAUCUACGCCGCCAUGCCUUUCCCUGCACCUGCGAGUAGGAGCCAGCAGGAUGACAAGAAGGAUCUAGUUUGUGGACUCCCGGUGCCUUCGGUUUGACAAGGAGGAUCUAGGUUCUGAUACGUUUAUUUGUUGCAAACUAAAGAUGAAGCUUUAGACUACGUCAAAAUCUAUAAGGCUGAAGUUGAAAAUCAAUUAGAGAGAAAGAUCAAAUGUCUUAGGUCGGAUCGUGGUGGGGAGUAUUUUCCCAAAAUAUUUGAUGAAUUCUGUGAGGAACAUGGUAUUAUUCACGAGAGGACGCCUCCUUAAUCGGCCCAAUCAAAUGGGGUCGCUAAGAGGAAAAACCGCACGCUGUCCGAUUUGGUGAAUGCCAUGUUGAACACUGUUGGUUUAUCUAAGACAUGGUAGGGGGAGGCUUUGUUGACUUCGUGUCAUGUCCUGAAUAGAAUUCCAAACAAGAAUAAAGAAAAAACCCGUUAUGAGGAGUGGGUUGGGAGAAAACCAUCAUUUUCGUAUUUGCGCACUUGGGGAUGUUUGGCUAAGGUCAAUGUUCCAAUUCCGAAGAAACGCAAACUGGGACCAAAGACAGUAGAUUGUAUCUUUCUAGGCUAUGCUCAGUGCAGCGUUGGUUAUAGAUUUUUAGUGGUUAAAUCCGAGGUACCCGAUAUGCAUCUUGAUAGUAUUAUGGAGUCUCGUGACGCAAUAUUUUUUGAGAAUAUGUUUCCUAUGAAAGAUAUGCAUAGCACUGCUAGAAUAUCUUCUGAGAUAAUUCCUAAACCUAGUACAUCAAGUGAUUAUUCUGAAGAACCACAUGAACAACCACAUGACAUAGUCCUUGAGAAGGAUGAAAAUGAAGCUCCUAAACGGAGUAAGAGAUGGAGGAUUGAAAAAUCCUUUGGUAAUGAUUUCAUUGUGUACCUUGUGGACAAUACUCCUACGACCAUUGUAGAGGCAUUUGCAUCUCCUGAUGCGGAUGAUUGGAAAGAAUCUGUAAAAAAUGAGAUGGAAUCGAUUCUUUCAAAUGGAACGUGGGAAUUAUCUGAGAGACCAUAUGGUUGUAAGCCAGUUGGCUGUAAGUGGGUGUUUAAGAAGAAACUAAGGCCCGAUGGUACUAUUGAGAAGUACAAGGCACGACUUGCAGCCAAAGGCUACACCCAACGAGAAGGCAAGAUUAUUUUGACACCUGCACCUGUUGCUAGAAUGACCACCACUCGUGUACUACUUUCCCUGGCUGCCUCCUAUUGUCUUAUCAUUCAUCAAAUGGACGUGAAGACAAAUUUCCUUAGUGGAGAGUUGGAAGAGGAAAUCUAUAUGGAUCAACCUGAUGGUUUCGUGGUAAAAGGUGAAGAGACAAAGGUGUGCAAAUUGUCAAAAUCUUUGUAUGGGCUGAAACAGGCACCUAAGCAAUGGCAUGGGAAGUUUGACAGAACUCUGACUUCUGCAGGCUUUGUCAUAAAUGAGGCUGAUAGGUGAGUGUACUAUUGCCAUGGUGGGGGCAAUAGUGUUAUUUUGUUCUUGCAUGUUGACGACAUACUGAUUUUUCGGUACAAGCAUGAUUGUGAAAAAUGAGGUCAAGUCUUUUCUAUCAAAAUGUUUUGAUACGAAAGAUCUGGGAGAAGCUGAUGUGAUUCUGAACAUUAAGCUUAUUAAGGAUGAGAGUGGGAUUACUGUUGGGGAACGUUGUAGAAAACAAAAAUUUCCUACGGUUUCACCAAGAUCCAUCUAGGAGUUCAUCUAGCAAUGAGUGAUUGGAUUGCAUCUACAUACCUUUGUAGAUCACGCGCGGAAGCGUUCAAAGAACGGGGAUGAGGAAGGCGUACUCGACGUGAUCCAAAUCACCGGAGAUCCUAGCGCCGAACGGACGGCACCUCCGCGUUCAACACACGUACGGUCAGCGUGACAUCUCCUUCUUCUUGAUCCAGCAAGGGGGAAGGAGAGGUUGAGGAAGAUUGCUCCAGCAGUAGCACGACGGCGUGGUGGUGAUGGAGCUGCAAUACUCUGGCAGGGCUUCGCCAAGCACUAUGGAGGAGGAGGAGGUGUUGGAGAGGGAGAGGGAGGCACCAAAGGCAAGGGGGUGAGAGGUCCUCCCUUCCCCGCACUAUAUAUAGGGGGCCUAGGGGGGGGGGGCGCCGGCCCUAGGAGAUGCAAUCUCCUAGGGGGCGGCGGCCAAGGGAGGAAUCCCUCCUCCCCAAGGCACCUAGGAGGUGCCUUCCCCUCCUAGGACUCUUCCUUUAGGGUUUCCCCCACCCUAGGCGCAUGGGCCCUAGGGGGAAGUGGCGCCCCAGCCCACUUUGGGCUGGAUCCCUUCCCACUUCAGCCCAUGGGGCCCUCCGGGAUAGGUGGCCCCACCCGGUGGACCCCCGGGACCCUUCCGGUGGUCCCGGUACAAUACCGGUGACCCCGAAACUUGUCCCGAUGGCCGAAAUAGCACUUCCUAUAUAUAAUUCUUUACCUCCAGACCAUUCCGGAACUCCUCGUGACGUCUGGGAUCUCAUCCGGGACUCCGAACAACAUUCGGGUUACUGCAUAUACAUAUCCCUACAACCCUAGCGUCACCGAACCUUAAGUGUGUAGACCCUACCGGUUCGGGAGACAUGUAGACAUGACCGAGAUCGCUCUCCGGUCAAUAACCAACAGCGGGAUCUGGAUACCCAUGUUGUCUCCCACAUGCUCCUCGAUGAUCUCAUCGGAUGAACCACGAUGUCGAGGAUUCAAGCAACCCCGUAUACAAUUCCCUUUGUCAAUCCGUAUGUUACUUGCCCGAGAUCUGAUCGCCGGUAUCCCAAUACCUCGUUCAAUCUCAUUACCGGCAAGUCACUUUACUCGUACCGUAAUGCAUGAUCCUGUGACCAGACACUUGGUCACAUUGAGCUCAUAAUGAUGAUGCAUUACCGAGUGGGCCCAGUGAUACCUCUCCGUCAUACGGAGUGACAAAUCCCAGUCUUGAUCCGUGUCAACCCAACAGACACUUUUGGAGAUACCUGUAGUAUACCUUUAUAGUCACCCAGUUACGUUGUGACGUUUGGUAUACCCAAAGCACUCCUACAGUAUCCGGGAGUUACACGAUCUCAUGGUCUAAGGAAAGGAUACUUGACAUUGGAAAACUCUAGCAAAUGAACUAUACGAUCUUGUGCUAUGUUUAGGAUUGGGUCUUGUCCAUCACAUCAUUCUCCUAAUGAUGUGAUCUCGUUAUCAUUGACAUCCAAUGUCCAUAGUCAGGAAACCAUGACUAUCCGUUGAUCAACGAGCUAGUCAACUAGAGGCUUACUAGGGACAUGUUGGUGUCUAUUAUUAACACAUGUAUUACGAUUUCCGGAUAAUACAAUUAUAGCAUGAAUAAAGACAAUUAUCAUGAACAAGGAAAUAUAAUAAUAAUGAUUUUAUUAUUGCCUCUAGGGCAUAUUUCCAACAGUCUCCCACUUGCACUAGAGUCAAUAAUCUAGUUACAUUGUGAUGAAUCGAACACCCAUGGAAUUCUGGUGUUGAUCAUGUUUUGCUCUAGGGAGAGGUUUAGUCAACGGAUCUGCUACAUUCAGGUCCGUAUGUACUUUACAAAUAUCUAUGUCUCCAUCUUGAACAUUUUCACGAAUGGAGUUGAAGCGACGCUUGAUGUGCCUUGUCUUCUUGUGAAACCUGGGCUCCUUGGCAAGUGCAAUAGCUCCAGUGUUGUCACAUAAGAGCUUGAUCGGCCCCGAUGCAUUGGGUAUGACUCCUAGGUCGGUGAUGAACUCCUUCACCCAAAUUGCUUCAUGCGCUGCCUCCGAGGCUGCCAUGUACUCCGCUUCACAUGUAGAUCCCGCCAUGAUGCUUUGCUUGCAACUGCACCAGCUUACUGCCCCACCAUUCAAAAUAUACACGUAUCCGGUUUGUGACUUAGAGUCAUCCAGAUCUGUGUCGAAGCUAGCGUCGACGUAACCCUUUACGACGAGCUCUUCAUCACCUCCAUAAACGAGAAACAUUUCCUUAGUCCUUUUCAGGUACUUCAGGAUAUUCUUGACCGCUGUCCAGUGUUCCUUGCCGGGAUUACUUUGGUACCUUCCUACCAAACUUACGGCAAGGUUUACAUCAGGUCUGGUACACAGCAUGGCAUACAUAAUAGAACCUAUGGCCGAGGCAUAGGGGAUGACACUCAUCUCUUCUAUAUCUUCUGCCGUGGUCGGACAUUGAGCUGAGCUCAAUUUCACACCUUGCAACACAGGCAAGAACCCCUUCUUAGACUGGUCCAUAUUGAACUUCUUCAAUAUCUUAUCAAGGUAUGUGCUUUGUGAAAGACCUAUGAGGCGUCUUGAUCUAUCUCUAUAGAUCUUGAUGCCUAAUAUAUAUGCAGCUUCUCCAAGGUCCUUCAUUGAAAAACUCUUAUUCAAGUAGGCCUUAAUGCUGUCCAAGAGUUCUAUAUCAUUUCCCAUCAAAAGUAUGCCAUCUACAUAUAAUAUGAGAAAUGCUACAGAGCUCCCACUCACUUUCUUGUAAACGCAGGCUUCUCCAUAAGUCUCUGUAAACCCAAACGCUUUGAUCAUCUCAUCAAAGCGAAUGUUCCAACUCUGAGAUGCUUGCACCAGCCCAUAAAUCGAGCGUUGGAGCUUGCACACCUUGUCAGCAUUCUUAGGAUCGACAAAACCUUCCGGCUGCAUCAUAUACAACUCUUCCUUAAGGAAACCAUUAAGGAAUGCCGUUUUGACGUCCAUUUGCCAUAUCUCAUAAUCGUAGAAUGCGGCAAUUGCUAACAUGAUUCGGACGGACUUUAGCUUCGCUACCAGUGAGAAAGUCUCAUCGUAGUCAACCCCUUGAACUUGUCGAUAACCCUUAGCGACAAGCCGAGCUUUAUAGAUGGUCACAUUACCAUCCGCGUCUAUCUUCUUCUUAAAGAUCCAUUUAUUUUCUAUGGCUCACCGCUCAACGGGCAAGUCAGUCAAAGUCCAUACUUCGUUUUCAUACAUGGAUCCUAUCUCGGAUUUCAUGGCUUCUAGCCAUUUGUCGGAAUCCGGGCCCGCCAUCGGUUCUUCAUAGUUUGAAGGUUCACCGUUGUCUAACAACAUGAUUUCCAAGACAGGGUUGCCGUACCACUCUGGUGCGGAACGUGUCCUUCUGGACCUUCGAAUUUCAGUAGGAGCUUGAUCAGAAGUAUCUUGAUCAUCAUCAUUAACUUCCUCUCUAGUCGGUGCAGGCACCCCAGGAACAUUUUCUUGAGUUGCGCCAUUUUUCGGUUCAAGAGGUAAUACUUCAUCAAGUUCUACUUUCCUCCCACUUACUUCUUUCGAGAGAAACUCCUUCUCUAGAAAGGAUCCAUUCUUGGCAACAAAGAUCUUGCCUUCGGAUCUGAGGUAGAAGGUAUACCCAAUAGUUUCUUUAGGGUAUCCUAUGAAGACGCAUUUUUCCGACUUGGGUUCGAGCUUUUCAGGUUGAAGUUUAUUGACAUAAGCAUCGCAUCCCCAAACUUUUAGAAACGACAGCUUAGGUUUCUUCCCAAACCAUAAUUCAUACGGUGUCGUCUCAACGGAUUUCGACGGAGCCCUAUUUAAAGUGAAUGCGGCAGUCUCUAAAGCAUACCCCCAAAAAGAUAGCGGUAAAUCGGCAAGAGACACCAUAGAUCGCACCAUAUCUAAUAGAGUGCGAUUACGACGUUUGGACACACCAUUACGUUGAGGUGUUCCAGGCGGCGUGAGUUGUGAAACUAUUCCACAUUUUCUUAAGUGUGUGUGCCAAACUCGUGACUCAAGUAUUCUCCUCCACGAUCUGAUCGCAGGAACUUGAUUUUCCUGUCACAUUGAUUUUCAACCUCACUCUGAAAUUCCUAGAACUUUUCAAAGGUUUCAGACUUGUGUUUCAUCAAGUAGACAUAUCCAUAUCUACUCAAAUCAUCAGUGAGGGUGAGAACAUAACGAUAGCCACCGCGAGCCUCAACACUCAUUGGACCGCACACAUCAGUAUGUAUGAUUUCCAAUAAGUUGGUUGCUCGCUCCAUUGUUCCUGAGAACGGAGUCUUGGUCAUUUUACCCCCGAGGCAUGGUUCGCACGUGUCAAAUGAUUCGUAAUCAAGAGACUCUAAAAGUCCAUCAGCAUGGAGCUUCUUCAUGCAUUUGACACCUAUGUGACCAAGGCGGAAGUGCCACAAGUAUGUGGGACUAUCAUUAUCAAUCUUACAUCUUUUGGUACUCACACUAUGAACAUGUGUAGCAUUACGCUCGAGAUUCAUUAGAAAUAAACCAUUCACCAUCGGAGCAUGACCAUAAAACAUAUCUCUCAUAUAAAUAGAACAACCAUUAUUCUCGGAUUUAAAUGAGUAGCCAUCUCGAAUUAAACGAGAUCCUGAUACAAUGUUCAUGCUCAAAGCUGGCACUAAAUAACAAUUAUUAAGGUUUAAAACUAAUCCCGAAAGUAAAUGUAGAGGUAGUGUGCCGACGGCGAUCACAUUGACCUUGGAACCAUUCCCGACGCGCAUCGUCACCUCGUCCUUUGCCAGUCUCCGCUUAUUCCGCAGCUCCUGUUUUGAGUUACAAAUGUGAGCAAUUGCACCGGUAUCAAAUACCCAGGAGCUACUACGAGUACUGGUAAGGUACACAUCGAUUACAUGUAUAUCACAUAUACCUUUCAUUUUGCCGGCCUUCUUGUCCGCUAAGUAUUUGGGGCAGUUCCGUUUCCAGUGACCACUUUCCUUGCAAUAAAAGCACUCAGUCUCGGGCUUGGGUCCAUUCUUUGGCUUCUUCCCAGCAGCUUGCUUGCCGGGCACGGCAACUCCCUUGCCGUCCUUCUUGAAAGCUUUCUUAACCUUGCCCUUCUUGAACUUAGUGGUUUUAUUCACCAUCAACACUUGAUGUUCCUUUUUGACUUCUACCUCUGCUGAUUUCAGCAUUGCAAAUACUUCAGGAAUGGUCUUUUCCAUCCCCUGCAUAUUGAAGUUCAUCACAAAGCUCUUGUAGCUUGGUGGAAGCGACUGAAGGAUUCUAUCAAUGACCGCGUCAUCCGGGAGAUUAACUCCCAGCUGAGUCAAGCGGUUAUGCAACCCAGACAUAGUGAGUAUGUGCUCACUGACAGAACUAUUUUCCUCCAUCUUAGAGCUGAAGAACUUGUCGGAGACUUGAUAUCUCUCGACCCGGGCAUGAGCUUGGAAAACCAUUUUCAGCUCCUCGAACAUAUCAUAUGCUCCGUGUCUCUCAAAACGCUUUUGGAGCCCCGACUCUAAGCUGUAAAGCAUGCCGCACUGAACGAGGGAGUAGUCAUCGGUACGUGCCUGCCAAGCAUUCAUAACGUCUUGUUCUGCAGGGAGAAUAGGUGCGUCACCCAGCGGUGCUUGUAGGACAUCAUCUUUCUUGGCAGCUAUGAGGAUGAUCCUCAGGUUCCGGACCCAGUCCGUGUAGUUGCUGCCAUCAUCUUUCAGCUUGGUUUUCUCUAGGAACGCGUUGAAGUUGAGGACUACGUUGGCCAUUUGAUCUACAAGACAUAUUGUAAAAUAUUUAGACUAAGUUCAUGAUAAUUAAGUUCAUCUAAUCAAAUUAUUCAAUGAACUCCCACUUAGAUAGACAUCCCUCCUGCAAUCUAAGUAUAACAUGAUCCGAGUUAACUAGGCCGUGUCCGAUCAUCACGUGAGACGGACUAGUCAACAUCGGUGAACAUCUUCAUGUUGAUCGUAUCUUCUAUACGACUCAUGCUCGACCUUUCGGUCUUAUGUGUUCCGAGGCCAUGUCUGUACAUGCUAGGCUCGUCAAGUCAACCUAAGUGUUUGCAUGUGUAAAUCUGUCUUACACCCAUUGUAUGUGAACGUUAGAAUCUAUCACACCCGAUCAUCACGUGGUGCUUCGAAACAAUGAACUGUCGCAAUGGUGCACAGUUAGGGGGAACACUUUCUUGAAAUUAUUAUGAGGGAUCAUCUUAUUUACUACCGUCAUUCUAAGUAAACAAGAUGCAAAAACAUGAUAAACAUCUCAUGCAAUCAAAUAAUAAUAGCGACAUGAUAUGGCCAAUAUCACAUAGCUCCUUUGAUCUCCAUCUUGGGGCUCCAUGAUCAUCUUGUCACUGUAGGGGAACGUAGCAUAAAUUCAAAAUUUUCCUACGUGUCACCAAGGUCUAUCUAUGGAGUCAUCUAGCAACGAGGGAGGAGUGGAUCUACAUACCCUUGUAGAUCGCGCGCGGAAGCGUUCAAGAGAACGGGGUUGAUGGAGUCGUACUCGUCGUGAUCCAAAUCACCAAUGAUCCUAGCGCCGAACGGACGGCACCUCCGCGUUCAACACACGUACGGAGCAGCGACGUCUCCUCCUUCUUGAUCCAGCAAGGGGGGAGGAGAGGUUGAUGGAGAUCCAACAGCACGACGGCGUGGUGGUGGAAGUAGCGGGAUUCCAACAGGGCUUCGCCAAGCACUGUGGGAGGAGGGAGAUGUGUCAUGGGAGGGAGAGGGAGGCGCCAGGGCUUGGGUAUGGUUGCCCUCCCUUCCCCCCACUAUAUAUAGGGCCAAGGGAGACGGGGGAGGCGCAGCCUUGUCCCUUCCUCCAAGGAAGGGUGCGGCCAGGGAGGAGUCCCUCCUCCCCAAGGCACCUCGGAGGUGCCUUCCCCCUUUAGGACUCUUCCUUUCUCUUGUCCCUUUGGCGCAUGGGCCUCUAGGGGCUGGUGCCCUUGGCCCAUGUAGGCCAAGGCGCACCCCCUACAGCCCAUGUGGCCCCCCGGGGCAGGUGGCCCCACCCGGUGGACCCCCGGGACCCUUCCGGUGGUCCUGGUACAAUACCGGUGACCCCGAAACUUGUCCCGAUGGCCGAAAUAGCACUUCCUAUAUAUAAUUCUUUACCUCCGGACCAUUCCGAAACUCCUCGUGACGUCCGGGAUCUCAUCCAGGACUCCUAACAACUUUCGGGUUACCACAUACUAAUAUCUCUAUAACCCUAGCGUCACCGAACCUUAAGUGUGUAGACCCUACGGGUUCGGGAGACAUGCAGACAUGACCGAGAUGACUCUCUGGUCAAUAACCAACAGCGGGAUCUGGAUACCCAUGUUGGCUCCCACAUGUUCCACGAUGAUCUCAUCGGAUGAACCACGAUGUCAAGGACUUAAUCAAUCCCGUAUACAAUUCCCUUUGUCUAGCAGUACGAUACUUGCCCGAGAUUCGAUCGUCGGUAUCCCGAUACCUUGUUCAAUCUCGUUACCGGCAAGUCUCUUUACUCGUUUCAUAACACAUCAUCCCAUGAUCAACUCCUUGAUCACAUUGUGCACAUUAUGAUGAUGUCCUACCGAGUGGGCCCAGAGAUACCUCUCCGUCACACGGAGUGACAAAUCCCAGUCUUGAUUCGUGCCAACCCAACAGACACUUUCGGAGAUACCUGUAGUGUACCUUUAUAGUCACCCAGUUACGUUGUGACGUUUGGCACACCCAAAGCACUCCUACGGUAUCCGGGAGUUGCACAAUCUCAUGGUCUAAGGAAAUGAUACUUGACAUUAGAAAAGCUUUAGCAUACGAACUACAUGAUCUUGUGCUAGGCUUAGGAUUGGGUCUUGUCCAUCACAUCAUUCUCCUAAUGAUGUGAUCCCGUUAUCAACGACAUCCAAUGUCCAUGGUCAGGAAACCGUAACCAUCUAUUGAUCAACGAGCUAGUCAACUAGAGGCUUACUAGGGACAUGGUGUUGUCUAUGUAUCCACACAUGUAUCUGAGUUUCCUAUCAAUACAGUUCUAGCAUGGAUAAUAAACGAUUAUCAUGAAUAAGGAAAUAUAAUAAUAACCAAUUUAUUAUUGCCUCUAGGGCAUACUUCCAACAGUCUCCCACUUGCACUAGAGUCAAUAAUCCAGUUCACAUCGCUAUGUGACUAACACUCAAGGUCACAUCCCCAUGUGACUAACAACCAAAGAGUUUACUAGAGUCAAUAAUCUAGUUCACAUCGAUAUGUGAUUAACACUCAAGGUCACAUCCCCAUGUGACUAACACCCAAAGAGUUUGCUAGAGUCAAUAAUCUAGUUCACAUUUCCAUGUGAUUAACACUCGAUGAGUUCUGGGUUUGAACAUGUUAUGCUUGUGAGAGAUGUUAUAGUCAACGGGUCUGAAUCUUCCAGAUCCGUAUGUACUUCGCAAAUUUCUAUGUCAUCUUGUAGAUGCAACUACUAUGCUACAUUUGGAGCUAUUCCAAAUAACUGUUCUACUUGGAGCUAUUCUAAAUUGUUGCUCCAUUAUACGUAUCCGGUAUCUCUACUCAGAGCUAUCCGGAUAGGUGUUAAGCUUGCAUCGACGUAACUCUUUACGUCGAACUCUUUUACCACCUCCAUAAUCGAGAAAAUUCCUUAGUCCCCCUAGUUACUAAGGAUAACUUUGACCGCUGUCCUGCGAUCCAUUCUUGGAUCACUCUUGUACCCCUUGACUGACUCAUGGCAAGGCACACUUCAGGUGCGGUACACAGCAUAGCAUGCUGUAGAGAGCCUAUGAUAAAAGCAUAGGGGACGACCUUCGUCCUUCCUCUUUCUUCUGCUGUGGUCGAGCUUUAAGUCUUAACUUCAUACCUUACAACUCAGGCAAGAACUCCUUCUUUGACUGAUCCAUCUUGAACACCUUCAAGAUCAUGUCAAGGUAUGUGCUCAUUUGAAAGUACCAUUAAGCGUUUUGAUCUAUUCUUAUAGAGCUUGAUGCUCAAUGUUCAAGUAGCUUAAUCCAGGCUUUCCAUUGAAAAACACUUUCCAAAUAACCCUAUAUGCUUUCCAAAAAUUCUACGUCAUUUCUGAUUAACAACAUGUCAACAACAUAUAUUCAUCAGAAAUUCUAUAGUGCUCCCACUCACUUCUUUGGAAAUACAAGUUUCUCAUAAACUUCGUAUAAACCCAAAAUCUUUGAUCAUCUCAUCAAAGCGUACAUUCCAACUCCGAGAUGCUUACUCCAGUCCCUAGAAGGAUUGCUGGAGCUUUGCAUACUUACUAACAUCUUUCAGGAUUAACAAAACCUUCUGGUUGUAUCAGAUACAACCUUUCCUCAAAAAUCAUCGAGGAAACAAUGGUUUUUGGCAUCCUAUCUGCAAGAUUUCACAAAUAAUGCAGUAAUUGCUAAUAUAAUUCCAACAGACUCUUAGCAUCGCUACGAGUGAGAAAGUCUCAUCGCAGUCAACUCCUUGAACUUGUCGGAAAACAUCUUAACGACAAGUCGAGCUUUCUUAAUGGUGACAUUUACCAUCAUUGUCCGUCUUCCUUUUAAAAAUCCAUCUGCAGUCAAUAGCCUUACGACCAUCGAGCUGUUCUGCCAAAGUCUACACUUUGUUUUCAUACAUGGAUCCUCUCUCGGAUUUUAUGGCCUCGAGCCAUUUAUCUAAAUCCGGGCCCACCAUCGCUUCUCCAUAGCUCGUAGGUUCAUUGUUGUCUAGCAACAUGACUUCCAAGACAGGAUUACGUACCACUCUGAAGUAGUACGCAUCCUUGUCAUCCCACGAGGUUUGGUAGUGACUUGAUAUGAAGUUUCAUGAUCACUAUCAUAAGCUUCCACUUCAAUUGGUGUAGGUGCCACAGGAACAACUCCCUGUGCCCUGUCACACACUAGUUGAAGAGACGGUUCAAUAACCUCAUCAAGUCUCCACCAUCCUCCCACUCAAUUCUUUCGAGAGAAACUUUUCCUCGAGAAAGGACCCGAUUCUAGAAACAAUCCCUUAUUGCUUUCGGAUCUGAGAUAGGAGGUAUACCCAACUGUUUUGGGUGUCCUAUGAAGAUGCAUUUAUCCGCUUUGGGUUCGAGCUUAUCAGCCUGAAACUUUUUCACAUAAGCGUCGCAGCCCCAAACUUCUAUGAAAUGACAGCUUAGGUUUCUCUAAACCAUAGUUCAUACGGUGUCAUCUCAUCGGAAUUACAUGGUGCCCUAUUUAAAGUGAAUGCGGUUGUCUUUAAUGCCUAACCCAUAAACUAUCGUGGUAAUUCGAUAAGAGACAUCAUGGUAUGCAUCAUAUCCAAUAGGGUGCAGUUAUGAUGUUCGGACACACCAUCACACUAUGGUGUUCCAGGCUGUAUUAGUUGUGAAACAAUUUCCACAAUGUCUUAAUUCUGUGCCAAACUCGUAAUUCAGAUAUUCAUCUCUAUGAUCAUAUCAUAGAUAUUUUAUCCUCUUGUCACGACGAUCUUUCAACUUCACCCUGAAAUUACUUGAACCUUCCAAUAAUUCAGACUCGUGAUUCAUCAAGUAAAUACACUCAACAUCUACUCAAAUCAUAUGUGAAGUAAUAACAUAACGAUAUCCACUACAUGCCUCAGCACUCAUUGGAUUGCACACAUCAAAAUGUAUUACUUCCAACAAGUUGCUUUCUAGUUCCAUUUUACUGAAAACGAGGCUUUCAGUCAUCUUGCCCAUGUGGUAUGAUUUGCAUGUAUCAAGUGAUUCAAAAUCAAGUGAGUCCAAAUGGUCCAUUUGCAUGGAGUUUCUUCAUGCAUAUACACCAAUAGACAUGGUUCGCAUGUCUCAAACCUUUCAAAAAUGAGUGAGUCCAAAGAUCCAUCAACAUGGAGCUUCUUCAUGCGUUUUAUACCGAUAUGACUUAAGUGGCAGUGCCACAAGUAGGUGGUACUAUCAUUACUAUCUUUUGGCAUGAACAUGUGUAUCACUACGAUCGAGAUUCAAUAAACCAUUCAUUUCAGGUGUAAGACCAUUGAAGGUAUUAUUCAAAUAAACAGAGUAACCAUUAUUCUCUUUAAAUGAAUAACCGUAUUGCGAUAGACAUAAUCCAAUCAUGUCUAUGCUCAACGCAAACACCAAUCUCGAUGGUAGAGGGAGCGUGCGAUGCUUGAUCAUAUCAACAUUGGAAACACUUCCAACACAUAUCGUCAGCUCACCUUUAGCUAGUCUCCGUUUAUUCCGUAGCUUUUAUUUCGAGUUACUAACACUUAGCAACCGAACCGGUAUCUAAUACCCUGGUGCUACUAGGAGUACUAGUAAAGUACACAUCAACACAAUGUAUAUCCAAUAUACUUCUAUCGACCUUGCCAGCCUUCUUAUCUACCAAGUAUCUAGGGUAAUUCUGCUCCAGUGGCUGUUCCCCUUAUUACAGAAGCACUUAGUCUCGGGUUUGGGUUCAACUUUGGGUUUCUUCACUAGAGCAGCAACCGAUUUGUCGUUUCAUGAAGCAUCCCUUUUUGCCCUUGCCCUUCUUGAAACUAGUGGUUUCACCAACCAUCAACAAUUGAUGCUCCUUCUUGAUUUCUACUUUUGUGGUGUCAAACACCGCGAAUAUCUCAAGGAUCAUCAUAUAUGUCCCCGAUACAUUAUAGUUCAUCAGGAAGCUCCAGCAGCUUGGUGGUAAUGACUUCGGAAAAACAUCACUAUCUCAUUUGGAAGAUCAACUCCCACUUGAUUCAAAUGAUUGUUGUACUUAGACAAUCUGAGCACAAGCUCAACAAUUGAGCUUUUUCCCUUAGUUUGCCGGCUAAGAAAAAUCGUCGGAGGUCUUAUACCUCUUGACGUGGGCACGAGCCUGAAAUCCCAAUUUCAGCCCUCGAAACAUCUCAUAUGUUUCACGACGUUUUAAAACGUCUUCGGUGCCUCAGCUCUAAACCGUUUAACUGAACUAUCACGUAGUUAUCAAAAUGUGUAUGUCAGAUGUUCGCAACAUCCACAGACGAUGUUCGAGGUUCAGCACACUGAGCGGUGCAUUAAGGACAUAAGCCUUCUAUGAAGCAAUGAGGACAAUCCUCAGUCUACGGACCUAGUCCGCAUAAUUGCUACUAUCAACUUUCAACUAAAUUUUCUCUAGGAACAUAUCUAAACAGUAGAACUGAAGCGCGAGCUACGACAUAAUUUGCGAAGACCUUUUGACUAUGUUCAGGAUAAUUAAGUUCAUCUUAUGAACUCCCACUCAGAUAGACAUCCCUCUAGUCAUCUAAGUGAUUACAUGAUCCGAGUCAACUAGGCCGUGUCCGAUCAUCACGUGAGACGGACUAGUCAUCAUCGGUGAACAUCUUCAUGUUGAUCGUAUCUACCAUACGACUCAUGCUCGACCUUUCGGUCUUCUGUGUUCCGAGGCCUUGUCUGUACACUUGCUAGGCUCGUCAAGUCAACCUAAGUGUUUCGCGUGUGUAAAUCUGUCUUACACCCGUUGUAUGUGAACAUUAGAAUCUAACACCCGAUCAUCACGUGGUGCUUCGAAACAACGAACUGUCGCAAUGGUGCACAGUUAGGGGGAACACUUUCUUGAAAUUAUUAUGAGGGAUCAUCUUAUUUACUACCGUCGUUCUAAGUAAACAAGAUGCAAAAACAUGAUAAACAUCACAUGCAAUCAAAUAGUGACAUGAUAUGGCCAAUAUCAUAUUGCUCCUUUUGAUCUCCAUCUUCGGGGCUCCAUGAUCAUUAUCGUCACCGGCAUGACACCAUGAUCUCCAUCAUCAUGAUCUCCAUCAUCGUGUCUUCAUGAAGUUGUCUCGCCAACUAUUACUUCUACUACUAUAGCUAACGGUUAGCAAUAAAGUAAAGUAAUUACAUGACGUUUAUGUUGACACGUAGGUCAUAAAUAAAUUAAGACAACUCCUAUGGCUCCUGCCGGUUGUCAUACUCAGCGACAUGCAAGUCGUCAUUCCUAUUACAAGAACAUGAUCAAUCUCAUACAUCGCAUAUAUCAUUCAUCACAUCCUUUUGGCCACAUCACAUCACAUAGCAUACCCUGCAAAAACAAGUUAGACGUCCUCUAAUUGUUGUUUGCAUGUUUUACGUGGCUGCUAUGGGUUUCUAGCAAGAACGUUUCUUACCUAUGCAAAAACCACAACGUGAUAUGCCAAUUGCUAUUUACCCUUCAUAAGGACCCUUUUCAUCGAAUCCGAUCCGACUAAAGUGGGAGAGACAGACACCCGCUAGCCACCUUAUGCAACUAGUGCAUGUCAGUCGGUGGAACCAGUCUCACGUAAGAGUACGUGUAAGGUCGGUCCGGGCCGCUUCAUCCCACGAUGCCGCCAAAUCAAGAUAAGACUAGUAACAGCAAGCAUAUUGAACAAAAUCAACGCCCACAACUACUUUGUGUUCUACUCGUGCAUAGAAACUACACAUAGACCUAGCUCAUGAUGCCACUGUUGGGGAACGUAGCAUAAAUUCAAAAUUUUCCUACGUGUCACCAAGAUCUAUCUAUGGAGUCAUCUAGCAACGAGGGAGGAGUGGAUCUACAUACCCUUGUAGAUCGCGCGCGGAAGCGUUCAAGAGAACGGGGUUGAUGGAGUCGUACUCGUCGUGAUCCAAAUCACCGAUGAUCCUAGCGCCGAACGGACGGCACCUCCGCGUUCAACACACGUACGGAGCAGCGAUGUCUCCUCCUUCUUGAUCCAGCAAGGGCGGAGGAGAGGUUGAUGGAGAUCCAACAGCACGACGGCGUGGUGGUGGAAGUAGCGGGAUUCUAACAGGGCUUCGCCAAGCGCUGUGGGAGGAGGGAGAUGUGUCAUGGGAGGGAGAGGGAGGCGCCAGGGCUUGGGUAUGGUUGCCCUCCCUUCCCCCCACUAUAUAUAGGGCCAAGGGAGAGGGGGGAGGCGCAGCCUUGGCCCUUCCUCCAAGGAAGGGUGCGGCCAGGGAGGAGUCCCUCCUCCCCAAGGCACCUCGGAGGUGCCUUCCCCCUUUAGGACUCUUCCUUUCUCUUGUCCCUUUGGCGCAUGGGCCUCUAGGGGCUGGUGCCCUUGGCCCAUGUAGGCCAAGGCGCACCCCCUACAGCCCAUGUGGCCCCCCGGGGCAGGUGGCCCCACCCGGUGGACCCCCGGGACCCUUCCGGUGGUCCCGGUACAAUACCGGUGACCCCGAAACUUGUCCCGAUGGCCGAAAUAGCACUUCCUAUAUAUAAUUCUUUACCUCCGGACCAUUCCGAAACUCCUCGUGACGUCCGGGAUCUCAUCCGGGACUUCGAACAACUUUCGGGUUACCGCAUACUAAUAUCUCUAUAACCCUAGCGUCACCGAACCUUAAGUGUGUAGACCCUACGGGUUCGGGAGACAUGCAGACAUGACCGAGAUGACUCUCCGGUCAAUAACCAACAGCGGGAUCUGGAUACCCAUGUUGGCUCCCACAUGUUCCAUGAUGAUCUCAUCGGAUGAACCACGAUGUCAAGGACUUAAUCAAUCCCGUAUACAAUUCCCUUUGUCUAGCGGUACGAUACUUGCCCGAGAUUCGAUCGUCGGUAUCCCGAUACCUUGUUCAAUCUCGUUACCGGCAAGUCUCUUUACUCGUUUCAUAACACAUCAUCCCAUGAUCAACUCCUUGAUCACAUUGUGCACAUUAUGAUGAUGUCCUACCGAGUGGGCCCAGAGAUACCUCUCCGUCACACGGAGUGACAAAUCCCAGUCUUGAUUCGUGCCAACCCAACAGACACUUUCGGAGAUACCUGUAGUGUACCUUUAUAGUCACCCAGUUACGUUGUGACGUUUGGCACACCCAAAGAACUCCUACGGUAUCCGGGAGUUGCACAAUCUCAUGGUCUAAGGAAAUGAUACUUGACAUUAGAAAAGCUUUAGCAUACGAACUACAUGAUCUUGUGCUAGGCUUAGGAUUGGGUCUUGUCCAUCACAUCAUUCUCCUAAUGAUGUGAUCCCGUUAUCAACGACAUCCAAUGUCCAUGGUCAGGAAACCGUAACCAUCUAUUGAUCAACGAGCUAGUCAACUAGAGGCUUACUAGGGACAUGGUGUUGUCUAUGUAUCCACACAUGUAUCUGAGUUUCCUAUCAAUACAGUUCUAGCAUGGAUAAUAAACGAUUAUCAUGAACAAGGAAAUAUAAUAAUAACCAAUUUAUUAUUGCCUCUAGGGCAUACUUCCAACAGUCACCGGCAUGACACCAUGAUCUCCAUCAUCAUGAUCUCCAUCAUCGUGUCUCCGUGAAGUUGCUCGCCAACUAUUACUUCUACUACUAUGGCUAACGCGUUUAGCAAUAAAGUAAAGUAAUUUACAUGGCGUUUCUCAAUGACACGCAGGUCAUACAAAAAAUAAAGACAACUCCUAUGGCUCCUGCCGGUUGUCAUACUCAUCGACAUGCAAGUCGUGAUUCCUAUUACAAUAGCAUGAACAUCUCAUACAUCACAUAUAUAUCAUUCAUCAUUCAUCACAACUUUGGCCAUAUCAUAUCGCAAAGCACUUGCUGCAAAAACAAGUUAGACGUCCUCUAAUUGUUGUUGCAAGUUUUACGUGGCUGAAAUAGGGUUCUAGCAAGAACGUUUUCUUACCUACGUGUAAGCCACAACGUGAUUUGUCAACUUCUAUUUACCCUUCAUAAGGACCCUUUUCGUCGAAUCUGCCCCAACUAAAGUGGGAGAGACAGACACCCGCCAGCCACCUUAUGCAACUAGUGCAUGUUAGUCGGUGGAACCGGUCUCACGUAAGCGUACGUGUAAGGUUGGUCCGGGCCGCUUCAUCCCACAAUACCAUUGAAGCAAGAUAAGACUAGUAGCGGCAAGAAAGUUGACAACAUCAACGCCCAUAACAAAUUGUGUUCUACUCGUGCAAGAGAACUACGCAUAGACCUAGCUCAUGAUGCCACUGUUGGGGAACGUUGUAGAAAACAAAAAUUUCCUACGGUUUCACCAAGAUCCAUCUAGGAGUUCAUCUAGCAACGAGUGAUUGGAUUGCAUCUACAUACCUUUGUAGAUCACGCGCGGAAGCGUUCAAAGAACGGGGAUGAGGAAGGCGUACUCGACGUGAUCCAAAUCACUGGAGAUCCUAGCGCCGAACGGACGGCACCUCCGUGUUCAACACACGUACGGUCAACGUGACGUCUCCUUCUUCUUGAUCCAGCAAGGGGGAAGGAGAGGUUGAGGAAGAUGGCUCCAGCAGCAGCACGACGGCGUGGUGGUGAUGGAGCUGCAGUACUCCGGCAGGGCUUCGCCAAGCACUAUGGAGGAGGAGGAGGUGUUGGAGAGGGAGAGGGAAGCACCAAAGUCAAGGGGGUGAGAGGUCCUCCCUUCCCCCCACUAUAUAUAGGGGGCCUAGGGGGGGCACCGGCCCUAGGAGAUGCAAUCUCCUAGGGGGGGCGGCGGCCAAGGGAGGAAUCCCUCCUCCUCAAGGCACCUAGGAGGUGCCUUCCCCUCCUAGGACUCUUCCUUUAGGGUUUCCCCCACCCUAGGCGCAUGGGCCCUAGGGGGAAGUGGCGCCCCAGCCCACUUUGGGCUGGAUCCCUCCCACUUCAGCCCAUGGGGCCCUCCGGGAUAGGUGGCCCCACCCGGUGGACCCCCGGGACCCUUCCGGUGGUCCCGGUACAAUACCGGUGACCCCGAAACUUGUCCCGAUGGCCGAAAUAGCACUUCCUAUAUAUAAUUCUUUACCUCCGGACCAUUCUGGAACUCCUCGUGACGUCCGCGAUCUCAUCUGGGACUCCGAACAACAUUCGGGUUACUGCAUAUACAUAUCCCUACAACCCUAGCGUCACCGAACCUUAAGUGUGUAGACCCUACGGGUUCGGGAGACAUGUAGACAUGACCGAGAUCGCUCUCCGGUCAAUAACCAACAGCGGGAUCUGGAUACCCAUGUUGGCUCCCACAUGCUCCUCGAUGAUCUCAUUGGAUGAGCCAUGAUGUCGAGGAUUCAAGCAACCCCGUAUACAAUUCCCUUUGUCAAUCGGUAUGUUACUUGCCCGAGAUCUGAUCGUCGGUAUCCCAAUACCUCGUUCAAUCUCAUUACCGGCAAGUCACUUUACUCGUACCGUAAUGCAUGAUCCCGUGACCAGACACUUGGUCACAUUGAGCUCAUAAUGAUGAUGCAUUACCGAGUGGGCCCAGUGAUACCUCUCCGUCAUACGGAGUGACAAAUCCUAGUCUUGAUCCGUGUCAACCCAACAGACACUUUCGGAGAUACCCGUAGUAUACCUUUAUAGUCACCCAGUUACGUUGUGACGUUUGGUAUACCCAAAGCACUCCUAUGGUAUCCGGGAGUUACACGAUCUCAUGGUCUAAGGAAAGGAUACUUGACAUUGGAAAACUCUAGCAAACGAACUAUACGAUCUUGUGCUAUGUUUAGGAUUGGGUCUUGUCCAUCACAUCAUUCUCCUAAUGAUAUGAUCUCGUUAUCAAUGACAUCCAAUGUCCAUAGUCAGGAAACCAUGACUAUCCAUUGAUCAACGAGCUAGUCAACUAGAGGCUUACUAGGGACAUGCUGGUGUCUAUUAUUCACACAUGUAUUACAAUUUCCGGAUAAUACAAUUAUAGCAUGAAUAAAGACAAUUAUCAUGAACAAGGAAAUAUAAUAAUAAUGAUUUUAUUAUUGCCUCUAGGGCAUAUUUCCAACAAUUACGCUAACGCAAUCACACUAUGUUGAGAAGGUCUUGAGCCGUUUUGGCUUUAAUGAUAGCAAGAGCAAGACUUCUCCAACACCUUAUGAUCCCAGCGUGACUCUAUGAAAGAACAAGAAAACAUCGAGAGAUCAAUUGAAAUACUCUCAAAUUGUUGGUUCACUCAUGUACCUUGCGAGUGCAACAAGGCCUGAUAUCUCUUUUGCUAUGGGCAAGUUGAGCAGGUUCAUGUCAAACCCGGGUAAUUAUCAUUGGCAUGCACUUGAAAGGGUCAUGCACUAUCUGAAUGGUACGGCGAGCUAUGGGAUUCACUAUUCAGGGCACCCUGCUGUGCUUGAAGGAUAUAGUGACUCGAACUGGAUAUCGGACGUCGAUGAACUCUACGCCACAAGUGGAUAUGCAUUUCUUCUUGGAGGUGGCGCAGUGUCAUGGAGGUCUUGCAAAUAGACCAUAUUGACGAGGUCAACCAUGGAAGCAGAACUUACUGCUUUAGAUACAACCACUGUUGAAGCAGAAUGGCUGCGUGAGCUCUUGAUGGACUUGCCGGUGGUUGAGAAACCUGUACCGGCCAUCCUCAUGAACUGUGACAAUCAAACCGUGAUUGCCAAAGUGAACAGUUCUAAGUAUAGUGCAAAGUCAUCAAGACAAGUUAAAAGACGAUUGAAGUCUGUCAGGAAAUUGAGAAACUCUGGAGUAAUUACUGUUACGUAUAUUCAAACAGACAAAAACCUGGCAGAUCCCUUUACGAAGGGACUAUCAUGUAAUGUGAUAGAAAAUGCAUCAAGGGAGAUGGGUAUGAGACCCGUGAGUGUCACACCAUAGUGGUAACCCAACCUAUGUGAUCGGAGAUCCCGUGAAUUAGGACAUGGGAAGAACAAGCUAGUGGUUUGACUAAGGAGAGUAUCUAGUAAGCCCUCUCUAAGUGGAGAUGCAUAACUCUCAAAGAGCUGCAAGGCAGGUUGGCAACAUGCCUUAAUGUGUUUAUAACGGCUAUUGAUAGCAAAGAUAUUGUCCUACAGAGCAUUCUUGAAAGAACACACCUAUAUGAGUCCGACUAUAAAUGUCGCAGUCUAUGAGAUUUGGGUGAUCUCUAGUAAACUCAUGAAGAGACCAGGGAGUACGACGUAUAUGCUCUACCCGCGGGGUAGACUACUGGCAGCUAGGUACUGGUUAUGACUUUGAGUAAAGUCCGUUGGCACAAAACUUGCAAUUCAAGGCAUAGUCCAUUGUUCAAGUUGCUAAUAGAUGUAGCUUAAGGCUCUAGGCGGAAGUUCAACUUAACAGUCUCUACUGAAACACUGGUAUAUAAACAAGUAGCAAGGAUUGGCAAAUCUUCAAAUGGGCAUUUGAGGUCUGGUGGGGGAUUGUUAGGAUAUUGGGCCCAUUUAUAGGGCAGCCCAAUAGGCAAUUUCUGAAAUCUCAAAGGCCCAUGUGUGUGAGCAAGUGGUAGGAGUGGGAAGUUUAGUCCCACCCCGGAAGUUGAAGGAGUUGCACACCAUCCUAUAAGGUGGAGUGAUGUAGCAUUUGUAAGUGAGUGAGAAUAAUAGAGCCUCUCGCGCACUCCUCCUCCUCCUCCUCCGCUCGCUCGACUCACACGCCGCGCCGCGCCGCGAUCGCGUUUCGUGAAUUCGAGCCUCGAGCCGAGACAAAUUCUGUCUUUUUUGGCUGCUUAGGAAAACCGAGUCUGGAGUCGUGACAGACGCGUCAUAGCCUAGUCGGUUCGGGUCGCUCCCGCAAUUGACUCGGACGUGCGAUGUGGGCCUCCCACGUUGCACCCGUCAGGGUUUUCCAAACCUCUAUAUAAGGACAUGCUGCGAGCGCCGCAACACACAGAAAACCAAUCUAGGUUUUGCCACACCUCGUUCCUUGCGCCGCCACCGUAGUCCACCCCAUCCCGAGCACCGGCGUGCACCGACGAACGGGAGAGUAGGUCUUCGGAACCACUCGCCUUUGUGAUCCUAUACGGGAGAGGGAAAAUAAGAUUGGACGCUAAUAAGUGCCACACGUGUGGGCGUUAGGGAGUCUGCCCAUACAUUUUGUGUGAUGCAUAAGAGGAACAGCCCACACACCUACGUGUGGGCAGAACAAGUAAUGCCCACACACCUCUUUUUUCUCUCUCGAUCCCUCUCACACGCAUGCGUGUGGGCGAAAUAGAUAACGCCCACACGCCCCGUACGUCAGGUCUCGUACUCGUGGUCCUGCACACCCGCGUGACAGUCAUGCGCAUCCCGCAGUUGCCAUGGUCCAGACCCUCGUCCAUGUUCGUUUAACUGUAGUUGCCAUGUCGCUGAACUUCGGUUGCCAUGUCGGACAACUACAGUUGCCAUGGUUGCUCAACUGCAGUUGCCAUGUAUGGUCUAGUCUACUGUAAUUGCCAUGAUUUCAAAACUUUAGGAGUUGCCACCCACUAACACUAGGCAGUUGCCGUGUAGCACUACGAAAAGAUACAGCAAAAAAACAUGUUCGGGUAAAAGAGAGAGUUGCCAUGUGCUCACGAGCACGCUAAGGCAGUUGCCAUGUAAAAAAAGAGAGUUGGCAUCUGCUUACGUGCACGCUAUGACAGUUGCCAUAUACCAUGCAAAAACACAUGGCAACUCGGGUAAAAGAAAGUUGCCAUCUGCUUACAAGCAAAGCUAGGGCAGUUGUCAUGUACCCUGCAGAAACACAUGACAACUGCCAGCUUUGGGUGUGGGCGAGGAGACGAACGUGUGGGCGAAGUGAUAAACGCCCACACACCAGCCCCCUGUGUGUGCGUAAAAGCUGAUGUGUGGGUGAAUUGUUAAACGCCCACACACCAGCCCCCCGUGUGGUGAAAAAGGCCAUGUGGGCGACCGGAUGAAUGCCCACACACCAGUUUAGUCCUACGUGGCACACAAAAACUGUUAGAACGCGCCAAGAUUCGUGCAGAAUUGGUUGGACGAGAAUCCAUGCGUGUGGGCGAGUUGCCAGACGCCCACACGUGUGGGCGUUAGUGUUUCGAUAAGAUUUUUGGGAAGCGCCACGCGCGCGACUGCUUGCUGUCUCCAUCACGGCUCGCCUACCGUUUAGGUCGAGCGAUCUUGCUCGUCGUCGUCUAUAACGUCGUCUUCUGUGGCCGGUCUUCACCAACGUCGUCAUCAACAACAUCGCUGCACCAACGACUACCUCAUCUGCAAACGAUCGGUAUAACUGCAGUGUCCCAUCUGGUUGGUUAAACAUGUUUGCCAGUAUCAUGUUUUGCGAUGUUGUACUGCUACUGUUCAUGUUGUUUAGUGCUUCUAGUACGCUUGAGAUUCAAAUGUUAGUAGCGGUUUUCAUCAUGUUUAAUAUUCUGUAAUUAAUCAUGGAAAUUAUGCCUAAUUACUUAACAUGAUCUAGGAAGGAGCACGUGAAAAGGAGAAGGCCUUGCCUCCGUCACGAUGAGCGGCGGCGCCCACCACGACUGGUCAGAGCGCUAGACGGCGGCCGGGCCAGUUGAGUAGGCGUUACCAGGCGCACUGUCGUCAAAGAUGGCCACUGCGCUUCCUCCACGCCGCCAUGCCUUUCCCUGCAGCUGCGAGUAGGAGCCAGCAGGAGGACAAGGAGAAGGAGCAAGUUUGUGGACUCCCGAUGCCUUCGGUUUGUUUAAAAAAAAACCGACUCUCUGUUCGGGCCGAAAUCCAGGCUCGUGAGUUUACAUCCUGGAGGGACACGCGUCGUUGCAAGUCCCACCAUCGAUCUCCUCCCGCUCCCGUCGCGAAGGAAAAAGCACCAAGCACCAAACCCUAAUCGCCUUCCUUCCUCCCCCCGCUGCCAUGUCAUCUCCUCGUUCCCGGCGUGGUAUCUUGACCACAAUCCCGGUCUCCGACGAUGGGACCUUCGGCUACUCCGUCCCGUCCCCGGCCCAUUGCUCCAGUGCAGCAGCUACACUGCGUCCGUAUGUUUUUCACAAAAAAAAAAAC
rnacentral:lncRNA from 1 species